rnacentral:lncRNA from 1 species
AUCGUAGUUACUGAAUUUGACACGUGUUCUUCCUUGCCAAUCAACAGGUCAGAUUGGCUGGCACGCCGCGUGAACCGCACCAGGGCAUUCACCCGAACAGGAGCUAAGCAGAUUCUCCCGGGUCGUGUGUCGGUUGCUGGGAUUCGGUUGACCGAGUUCUAGCGCCAACAGACCUGUUACAUGCCUUUACAAAGUAAGAGCAUGUUAGCAGAUCCUUACUCCCCAAUCCAACUACCAUAUUGGGAGGGUUAACGAAAAAUAGUGUUCCAGCAGAUUCUUUUUUACUUUUUUCCAUUUCACAAUAGUUAUUGGGACAAACUAAUAAUCCACCCUAACUUAUCCUAAAAAAAGAGUAUCUCAAUACGGUAGUUUGGAUUGUGAUUAUUGGGGAACUGCAAAAACAACUUUUCCGAUAACCAUAAAAGAAAUAUUGGGACAUUUCCAUUAGCUUGUUAUUAGGAAAAAUUGAUUGGAAAACUGUUGAAGAUGCUCUAAGGGAUUCUCAAGUUGGCGUGCGACUGCGCACGCGGUGGGGGGAGCACAAGCAACCCAAUAUGACCUAAUUUUAGCCCAAGUUAGGUUUAGUUGUGGCCGAACUAACAUCCAUGUUCUAUUUUUUUUCCCUUUCUUCAUUCUUUUGGGUUUUACAUUUUCUUGUCCUUUUCUUUAAUUAUUUCCUUUUAUAUUAUUCUGCAUAUUAUUUUUAUUUCCUUUAUAUUUAUUAUUUGUUUCUAUUAUUUGUUUUGUUUUCUUUUCUGUUUUUUGACACCCGGCCCAAUUUGGUUGGCCCAGUGUGGCCCAUUAGCGCAGGUGCGCAUGUUUAGUACCACAUUGCUAGUUUAGCAAGGGUGGAGGCAACUUAUAAGCCUUCGUCAACCAGCCAUAGUACCUUCGGGUUAACCCUUUUACACGAAGCGAGGACGAAAGUGUAAGCAGGGUGCUAUGUGUACGUGUGCCCGCCCCUCGGAAGGGUUGGGCGGUGCGGCUUUGGAGGACGGGGUGUUACAGUUUUCCUUUUCUACUAGGAAAUUCUAACUUUUCAUUUAUUUUAUUGUUUCCAUUUUUAUUAUCUUUUAUGCUUCUUUUCUUUUUUAUUUUUAGUAACAAUUUUUUUGUAUAUUUUGUUUGCUAGUAAGAAUAAUUUAUUCAAUUAGUUUUCUUUAUUGUUUCACUCUAGCACUACUUUAAAAAUCAUUUGUGCAUACGAUCAUUCUAUUUUUUUUUUACAACGGUGCUUAAUAACAACCGUCUCUAGCAAGGGUUCCAAAAAUACAAGUAUCUAUAGAGGUGGGCCACAUAAUUAAGUAAUUGUCUGAAAAUCAAUUCGAAAGGCACGCCACCUAAGCUACCACUACUAGAAAUUGACUUCUAGAGGCAGGCCUAAUAAGCAACUGCCUCUAAAAAUGUAAACAACCAAUUUUACAUAAAAAUAAUAGCCUUUAUUUAAUGAAGAAGAAUGAAGACAAAUUUACUAGCAUAACUAUAGAGCUCGAUGACAUCUAAAACUUCAUAGUUCAUAACCUUUUCAUUUAAGACUAUUUACAGGCCCAAAUAAAAUUCAUCACCAUUUCUUAUAUUUAUUUUUAAAAAUAAAUUAUGAUUUCCAAAAUGGCCUUGGAAGGAGAUGUGCUCUUCACAAAAGUUGUAGUGCAUGACGAGAUCUAAAAAUUUGUAAUUGAUAUUUUUUUUUCAAAUUUAUGAUCGUUAGAGUGUCAAAUGCAUAGUACAAUAUUCAGAGAAGUGAAAUCAAAAGAAUCCCUCAUAUAGUUAAUAUGUGUUUCGUAAAGAGAGCUACGCGUGAAGAGAGCUGUCAUACCAUGAAUUUUUUGGAAUUCAGGAUCUGACUAGAAAUAAUAAUUAAACAAUAAUUUUCUAAUAAUUUAAUUUUUUCAACAUUUAUUUUCUUGAGAGGAAAUUUAGUACUGGAAAAUGAUUGGUUGUUUUUUCUAAAUUAAAUAAAUUAGUUCUUUGUGUGUUGGAUUCAUGCCGAGGCAUCUUGGUGUUUCAUGAGUGCAGACAUUUUAAAAAUGCGUUUCUAUAACAUUUAGGUUCUUCUAAGAAUUUUCCAAAUUUUUCUAGGAUCUAUUCUCAUUUUCCUAGAGUUAAAUAUUUUUAUUAUUUUCUUGAGCUCCAAGUAUAUUAUUUGGAUUCAUCAUUUGGAUUCAUCGUGUCCCAAACUAUCUCUAGAAAUUUUCCUAGGAUUUUAGCUUUUUAGAGUAUUUUUUGUGGUUUCAUUGAUUUAUCUAGAAUUUUCUAGAUUUAUCUUUGCACGGGAAACAUCUCUAAAAAUGAAAUAGAAAGAAAUCCCCUUUCCUUCAGGCCGGGCUCGUGGGACUGACGUGCUCUAGCCCAGCAGCCGGCCUGCCAGGCCCAUCUGAGCCCUGCAGCUCUUGGUGUCCAUGCCGGACACAGUGUGGCACCGCCGCCUCCCCAGCUAACUUGGGUGUGCGUGCCACGGCUCCACCCCUGGCCCUAUAAAUAGCAAAGCCGCAUCCCCUGCUUGCCAUGCUGCCCCAGCUCGUGCAUGUGCUGUGCCUCACCCUUGCUCGCGCAAGCGCUGCCAACCGCCGGAGCCGAGCUGCACCGCCACCUCGAUCUGCCAGACCCCGGCGUCCCAAGACCAAGCCGCCACCUCCCAAAGUUGCACCACGACAGGCCGCCUCCAACCAAGGCAUCCGCUACACCAAAAAGGCCAUUGGAGCAGCACCGCCUCGCCUCACAAUGCCAAUCCGGCCGCCGUCUGUUGUCCGCUGCCAGCCAAAAUUCCAGCUGGAAUCUGUCCACCCCUGUGGCGGAACCGCCCAGCUUAAGCUGGUUUAAGUGCGCCUAAUUGCUGUCGGAGCAGCAAUUAUCCGAAACGCACCUAAAACAGCAUAAGUCCGGUAGUCCGUCGAGUGUCCCUAGGACUCCUCGAAAGAUCCACGGCGUGUUUCAUCACCAUACAUCAGGAUAAUAUCCGCGAUGGGAUAACAUCAACAAACAUUACAUUUUUACAUACAUAAUUAAGAGGUACGAGUUAUUACAAGACUUCAAGUUGAAACAAACUUAGUGAUGCAUAGUUAGACAAGCUCUAAGAUUAAACAUAAGUAGUUUAGGAGAAGAUGCGUUGAUAAACGGUUUGCUAGAGUAUUGAGAGACUCAGGUCAAUACUCUAGGUCUUCGGGGUCUCCUCCUCGACAGCUUCUUGGGUAGCUUCUGAAAGAUAACCACAAGGGGAAAACCCUGAGUACGGGGUACUCAGCAAGUCUUACCCGACUAACCACUAUAAUAGUUUUUCUUUUGGAAUGCAUGUCGGCCUUUAGGUGUGCUUGGUUGACACAAUUUUUGCCGAAAAGCUUACUACGAGUGAAGCCUUAGUUUUGUCUUUUAGUUUAGUUAAGUUAUUACCUAACCGUUCUAGAUGGUAACAGAAGUAAAAGCAAUCACAGCUGUUGAUUCAUACAAUACUUGGCAACAAAAAUUUUAUAUCACAUGAGUUCAUGCUACGAAGCUCAACGGUGAUCAAGUGCAUUCAUAACCGAGAAUUGCAGCGAUCCGGAUCAGAUUACAUCCUGCAGGAGAGCACCCGAUCACCCGCAUCAUACGACUGUCCAGGUCGUACUAGCAACCUCUCGAUUAGUAAAGUCAAUGAUUAGGAACACAACUACCCGGACCCAGGGAUGCACCCCCACAUGGGACCCCACGUCUGGCCUGAUCCCCAUGUGAGUUUCAGGCUACACCCCUGCCAAUCUCCAGCACGUCAAAUGCGGGUACGAAGCAUUCCUGAUCAUAGAAUUUACUAACCUACUGGGCUUUACUGGUCCCAUACCCAGUAAGUGAUCAGAUGUUAUCACUUGAUCAGCGGUUAAGACACGGCCCGGUCCUUAAGCAGAUUAAUGAGCAGACAGAACUACAUCUCUAGCUUCUGUCUGGUUCUAUACUUCAAACUAUCCUUCAUAAACAGCAUGUAUGAUUAAGAGUUUUCCCUAAGGUUGGUAAACCAAGCAUGUAAGCAAGUAAGCAAUUCUAGACUUGGGUGGUUUCUAGGAUUUGAACAAGUGGCAAAGAUGUCCUUAAUUCAAGGCAUGAUCAUACACAAGAAUAGGUUUCAUCCAACUCCUAGACCUAGUGCAUACAAUAACCAAGUAACCUAUAACUAGUCACAUGAAAUAACGAUUCCAAAAUAGAUAGGUAUAAAUGCACCGGGGCUUGCCUUGAUCGUUAAAAAGAUUAGCAGACGCCGACGGAUUCACUUCACAGGGGACAAAUUCAAACACCUCCUCGGACUCCAAAGGUCCUUCUGAAAAUUCCCAGUAAUCUUCUUCCGGCGCUUCUGGAUCUACGGUAUAUAUGCAGGGGUUAGAAUGCAAACUUUUUAAACAACAGACUAUACAACUUUCCUUCAUGAUAAAGUUGCAAGCCAACAAGGACUAUACGACUUAUCAUGGGUAAGUUGUAAGUCAACACACAAAAGAAAUCUAAAAAGAUUAACCUAUAUUUUUAUUUUCUUAUUUAACCCUUCCUAUAGCUUUUUCUUUUAUUUUUAGAAAAAGUGGUAAUUAUUUUCUAACUUGAAAUUCUAAUUUCCUAUGAGUUAUGGAUUAUUUGUGAUUAAUAAAGUGUUAUUUAUAUUUUAUACAUUUUAUAAAUAUUAAGUAUUUAUUUAAUUACCUUAAAAGGAAGGCAUUAAAUAAAUACCUAAAUUUUUAUUAUUUUCCUAGGGUGUAAAAAUUUUAAUGCAUAAAGGAAAAUAAAACAAGCCUAACGAAAUUGGUUUCACUAAUUUUGGACAUUCCUACAAAUUUCUGUGAUUAAAAUGGUGUAAAAAGAUUUUAAACGGAUUAUUUUAUUAAAGAAAUCUAACUUUUUCCCGAAAAUUCCCUCGGAAAACUUUUCUUACGCAGCUCAACUCUACCCCCCUCUCAUGCGUACCGGGCCCCACGACGCGGACCCACCUAUCCUCCUAUUCCCCCUACCCGCCGGCCCUUUACUCCUUCUGACGGGCUCCGUGGGCCGCUUCUCCUUCCCUUUCUCCUGUUAGCCCAACACCGGCCCAUGGCCCCUUUUUCUUUUUCCUUCCUUUCUCACGCGACGCCGGCCUGCAUCCGCUGGGCCCCCGGCCCUUUUCCUUUCCGGCCGACCGCACGCGCGUUACUGGGCCGCGAAACGCCGGCCCAAGACGACCGCACCGCUCUGGCCCGCGCCUUCCUCCCCCUUCUCUUACUGACAUGCGGGCCCGGUGCACAACACCUUCUUCCUCCUCCCGCCAAAACGCAACCGGAACAGGGGGCGGCGCGGCUCGCCGGCCGGCGCCCUCCCGGCGGCGGGUCUCGACGACAACACCAACCCUAACCCUACACGACCUCGCGCGCGGCGACAGCUUCCCUGGAGGUGACCGGAGCUACCUCCUCCACGGUGACGGGCGGCGACACCCCCGGCCGGCCAUCGUUACCCGCGACUACGGCACAACCUAGCCAAACGACUACCCCGACACCAUCCUAGGACUCUAGGGACUCGACUACGACUGCUCAAGAAGAAAGAGAGACAGCGCGAGAGGGUUCUCACCGAGAGCGGGCGGUGCGGCGGCGGCGGACAGAAGCGGCGGCGAUACAAGGUGUUGCGGUGAGGAAGCUGAGCAACAAGUUGCUGGGGUUAUUGGUGGGAUGUAGGCGGAGGUGCGGACGGAAGGAAUCGAUGAGAGCUGUUCGGAGGUGGUCGAAUUUUGCUUGGCGGCGGUGGUUGACAGAAGAGGCACGGGCGGCGGUAAAAAGAGAGGCAGUGAAACGGCGGCGCGGGAGCAGUAGAUAUUCAAGGGUUUCACCGCGCGCAUGGGUGACACCGUGGUCUAGCCGUAGGUGUAUGUGGCGAGGAGGUGGCUUAGCUUAGCUGCGCUGGCGGAUGACCGACGACGGCGGCGGCGCCACGUCUCGGUGCUCAGUCACCGCCCGUGACCUUCAGAGCUUCUCCACGGUUGAUCCUUGAUCCGAUGGCCUCUCGUGUUUUAACAGAACUUGAAGAUAAACUCAAGACCUUCAUCUUUUAUUUUGGCGUCAACUUGAGAUAAAGAUCGAAUUCACUGAAUUUUUGAAGUUUAGCUCGGGUUAGCUCUGAAUGUCGAUUGAAUUGCACUUGCUGUUCGUCAGUUCGACAGUGAUAUGGACUUUAAAUUGGGAACCAAUUUAAGGACUUAAGUCUUGUUUUUCCAGUCCAAUUUCUUCUCAAAGGUGUACUAUGAUCUCCCAAGUUUCCAUUUUGCACAAGAACAAGUACCUCUUUUGAUUUAAAUGGCUCUGAGUUCAAUCCCAAAGUUGAGACCACACUGUCAUUCAGACUUAGCAAAAGUUUCAGAGUUUCAGUCAUUUGUGAUCUUGUGCUGACUUUGAGCUCGAGGUUGACUUCCUUCCUUUUACUAUUCCUGGCCAACAACACAUGAUUAUUGCAGUCCAAAGUUUAUAUUUCAACAUGGUAUAGUUGUUCUAGUACACUUGGUUGGAAAAUUCUUCAGAAUUGAAUUUUGAAAACAGACUCUGGAACUGCUUUCUCUGAACCUAUUGUCGGACGAGGAACAGUAAACGGGAUUUCCCUUUUCUUCUUCUUUCUCUGAUUCUUUUGAGAUAUUUAGCACCAACUCAGCUCCAAAUUUCGAUUCCUUGCUUCCAAAUAAUCCCAUACUUGUAUUCCACAUGUUGGACAACUUUUUCUGAAUUUCAAAUUUGAAAUUCAAAUUUUUGGUCAAAAUUUGGCCGAAUUUGAUCUUUUUGCCAUUUUUCUUCUCUUUUCUUUUGGAUUUCUUUCUGAAUUUUUCAUAGUCACUAUGUUACUUAAAAUGGCACUUAUUACAGCCUCUCCCCCUUAACAGAAUCUCGUCCCGAGAUUCCUGGGGUUAAAUCCUUGGGUUUUGGAAUGGAAAGGAAACUGCGUCAGGUUAUUUACUCUUUCUUUUUCUGUACAAGGUUAGUGGGGUGGUGGUCCUUGUUCAUCUGUCCCUGACGGUUUCGAAUAACUCCGGAUAUUUAGACUCUAGGUCUUCUGCUUUUUCCCAAGUAGCUUCGUCCGGAGUAUGAUUUUUCCAUUGCACUUUAUAAAACGUGAUACUCCGAGUUCGGGUAUCGCGGGUCUUUUGAUCCAGAAUUCUAAUAGGUUUCUCUUCAUAUGUUAGAUCCGGUUCGAGCUUAAUUUCUGGAUCCUCCAAAAUUUCUUCUGGAACUCUUAGGCAUUUCUUAAGCUGGGAUACAUGAAAUACAUCAUGUAUAGAAGUAAGUUGAUCAGGUAAUGACAACUUAUAUGCCACGGGACCCUUUUGUUCCAGAAUUUCAUAGGGACCAAUGUACCUCGGGGCUAGCUUACCUUUUACUCCAAAGCGCUGUACGCCUUUCAUUGGGGAUACCUUUAAGUAUACAAAAUCUCCGACAGAAAAUUCCAAGGACCGUCUUCUUUUAUCUGAAUAACUCUUCUGCCGGGAUUGAGCUAUUUCUAAGUGCUUGCGAAUUUUCUGAACCUUCUCCUCGGUUUCCAUGACCAAGUCCGAUCCCAACUGUGUCCUUUCUCCUACUCCUGACCAAUUUAGAGGAGUUCGGCAUCUUCGACCAUACAAGGCUUCGAACGGUGCCAUCUUAAUACUAGCUUGAUAGCUAUUAUUAUAAGAGAACUCGGCUAGGGGCAAACAUUCAUCCCAUAGCUUAGAGAAGGUAAGGACACAGGCUCUUAACAUGUCUUCUAAAAUUUGAUUAACCCUCUCUGUCUGUCCUCCAGUUUGAGGAUGAUAAGCAGAACUUCUAAUGAGGGUAGUACCCAUGUCCUUUUGCAGUUGCUCCCAGAAUCUGGAAACAAACUGGGAACCUCGAUCGGAAAUAAUAGUUUUUGGCACUCCGUGCAAGGAUACAAUCCGGGCUAUAUAGAGUUUGGCAUAUGCCGACACCUGGUAUUUAGUCUUAACUGGAAUAAAGUGAGCUGAUUUAGUAAGGCGGUCGACAAUAACCCAAAUGGAGUCAUACCCCUUUGAAGUGGUAGGUAAUCCUACUAUGAAAUCCAUAGAAAUAUCUUCCCACUUCCAGACAGGAAUUCCUGAGGGUUGUAACAGACCUGCUGACUUCUGUAAUAUGGGUUUAACUCUUUGGCACGUGUCACAUUCUGACACAUAUCUUGCAAUUUCCGGUUUCAUUUUGGCCCACCAAAAUCUUUGCUUUAAAUCUUGGUACAUUUUAUUGGUUCCGGGAUGAAUGGAGAACUUGGAUGAAUGUGCUUCUUCUAGAAUUAAUCUUCUCAGGUUUUUAUCCUCCGGAACUACUAUCCGGUUCUUGAAGUAUAGUCCUCCUUCUUCUUCUUGAUGAAGUUCAGGAACCUUCCCCUCGGCUUUUUGCUGGUAAAGUGCUUUAAUCCAUGGGUCUUCUUUUUGGGCCGCUAUGAUUCUUUCUUUUAGGGUAUCUUGAAUCAUAACAUUCUGGAGGGUACCUUGUUUUACUAUUUCCAAAUUUAAUUCUCCCAUUUCUUCGCACAAGGUCUUCAAGUUAGACUGGAUGGUCAUGCAGUGGCAUUGGGCCUUUCUGCUUAAGGCGUCGGCCACCACAUUAGCUUUACCAGGAUGGUAAUGAAUUUCCAGUUUAUAGUCUUUAAUCAGCUCUAGCCACCGCCUUUGCCUCAUAUUUAGAUCCAUCUGAGUGAAUAUAUACUUCAAGCUCUUGUGGUCAGUAAAGAUACGACAUUCACUACCUAAAAGAUAGUGUCGCCAUAUCUUUAGUGCAUGCACUACGGCAGCAAGCUCUAAGUCAUGAGUAGGGUAGUGUUCUUCAUGACGCUUCAACUGGCGAGAAGCAUAAGCAAUAACCCUGCCUUCUUGCAUUAGAACACACCCGAUGCCUGUUCCUGAGGCAUCGCAAUAUACAUCAAAGGGUUUUUCUAUAUCAGGUUGAGCUAGCACUGGGGCUGUAGUCAAUAAUUUCUUCAAGAUUUGGAAGGAUUCCUCACACUCAGGUUUCCAUUCAAAUUUUGUAUCCUUCUUUAAUAACUCGGUGAUUGGUUUAGAAACCUUAGAGAAAUUGGGAAUGAAUCUACGGUAAUAACCAGCCAUUCCCAAGAAACUUCUUACUUCAUGAACAGAAGUUGGUGAUUUCCAAUCCAAUAUAUCCUUGACUUUUCCGGGAUCUACUUCAAUUCCUUUUUCGGAUAGUAUAUGCCCAAGGAAUGGAACUUUCUUUAACCAAAAUUCACACUUACUAAAUUUGGCAUAAAGCUGGUGUUCCCGGAGUCUAUUUAGAACAAUGCGCAAAUGUUGCGCAUGUUCCUUUUCGUUUUUAGAAAAGACAAGGAUAUCGUCUAUAAAGACAACCACAAAUUUGUCCAGUUCCGGCAUGAAUACUGAAUUCAUGAGAUACAUAAAAUGCGCUGGGGCAUUUGUUAAUCCGAAUGACAUAACCAAAUACUCAUAUAGUCCAUAUCGGGUGGAAAAAGCUGUUUUUGGUAUGUCUUCGGGUUUUAUCUUAAUCUGGUGGUAUCCUGACCGAAGGUCGAUUUUUGAAAAAACCUUGGCUCCAGACAAUUGGUCGAACAACAAGUCAAUCCGUGGCAGCGGAUACUUGUUUUUGAUGGUUACCGCAUUCAAGGGACGGUAAUCCACACAUAGCCUUAAGGUACCAUCCUUCUUUUUAACAAAGAGAGCUGGGCAACCCCAUGGGGAAGUACUGGGUCGGACAAAACCCUUAUCCAACAAUUCUUGGAGUUGUGUUUUUAAUUCUGCCAACUCUUUAGGUGGCAUUCGAUAUGGUCUUCUAGAGAUAGGAGCGGUGCCGGGUUCUAAUUCAAUAGUGAAUUCUACCGCUCUGUCAGGCGGUAGCCCAGGCAAGUCUUCUGGAAAUACAUCUAAGAAUUCAUUGACAACAGGAAUAGACUCUAGAGUCACUGCUCUAGUCUUUUUGACCAUCUGGUCUAAACAGGGGGAAACGGGUAAUUGGAGUUCGAAAGAAUGGCCCUGGUCAUCUUUCAGGCUAACAGCUCGUGUAACCACAUUAAUUUGUACUUCAUGCGCUUUCAUCCAAUUUACCCCCAAAAUAAUAUCUAUUCCUUGAUCUUCCAGAAUUAAGGGAUAAGCCCCCACUUUAUUUCCUUCUAGGUUUAAAAUCACAUUGCGAGCUACUUGAUUGGUAUUCUGUGUGGCACCAGUAGCUUGAAUAGCAUAUUUGACAUCUAAGGUAUGAACUUCUAGUUGAUGUUGCGUGACAAACUCUUUACUUAUAAAAGUAUGUGAUGCACCGGAAUCAAAUAAAACCAUAGCAGGAUAAUUGUUAAUAAGGUACAUACCUGCUAGGAUUGGCUCCCCUUCUGGAAUUUCUUCUACAGUCAUAUAGUGAGCUUGUCCCGUCUUGGUGUUGACAAACUUGCGACGAACAAACUUUUGUCCAGAGCCUUGGCCCGAGGUUUGAGCUUUUAAAUUCGCGUUUCCCCCAAUUUUGGGAAAACGACAAUCUCGGGCGAAAUGUCCUGGCUUCCCACAGUUGAAACAAACCGGUGGGGUUCCUGAAGAAGUAGGGUUACGAAACCCAAAAGAUGGUGCAGUUCCAGGACGAGGAGCAGCACUGGGAGCUCUGGCAUUCCAGGACUGGAAAGGUCGCUGCUGGAAUGAAGGACGAUACAUGGGUCGGGGAGGACCUCUAUAUACCAUCCUCAUCCUCUGUGGAGCAUUUCCAAAAUUUCCAGAAGGAACAGUCUUCCUUUUUAAUGCUUCUUCUUUUUUCAACAUUUCAUCCAGUGCUUUCAUCUUUUCUUCUGCGGUAAUGGCUGUACUUACCGCAGAACUGUAAUCAGCGAACGUGCAGGUGGCUAACCUUUCCUGCAUUCUGGUAUUAAGCCCCCUGAGAUAACAAUCUCUCUUUCUGGUUUCAGUAUUGACAUGCUCUGGAGCAUAUUGAGCUAAGUGGUCAAACUCAUUAGUAUAUGCUAGAAUGCUGCGAGUGCCUUGCUGUAAUCCCAAGAACUGUUCUAGUUUCAUCCUCAUGACGCCCUCGGGUAUAAACUGUGCCCGGAAGGCCUCCUUAAAAUCUUCCCAUGUGAUUUCCCUUCCCGCUGGCUGCCUAGCCAAAUGACUGGUCCACCAAGUUGCUGCGGGACCCUGAAGUUGAAGCCCCGCAAACUCGGCCUUUUGAAUGGCAGUACAUUGGGGAAUUACUCGAAAUUUCUGCUCCAUGGCCUGGAGCCACUCAUUAGCUUCCAAAGGAUGUUCAGCUUUUAAAAAGACUGGGGGACGUGUUUCCAGAAAUUGGGUGUAAGACACCCCUUGCUCCGGCUCCCUUCUACGUCCACCGUUGCCGGUAUUCUGUACUAUCAUCUGGAGUAAGCGGGCUUGCUCUGCCCCAGAAUUCAUUAAACUGGCUAUGGCGUCAGCCAAUGUAGGUGCUCGGGGUAAAUCCUCUUCUUGUCCUCCGGAGCCUGAAGCUCGGAUUUCUCUGGGAUCCGUCAUACUGCCAAGAGGAACAAGAUAUUAAUAUCUAUUGUACAUUCUUAUCGACAACUCGUUGCAUACUAACAUAUCACACAUCAUGCUUAUACACAAACCAUACUUAUGUACAUACUUAUUUAUAUUACACGCCUAGGAGUUAAUAUUUACAAAACCCCUUGGUACCACUUGUCCAUCACUCAUAUCUUACAAGAAUAUAUUACAACAUGUUCCAAACAAGUUCACGUCAACCAUCGUAAGGAAAGAUGCCCAGUUCUUCGGCAUUUAAGCCUAGUCGUGCCAUGGCUUCUUGCAGGACGUCUUGAUCCACGGUCAUCAAAGUUUGCCCUGGGGGAGCAACAGGUGGAGCUUGAUUGACAGAAUUCUCGCUUCCGGACUCCGGUCCAUAAUCACUCCAAGUGCGAGAAGUAUCAGAGGUGCUGAUUCCAGAAUUUCCUUCCAUCUCUUCUGGCUCCUCUUCUUCUUCGCCUUCCUGUUCUUCUUCUCCCCACUGCUGCAUGGGACCAUAGCCCUGAGGAUCUAGUCCAUCAGCAUUGGCAUUGGCCCACGCAAACUGUUGAUGGCCCGCAGGGACUUCGCCCUGAUCAUCUUCCAUAUCCACAUCAAAGCCUUCUAGAUUCUCGUGAGCAUAUAAAUCUAUUUCAGGUUCUGCCGGUGGCACUGGAUCUUCUUCCAUUUCUAGCACAGGCACUAGCUGAUCUGCUUCCUCCGGGUUUUGAGGUUGAGGCUCUUCUGGUGGGGGAGGUGGUGGAACAUUUAUCAUAUUUUGUGCCGGUGCUUGAGCUUGCAUUUCUUCCAGGGCUAGACGAAGUGACAGAAUCUCGUCUAGCUGCUGAAACCUCUCCGCCUCCAGCCUAUGGACAUUGGAUUCAGCUUCUUCUCUUGCUCGAUCCGCCAUGCUUCGACUUGCUUCGAUAAAUCCUUGCAGUGCCCGAAGUUUCUCUUCAUAAUCCUCAAUUCGCCUGGACUGCUCUCGCAUUGCCUUCUCCAUCUCGUGCUCCCUUGCCAUUGCUGCCUUCUUGUACAUUUCUUUGUCAUACCGGGCACCCAUUGCUUCCAUCCUAGUAUCUUCGUUCUUCUGUCUCUAAUUGUAAUAUUCCCGGAUACAAGCUUGAUGUAGAUUGUACAUAGCAGUCAUGUAGUCCGAAGCAGCGGCUACCAACACAUCGUGUUCUACACGAGAUGUGUUCUUCAAGGCUUUGAUCCUCCGCUUCCAUAUCCCGUCAUCUUGAUGCUUAAUUGGAUAGAAUCGAGCAGAGCUCGAUCCUAUUUCCACCUUAUGGUUCUCACACAGCUCCGUAAGAGCUGUCAUGGCUGCCCUUUCUAUAGUAUCAUGGAAUUCGAAACCUGAUUCCAUUACUUCCUCCAGGCGCCAAUUAGGAUGGUUAUCAUCAUCUGGAAUAUGCACAUACACUGUGCAAUAUUGCUUAUGUCCAGUAUCUUCCUUCCUCCAGUAAUACUCUGGGGGACUAUGGAAGCCCAACUCUUGUAGUGUCUUCCAGAGUAACUGCACAAACCCUGGUUUAUCCAGAUAACGGCCACGAGUCCACCCAUCCCUAUCCGUGUAACCUUCUUCGAACAUCCUAUAAAAAGAAACGAGAUCAGGUCUAGCGGCACUCACCAAACCCAAAAGUUUUUAAACAUGCAAUGCAAUUAUGAUGCAACGAUUCCUACGUACUUUCAGACUCAUAUACACACUCGUAGAAAAAUUGGUGGCAUCAUAAUCUCUCCCUAAUAAACUAUCGAAUACUAGCGACACGCAGCAAACAGUUAACAUCUGCAAAAUAAUCAACUGGUUAACACUACUGCCACCUGUGACUCUUGUUUUUAUUAUUUAAAAUAGAGUCUCAGCAUUUGAAAAGUAAUAUUUGUUGAUUAGCCCAACCUACGGCUCUGAUACCAGCUGUGGCGGAACCGCCCAGCUUAAGCUGGUUUAAGUGCGCCUAAUUGCUGUCGGAGCAGCAAUUAUCCGAAACGCACCUAAAACAGCAUAAGUCCGGUAGUCCGUCGAGUGUCCCUAGGACUCCUCGAAAGAUCCACGGCGUGUUUCAUCACCAUACAUCAGGAUAAUAUCCGCGAUGGGAUAACAUCAACAAACAUUACAUUUUUACAUACAUAAUUAAGAGGUACGAGUUAUUACAAGACUUCAAGUUGAAACAAACUUAGUGAUGCAUAGUUAGACAAGCUCUAAGAUUAAACAUAAGUAGUUUAGGAGAAGAUGCGUUGAUAAACGGUUUGCUAGAGUAUUGAGAGACUCAGGUCAAUACUCUAGGUCUUCGGGGUCUCCUCCUCGACAGCUUCUUGGGUAGCUUCUGAAAGAUAACCACAAGGGGAAAACCCUGAGUACGGGGUACUCAGCAAGUCUUACCCAACUAACCACUAUAAUAGUUUUUCUUUUGGAAUGCAUGUCGGCCUUUAGGUGUGCUUGGUUGACACAAUUUUUGCCGAAAAGCUUACUACGAGUGAAGCCUUAGUUUUGUCUUUUAGUUUAGUUAAGUUAUUACCUAACCGUUCUAGAUGGUAACAGAAGUAAAAGCAAUCACAGCUGUUGAUUCAUACAAUACUUGGCAACAAAAAUUUUAUAUCACAUGAGUUCAUGCUACGAAGCUCAACGGUGAUCAAGUGCAUUCAUAACCGAGAAUUGCGGCGAUCCGGAUCAGAUUACAUCCUGCAGGAGAGCACCCGAUCACCCGCAUCAUACGACUGUCCAGGUCGUACUAGCAACCUCUCGAUUAGUAAAGUCAAUGAUUAGGAACACAACUACCCGGACCCAGGGAUGCACCCCCACAUGGGACCCCACGUCUGGCCUGAUCCCCAUGUGAGUUUCAGGCUACACCCCUGCCAAUCUCCAGCACGUCAAAUGCGGGUACGAAGCAUUCCUGAUCAUAGAAUUUACUAACCUACUGGGCUUUACUGGUCCCAUACCCAGUAAGUGAUCAGAUGUUAUCACUUGAUCAGUGGUUAAGACACGGCCCGGUCCUUAAGCAGAUUAAUGAGCAGACAGAACUACAUCUCUAGCUUCUGUCUGGUUCUAUACUUCAAACUAUCCUUCAUAAACAGCAUGUAUGAUUAAGAGUUUUCCCUAAGGUUGGUAAACCAAGCAUGUAAGCAAGUAAGCAAUUCUAGACUUGGGUGGUUUCUAGGAUUUGAACAAGUGGCAAAGAUGUCCUUAAUUCAAGGCAUGAUCAUACACAAGAAUAGGUUUCAUCCAACUCCUAGACCUAGUGCAUACAAUAACCAAGUAACCUAUAACUAGUCACAUGAAAUAACGAUUCCAAAAUAGAUAGGUAUAAAUGCACCGGGGCUUGCCUUGAUCGUUAAAAAGAUUAGCAGACGCCGACGGAUUCACUUCACAGGGGACAAAUUCAAACACCUCCUCGGACUCCAAAGGUCCUUCUGAAAAUUCCCAGUAAUCUUCUUCCGGCGCUUCUGGAUCUACGGUAUAUAUGCAGGGGUUAGAAUGCAAACUUUUUAAACAACAGACUAUACAACUUUCCUUCAUGAUAAAGUUGCAAGCCAACAAGGACUAUACGACUUAUCAUGGGUAAGUUGUAAGUCAACACACAAAAGAAAUCUAAAAAGAUUAACCUAUAUUUUUAUUUUCUUAUUUAACCCUUCCUAUAGCUUUUUCUUUUAUUUUUAGAAAAAGUGGUAAUUAUUUUCUAUCUUGAAAUUCUAAUUUCCUAUGAGUUAUGGAUUAUUUGUGAUUAAUAAAGUGUUAUUUAUAUUUUAUACAUUUUAUAAAUAUUAAGUAUUUAUUUAAUUACCUUAAAAGGAAGGCAUUAAAUAAAUACCUAAAUUUUUAUUAUUUUCCUAGGGUGUAAAAAUUUUAAUGCAUAAAGGAAAAUAAAACAAGCCUAACGAAAUUGGUUUCACUAAUUUUGGACAUUCCUACAAAUUUCUGUGAUUAAAAUGGUGUAAAAAGAUUUUAAACGGAUUAUUUUAUUAAAGAAAUCUAACUUUUUCCCGAAAAUUCCCUCGGAAAACUUUUCUUACGCAGCUCAACUCUACCCCCCUCUCAUGCGUACCGGGCCCCACGACGCGGACCCACCUAUCCUCCUAUUCCCCCUACCCGCUGGCCCUUUACUCCUUCUGACGGGCUCCGUGGGCCGCUUCUCCUUCCCUUUCUCCUGUUAGCCCAACACCGGCCCAUGGCCCCUUUUUCUUUUUCCUUCCUUUCUCACGCGACGUCGGCCUGCAUCCGCUGGGCCCCCAGCCCUUUUCCUUUCCGGCCGACCGCACGCGCGUUACUGGGCCGCGAAACGCCGGCCCAAGACGACCGCACCGCUCUGGCCCGCGCCUUCCUCCCCCUUCUCUUACUGACAUGCGGGCCCGGUGCACAGCACCUUCUUCCUCCUCCCGCCAAAACGCAACCGGAACAGGGGGCGGCGCGGCUCGCCGGCCGGCGCCCUCCCGGCGGCGGGUCUCGACGACAACACCAACCCUAACCCUACACGACCUCGCGCGCGGCGACAGCUUCCCUGGAGGUGACCGGAGCUACCUCCUCCACGGUGACGGGCGGCGACACCCCCGGCCGGCCAUCGUUACCCGCGACUACGGCACAACCUAGCCAAACGACUACCCCGACACCAUCCUAGGACUCUAGGGACUCGACUACGACUGCUCAAGAAGAAAGAGAGACAGCGCGAGAGGGUUCUCACCGAGAGCGGGCGGUGCGGCGGCGGCGGACAGAAGCGGCGGCGAUACAAGGUGUUGCGGUGAGGAAGCUGAGCAACAAGUUGCUGGGGUUAUUGGUGGGAUGUAGGCGGAGGUGCGGACGGAAGGAAUCGAUGAGAGCUGUUCGGAGGUGGUCGAAUUUUGCUUGGCGGCGGUGGUUGACAGAAGAGGCACGGGCGGCGGUAAAAAGAGAGGCAGUGAAACGGCGGCGCGGGAGCAGUAGAUAUUCAAGGGUUUCACCGCGCGCAUGGGUGACACCGUGGUCUAGCCGUAGGUGUAUGUGGCGAGGAGGUGGCUUAGCUUAGCUGCGCUGGCGGAUGACCGACGACGGCGGCGGCGCCACGUCUCGGUGCUCAGUCACCGCCCGUGACCUUCAGAGCUUCUCCGCGGUUGAUCCUUGAUCCGAUGGCCUCUCGUGUUUUAACAGAACUUGAAGAUAAACUCAAGACCUUCAUCUUUUAUUUUGGCGUCAACUUGAGAUAAAGAUCGAAUUCACUGAAUUUUUGAAGUUUAGCUCGGGUUAGCUCUGAAUGUCGAUUGAAUUGCACUUGCUGUUCGUCAGUUCGACAGUGAUAUGGACUUUAAAUUGGGAACCAAUUUAAGGACUUAAGUCUUGUUUUUCCAGUCCAAUUUCUUCUCAAAGGUGUACUAUGAUCUCCCAAGUUUCCAUUUUGCACAAGAACAAGUACCUCUUUUGAUUUAAAUGGCUCUGAGUUCAAUCCCAAAGUUGAGACCACACUGUCAUUCAGACUUAGCAAAAGUUUCAGAGUUUCAGUCAUUUGUGAUCUUGUGCUGACUUUGAGCUCGAGGUUGACUUCCUUCCUUUUACUAUUCCUGGCCAACAACACAUGAUUAUUGCAGUCCAAAGUUUAUAUUUCAACAUGGUAUAGUUGUUCUAGUACACUUGGUUGGAAAAUUCUUCAGAAUUGAAUUUUGAAAACAGACUCUGGAACUGCUUUCUCUGAACCUAUUGUCGGACGAGGAACAGUAAACGGGAUUUCCCUUUUCUUCUUCUUUCUCUGAUUCUUUUGAGAUAUUUAGCACCAACUCAGCUCCAAAUUUCGAUUCCUUGCUUCCAAAUAAUCCCAUACUUGUAUUCCACAUGUUGGACAACUUUUUCUGAAUUUCAAAUUUGAAAUUCAAAUUUUUGGUCAAAAUUUGGCCGAAUUUGAUCUUUUUGCCAUUUUUCUUCUCUUUUCUUUUGGAUUUCUUUCUGAAUUUUUCAUAGUCACUAUGUUACUUAAAAUGGCACUUAUUACAACCCCGCCGCUGGUGAGCACCUCCAUAGAGUCCCCUUGACCUCCUCUUCCAAUCCCCAUCCUCACGACCGGACUGCCCCCAAUCCCGCUGGUCAGAAGCCAGCCGCCAUGGCCAUUAGAAGCUCUUUGAGCUUUUGUGAUUAGGCCACUUGGAGAUCCUGUAAUGUUUACAAGUUUUCCUAUGUCUUGCUCCUUUUACAAUGAACCCCAUAGACUUUAUCUGAUCCUUGCAAUCGAACCAAGUUGUAAUCUUUAUCAGAUCUAACCUCGAGCCUUAUCAAUUUCGCGAGCACUCUUUGAUGUGUCUUGCAAAUCUUCUCUGCUAGCCCCUAUUGUCUAGGGUUAGUCACGAUUAGACCCUGUAGCUUGUUUCAUCGAUCCUUUGUUUUAGCUCCGUUUAACCUCAUUCUUAUUGUGUUAGGUUGAUGAUAACAUAAAUUACACGUUAGUAAUGAUGGUUUCCAUCAUGCAUGUUUUUGAAAAUAAAUUUAAUAUUAAUUUUAUUGAUGCCUGUUAAACAUGUCUUCCUUAAUUAAAAGCUACUAUACACCUCUUUUUAUAAUCAAUGUUAAUUUGAUUAAUGCUUACUUCAUAUAUUUUUCUAAAUAAAAGCUAAGUAGAGCUACACCUCGGUUUUUCAUAAACUAAUGUUAAUUAUUUUAAUAUUCAACACUGAGUCAACUUUUCCAAAUAAAAGUUGAUUAGGCUUUUACACUGGCUUUUAUAAAUAAAUAUUAACUUGAUUAAUACCAACAUGAUUAUGUUUUCAAUAACAAUUUGAUCCACUUGAAUCAUAAAGUAUAUGUUUAGAUCUUUCAUAUAGUUUGGCUUUUCUAAAAGUUAAAUGUUUAAAUGAUAUAAUUUAUACUUCAAUAUUUACAAUUAAAAUAUAGAUAAAUUAUAACUCGGUUUUUCUUAAUUAUUGAUAAAAUGACCAAUGUCAAUAUGAAUGUGUUUUCUAAAUAAACUUUGUUUGGCCCAACACGACAGAUGUAUUAAUUCGAUUACAUGUGUUCAUCUUUCUAAAGUUAAGUGUUCAUCUUUUUUUAUUUGGUCUAACUUUAAUCAUUGACAAGUAAGCCUAAUAAUAAUCAUUGAUGGGUGGAACAAUUGUUUUAUUGGUACGUGUCCCUCUCCAUCUCCCCCAACCGGCCCUACCCCGCGUCCAAGCCCCGGCGACGCCCGCCGCUGCGUUCCCCGCCCGCGUCGCCGUCCCCGAGGAGAUCCACAUCCACCGCGCCGUCGGAGACCCUCUCCUUCCUCAUCGCGAGAACCUUCUCCAGCAACGGCGCCUCGUCUUCCUACUCGAAGCCGCUGCCCUCGCUCUUCCGCGGCGUACGUCCCAGCCCCAAGCCCGGCGCCGCGCUAGCCGGCGCUGCCGCGGCAUCCCGAGCGGUCCUUACCCCGCACGCGGCUGCAAUCAAGUCCCGCCGAUCAGUCUCGGCGCCCGUCGAGAAGCUCCUGGAGGAGGGCAGUGGCUUCGAGGCUUCCGAGGAGCUCCCUUCCACUGGAAGCUUGGAAACAGAGGUAGAAGAAAAGGGGAACUCGGAAGUGGUUCCUGAACCGACAAGAGCAAACCGCCAGUGGGAGUGGGACUGAAGAAUUUGAAGAGGAGAAACAUGCAGAAGUGGAAAUUGAAGAGAGUUCUGGGUCUACAAAGCUGGUGCAGGCGAGUACCCUUGAUUCUAUAGUCGCUGACGAUUUCAGUGGGCAUGAGCAAACGCUGAAAAUGGCAGCAUGGUGGAAACCGAUCAAGUUGAGAACCAUACUGCAGUUGUCUAUGAGGAAAAUGCAUAUGACCAAACUGGAGAUGAUAAUUAUGUGCAAUCAGCUCAGAGUAUGGAUCCAAUUGGGUCCGUUUCUGAGGAAAGUUUUGAUGAUGAUCGGGAGGCCGACAGAUCCGACAGAAUCAUCGAAGACCAAGUGGAAUCUGAGAGUUCAAUUGAUAAGGUGAUCGAGGAGAGAAUGGGGCAGCUGGAGAUCAGCAGGAAGGCUGAGAAGAAUGCAGAGAAGAAACAGAAAGUGUCGAUGAAACCGUUGGAGUUGGCAGAGGAGCUUGAGAAGAGGCAGGCCUCGUUUGGUCAACACUGGAAAGAAGGAGCAGCUGCCCAACCCAUGCAACUAGAGGGGAUAGGAAAGGGCCCACCAGCUAUUGGUUACAUGCAAAUCGAGAUGGACAACCCAGUAACUCGUGCCAUGUCCUCACCGUCAUUUAGGCCGGACACCAGGUGCUGGCAGUUCAUGGGAGCUAUAUAGCGAUGGGCACGUCUAAAGGUGCUGUCAUUGUCAUUCCAAGCAAAUACUCCAUUCAUCAAGCUGAAUAUAGCUAUAUAGCUAUAUACUCCGGAUUCAGUAUUUCGAUUUUUGGUAAGUCCUCUGGAGAUACCAAGUUGAAACCCAAAGUAUAAUCAGGACCAUUCCUGCACAUAUCUGUAAUCUUUGAAAAUAAAAGACUCGAUGAAUCUGAAAUCUUCUUAUCCAAACUAAAAGCUAGAACGAUAUUGCUUUUGACCCUGUCAGGUUUUUUAUGUUUAAUGAUUUCUUUGGUAUGCUACACUGUGUUGGUAAUAUCAUGGUCCAUCGCUGAAGGAUUAACUUAAAGAAUGCAUGCAGUUUUUUAUUUCUUUCAUUGUAAUCACCUUCAUAUUGUCCUGCUGCUAUUUCAGAGACGUUAUGUGAAUAGGACAAUUGUUGAACUUGAGGCUGCAGCACAGGAAGAACUUAAGAUAUAACUGAACUGCGUCUUGCAAAGCUUUUCUCAUCAGAGCCGACUGUUCCCUCUACUACUACUAAAACCCCCAACAUCCAAUCAGAUAAAGCAGCAGGUAUCAAUUCCAUUCGAUCUGCGGGAGCUAGAGUUGUCGAAACGAGAUUGGGUUCGCGGAGUUGGAAGAGUUCCAUGUGUGGAUCCCAGGUAAUAAACAGAUAGCAUUAAACCACCCACAAAUGUCUUCUACUACUGUACUUGCAAAGAGAGGACUAGGACAGCGCACCAACAUAUUGUGAAGCGAAGCUAACGUAUUAGUGAAUAAUAACGUGAGAGCAAGUAUGGGCCCGUAGCAACGCACGGGCAUUUCUGCUAGUGAACAUUUAUGAAUAAAACUUGAUUAGGUUUUUAAAUAAAGUAUAAUUUGCAUUAAUUCCAACAUAGGUUAUUUUUCUUUCUUUACAUAUGUUUUGUUAAUUAAAAUAAACCGGGUGUGACAAGAGCAAUCUUGGUUAAAUCCUAUAUACUGCACAUUUGCAUAUUUUGUGUGAGAAAUUGUAUGAUGUGUGACAGCUAGAAAUUUGCUCUACAUAUACCUAACUUUUUAUGCGCGGGUGCGGCUGACUAGCUUCUCCAGAGCAAGCAGACUCAUGCCCCUCCCGCAGGUGUAGUUUGGUCAAGGAGGGAGCAGAGGCGCCGGCCACCUCACACAUCUGUCACGGUUUAACUUGUCACUAGUGGCAUGUCGGGCGUAGGGCUAUGUUUCUUUUAAACUAAAUAGCACAGAAUGGAUAAUACAGCAUUUUGCAAUCGCAAAUAUGUGUGUGUGUGGGUAGGGGUAUUGUUACGUACCGUUGAGAGAAUUAGAAGAAAGAUCCAGCAUUGUUAGCUGGGUCAAAUUAACAAUUGAGCUUGGUAUGCUUCCGGAAAAAUUGCAACCUCGAAGAACUAACCAUCUCAACUUAUUGAGCUGCCCAAUUGCAUAAGGUAUCAACCCAGAAAUCUGACAACCAUGAAUGUCCAUGGCUUCCAAGUUAGUGAGGUUGCCAAUUGGAGCCGGCAUUGAACCUGAAAACCCAGAAUCCACGAUAUACAUGUUUCUCAAAUUUGUGAGCUUGCCAAUUGCAGGCGGCAUUGGCCCUGAAAACCCACAGUGUGCUAUAUACAUGUUUCUCAAAUUUGUGAGUUCACCAAUUGCAGCUGGCAUUGGUCCUGAAAACCAAGCAAACUCGAUAUACAAGUUUCUCAAAUUUGUGAGUUCACCAAUUGCAUCUGGCAUUGGUCCUGAAAAUCCAGCACCCUCAAUAUACAAGUUUCUCAAAUUUGUGAGUUCACCAAUUGCAGCUGGCAUUGGUCCUGAAAACCAAGAUAAUAUAUACAAGUUUCUCAAAUUUGUGAGGUUGCCGAUAGAAGAUGGCAUGGAGCCAUAUGUUGUGCAAUAAUGCAUUUCAAGUGUUUGCAAGCCCGUGAGGUUUCCAACUGCAUGAAGUACUGGACUUGGGAGGUCGCAGUUAUCUAUUUCCAAGUUUUUCAAGUUCAUGAAGUUGCUAAGUAAGAUAGGCGGUACCCCAGAGAAGUUACAUCCAAAGAGUCCCAAACUUGUUAGGUUUUUGUGCUGGCCAAUCCAUGAGAAAAUUGGACCUAAGUCGCUUCCUGAGUCCAAAUCGAUGUCCAACUCAUUAUCCAAAAAACAAUGAAGGUCCAACUGGUGUAGAGACUUAAGUCUACCGAAUGCAGAGAGAAAAUCCACAGAAAUUAAAUUCCUGUUAAGGGCCAACUCCUUCAGCGACGCAAAAUUACUAGAAGGCGUUGGUAUGGCAUAUACAAAGUUGGUCCCAUCUAGUCUCAAAGUUUCUAAAGAGCUGGCAUUAGAAAAGUUUGGCACAUGGCCUGAGAGAUUCAUAUUAUAGGACAAAUCGAGGACCCUUAAAUUUUUCGAUUGAAAGGGUCUAGAGGGUAACCGCCCCUCAAGAUUUGUCUCAGAAAGUUGAAGCACGGUUAAAUUGGGAAAAUCCAUGAAGAACUCUGGAAAUGGACCAGCAGCUGCAUCAAAGUUUCCUUGGAGGUUGAUCACAACAAGAGAAUGGAGUCUCGAGAGCGCUUUAUGAAUAGGACCACUCAGGGAACAAUCAGCCAAACUAAGUACCUGAAGUUGAGGAACAUAUGCAGCAAGAGAUGUGCCCCACUCUUCUCCACUAUUAGACAAAUCCACCGAGUCAAGGUAGAGCUCUCUUAAGUUGCUGAGGUUUGCCACAAAGGUAUCAAAACUUGAUUCCCAUAAAUUGUUAUAAUAAUCAUAAUAGUUUGGACCAUAAAAACCGAGAGAAUAAUCAAUAUUGUAUGUUGAAAGAUCCAAUGAGAGAAGGUUCACUAGUUUACUGAUGCUAGGAGGUAUCUGACCAUAUAAUCCUGAAUUGGAAAGGUUUAGGUGGGUUAAAAAAGUGAACCUCUCAAAACCAGCAGAUUGGAUGUUGUCUCCACCGAUGUCAUUCAUGCUAAGGUCGAGUCGCCAAAGUGAUAUGAGGCUGAAGAGUGCAGGGUCCAAGCCAUGACUUGACAAGCAACGGUUGUUGAGGUCGAGAAUGGUGACAUGGCCAGACGAAGGGUCACAGCCAACACCCUCCCAGAGACAACAGUCGGUACCAUUUCGCCAUGAUGAAAGCCUGGUAGUGGAUCUGCUGAAGGAGAAGGACUUCUUCAGCUGGAGGAGCGCCUUAGCUUGGUUUGGAUGGCACAAAAAUGAGACAGGGAGGUGAGUGAGGUUACCACCAUCAGCGCGGUGGGCAAUGGAGGUGGAGAGUAGUGUGUGGAGCUGAGCAAGAAAGAGCAGUAACACCCAGCCGAUGGAAGCCAUAGCAACUUAGUAUGAGCCGACGAUAGGCUUACAAAGAGGCACAAGGCAGAUACAUAAUGGAUUGUCUAGUCUAGUAAUGCGCGACAGAUUGUUAUGCAGCUUCCAGCAGCUGUCAAGUCUUUGUCCAUUAAUAAAUUAAUUAAUUUACGAGUACCAUGGCUAAGCUGUACGCAAUUGCGACACCUGAGGAGACUUGACUGUACCAUGGGCUAGCUGUACGCAAUUGCUACACCUGAGGAGACUUGACUAGCCUUUCGUCAAAUGCUGUUGGUAUCAUCCACUGCUACAACAGUGACCGGUAAUUGGAAGUCUCACUAUAGCAAGACUUCCAAGUCAACUAAGCCGGCCGCUACAUUCUGAGGAAGGUGGAAUUGAAGAUCAAAUCAAGUCGGGCGUUGGGAAGAAUUAGUCCGCACUCCGCUGAUAACAACAUCGAAUAUACUGAUCUGAUGUGCUUCAUUUUUUUUUGGGUUGGAGUGGAGCGGCAUCAAGAUCCUACUGCUGUGGAAAACACUGAAUUGACUCGUUUUAUCUCCCACAAAACGUGGCUGAAGAUGAUAGUGGUGCUUCAAGAAACAGCGAGAUGGAGCAAGUAAAAAUGCAGUUGAGCCGCAGCUAAAACUUGUCGAGGUUACCACGAUGCUCGUGAAUCAUAGUAUUCCAGCCGCGGUAGUUCUCGUCUUGUCGAAGGAGAUGUUGCAGUGUUCACGUCUAGAGCUCAUCCAAUCCAUGGCGUUCCUCUGGCCGAGUCGUCGAUACGAAGGAGACGUCGCGUCACAUGCGUGUUCCUCAUGUCACCUUUGCCUACGACCAAUAAGACGAUGACACCAGAACCUUUUUAUUUUUUCCCCUAAUCAGCAGCUUUCAAAGCGGGCGCCUGCGGACAGCACUGUCCGCGUCAGAUUUGGCACACAUUAGCCGCAGUUGCACUCGUCCACGUCCGGUCCUCCCCCACCCCACCCCACCACCACCACCACCACUGAUUGCCGAAGCUCCCUACACUACAGGGUAAGGAACAGCUAAGAUCUGAGCAAGUAAAGUCGGGAUAUUUAAUUAUUUGCCAUUCUUAUAACGAAUUCCUACAUAUCUGUCAUUGAAGAAAGAAUUAGUCUAUACUUUUACCAUUUUUGCUGAUGUGGUGAGCCACAUCCUCGUGCUAGCAUGAAUUGAGCAUGGCAAUGACCAUAGUGCCCCUGCCUCCCUCACGUUAGCCAUCCCCUUCCCUCUAUCCUACCACUAAUGGAUGGGGACUCACAUGUCAGGGUCAUCUUCAACCUAUUGCCGCAUGGUCUUCCGCUGUUGUGCGGCUCCUCUACGGUACAUCACGGGGGAGGAUACCACGACUUGGAGGUGUCGGGUGGACUACAUUUUCACUCAGAAGGACCUUAAUCUAGGACAGCGUCGUUGGUUGGAGUUGAUCAAGGACUAUGAUCUGGAAAUUCACUAUGAUCCUGGUAAAGCAAAUUUGGUUGUAGAUGCCUUGAGUUGGAAGGGUCAUGCUAACAUAGCUUUGGCAUUUCAGCUGCCUGAAGAGUUGAUGAAGGAGUUUGAGAAACUUAACUUGGGGAUAGUUGCCCAUACUGAAGGAGUGACUAUGGAAAGAAAUACGGAAUGGACAGCUUGAGGAUGUUGAGAUCAAGGAGAUCAAGGAACUUAUGAAGGAAGGGAAGGCUCCAGAAUUCAUAGAGGAUGAUCAAGUGACUAUAUGGCUCAGAAAGAGGAUUUGUGUACCGAAUGUGGGAGAUCUCAGAGACACCAUCUUGAGGAAAGCUUGUGAUUCAGCCUACUCAAUUCGUCCUGGGAGAACCAAGAUGUAUCAAGACCUCAAGAAGAAGUAUUGGUGGUAUGGGAUGAAGAAGGAUGUAGCUGCACAUGUGGCCCUAUGUGAUAGAUGCUAGAGAGUUAAGGCUGAACACCAAAGACCAGCUCGAUUGCUUCAACCAUUAAAGGUUCCUGAAUGGAAGUGGGAGGAAAUCAAUAUAGAUUUCAUUGUUUGUUUGCCCCGCACCUAAGAUGGAUAUGAUUCAAUAUGUUUUAUAGUGGGUCAAUUGACCAAGGUAGCUCACUUCAUCCGAGUGAGAACCACCUAUGCUGGGUCCAAGAUGGCAAAGCUGUAUAUAUCAAGGAUUGUGUGUUUGCAUGGUGUACCCAAGAAGAUAGUGUCUGAUAGAGGUACUUAGUUCACAUCCUGUUUCUAGUAGAAGCUGCAUGAAUCCAUGGGUACAAAGCUAAAUUUCAGCUCAUCUUAUCAUUCUUAGACAGAUGGACAGAUUGAUAGGACAAAUUAGAUUCUAGAGGAUAUGUUGAGAGCCUGCGCUCUAAAACAUGGAGGUAUUUGGGAUAAAAGUUUGCCUUAUGCUGAGUUCUCUUAUAACAACAACUACCAAGCCAGUCUCAAGAUGUCACCCUUUGAGGCUCUAUAUGGAAGGAAGUGCAGAACCCCUCUGUAUUGGAGUGAGACAGGAGAGAGUCAAUUAUUUGGGCCAGAGAUUAUCCAAGAAGCUGAAAGGCAAGUUCAGAUAAUUAGAGAGAAUAUGAGGACAGCUCAGUCCAGGUAGAAGAGUUAUGCUGAUACUAAAAGGAGAGAAUUGAUCUUUUAGGAAGGUGAUUAUGUGUAUCUUAAAGUGUCACCCAUUAGAGGCUUACGCAAAUUUAAGGUUAAAGGGAAGUUGCCACCUCACUUUAUUGGACCCUUCAAAAUUCUAAAGAGAAUGGGGAAGUAGCUUAUUGGUUGGUGUUACCCAAUCAGCUCUCAGAUGUGCAUGAUGUGUUUCAUAUCUCUCAGCUAAAGAAGUGUCUCAGAGUUCCAGAGGAAUAGAUACCGAUGGAGGAUUUAAAUGUAAAGGAUGAUCUCACCUACACUGAAUACCCUAUAAAAAUCUUGGAUACUCUAGCACGUGUUACCAGGAAUAGAGUGAUCAAGAUGUGUAAGGUACAAUGGAGCUACCAUGCAGAGGAUGAGGCAACAUGGGAAAGAGAGGAUGAACUGAAGGAGGAAUUUCCCCAGCUCUUUGCUAAUCCAUCCGAAUCUCGAGGACGAGAUUCUUCUUAAGAGGGUAGGAUUUGUAACACCCUAAUUUUCAACUUUUGCAAUUUAAUAAAAUUUGUUAGAAAUUAGGUGCAUGUGUCUAAGGAUUUUAAGGUUGCAGUUAAAUUUUCUUAGGCAAUUAAAUCUUUUUCAAAAUAAAGUAAUGAAUCAUAGGAGUUUAUUAUUGCAUUCGUGCUGGUGCAUUAUUUUUGGUUGCUUGAAUUCAAAUUUGUGUUUGAAUUCAGUUUUGAAUUUAUGUUUGUUUUCCCUUCAAACAAUAGGAAACCCUUUUCGUUUUCCCUCCUUUUCUUCUCUCUCUUUCGGCCCGUCUCCUUUUUCCGGCCCAACUCAGCCCGGCGCCCCACUCCUCCUCCGCCUGUCGCAUGCCACAGCCCAGCAGCAGCCCAACUCCCAUGUCGGUUCGUUCCGCCUCGGCCCAACACCACGCGCCCGCCGCCACCCGAUGACAGGCGGGGCCCGCCUGUCAUCUCCUUCCUUCGGUCGCCCACGCCGCAACCGACUCGGGGUCGAUCCCGAAUCCUCUGUGCUCACCUCCACUUGGCCCGCACGCCAAGGUGCCUCCUUCCAGGCCUAUAAAAGCACCGCCACAUCUCCUGCACCUCGCACCAAACCCUAGCUCCAAGCCACAGCGCUAACGCUGCAACCCUAGCUAGCCGCCCGCUGUCGUCGAUUUGUGCCGCCGCCGCCUUUCCGUCGCCAAGAAUACCCCCAGGAGCUUUGCCGCAAGGUGAGGAAGCCCCUGGUGCGGGUCUCGUGCGCUCCCAUGCCUCUCUCCGGGCGCACGAGCUCGUUGGAGUUGGGCAAGCUCGGCCGGGCCACCUCGUUGAGCCUCCGGCCACCACUAGCACCCAAUCCUCCUCCUCAACACCCUAGAUUGACUCUUCGUGUUAAAAACCAUGCCCAGAAACUCAAUUCCGAGCAAAGUUCAGCGUGUCGCUGCUCGUCGUCAUCGCGCGCUGCUCGCGUCCGCCGCCCACGCGCCGUCCAUGUCCUCUCGGCAGCCGCUAGCUGUACGAUCUGCUUUGGACAGCUCAGAUCCGAUCUAACCCGAGUCAAACCAACACGUACUAGUCAACCCCCAUGCCGCACCGUUCAUUUUGCUAAAUAGUCCCUAGGUUUUAGGGGUUUUGCACCCAAGGUCCAGAGUAGUUCAAAGAUCUUUAGAUCUCGGUCCUUUUUCUUCUGUUCUAGCCCUUGAUCUUUUGCAAAAUAGUGCCCACAAUCCUAGACUCUCUCUUUUGUGCGUUAAACCUUUAGUUUAUACGCAUAUUUAUGUUUUAGCCCUCGGUUUCUUCGAGCUUAACCCCUAAAAGUUUUAAAUCUUUGCCAGCAAGCCCUUGCACCUUGUUUAGUGCACAUCUUUAGCGUUUUAGGUCCAUUUUAAGUGCUUCCUACGUCUAUGAGUUCAUCUUUACGCAUAGAUUAGUUUUAUGAUCUUGUUUCUCUCUGUUGUUACUGAUUGAUGUAAUAUUUUCUUAUUUUAUUCCUUUGCUUGCUUGUACGUGAUCGUGUGAUGCAUUAGAAGGACUGUAGCUCGAGGGAUUCAGAGGUCAAGACUUUGAAGACUACGAGCAGCUGGAGCAAAUCCAAGAAGGCAAGUCAUGCCCUUGAUCACAACUUGAAGCUAUGAAACUUUUUAAUUUCCUAUUUAAUAACAUUUAUGCCAUGCACUUUAAGUUACAAACAUGAUGUGUCCUAAUUAAGGAGGAGUGACUAGUUUUAUUCCCAAUACCUCGAUCAACCCGGGCUUACAUAAUGUUGGGUAGUAUAUGCUUAGUUGCUCAACUUGGGUAUGGUGGUAUUAAUGAACUCAAUGGUUAAACUUGUUUUAUUUAUGAUAUGCCUAUCAUUAACACAAAAUCACCAUACUUAAUUAGAACAUGGAGAACCAACUGGGCAAACAGUACAACCACAAGAACUAAAUGGCUCUGGUCUUGACUAAUUAAUUAGAGAUUUUAGUCUGGGGUAAUCUUACCGAAAGGGCAAGAUGGGCGGCGGCAAAUGGGGUAUAACCCGGUCCACUUGGGAAGUGAGCUUUGCCCUAACAUUAUGCCCACUGGCGAGGUUUAUACUCUGCUACUGAUCCGGAAACCUUAGCGGGUUACCACUUACUAGGGGCUCUUUGUGAAGAUCUCGUAGCGUCCCUAUGCAAUCGCACCUCGGUAGUGUGGUAUUGUGCAUAGCCUGCACAACAUGGUUGGGUAUAAAGUUCUUUUGAACUUUUACGCGACUUGUGGGUAAAGAUGUGCAAGCUCUAUAGAGUGUAAAACUGACCGAUCAGUCAUGCUCACGGUCAAGAGCGGCCUGGACCCUCACAUGAUUAAAUUAUCGGAAGUUGAAUUAAAUUGUUAUUAUUUAUUUCUGUUAUCUUUAUUUAUGUUCACAUUGAAUGUGGGUGGUAUAAACUUACCGUUUAGUAAAUGCUAAUAAAACUUGACCAGCCAAGUAAAUGCUAAUAAAACUUGACCAGCCAAUUAAAAUGCUUGACUUGCUAAUCAAUCUUAACCUAUCAUUGAAUGGCCAUACACUACACAUUCCUCACGCUUGCUAAGUACCAACCAUAAGUGUACUUACCCUUGCUAAAAUCGCUGCUCAGAACAAGUCAACGCUGUGGAUGUCUUUCAAGAUUGGGAGGAGUACUAGGCGCGUACGUGUUUCUCCAGUCAUCUGCCUGUGGAGUCGCCGUUUUCGUUGAAGAUCCACUGCGACAAUAAUACUCUUUUUGCCAUUCGGUUUAAAAGACUAUCGAUCAUGUAAUAAUUAUAUACUCUCUCUACAUUAUGGCAUUAUCUUUGUUACUCACUAAAGUCAUCGCAUAUGUGUAAUUUGAUUCUGAUGUACAUGUGAUUCAUGCAUCUGGUUUUGCCUUUAAAAUAGAGAUACAUGGCCUUUUAUAUUGUUUCUGGACAUGCUGAGAUAUCUGGUGUCCCUAAGAUAGGAUGCCCAGUUGGGUGGAACGGAAGAGAAUCCGUUGUUGGAAUAUCCCAAGAAAGAAGCUGAUGCGUUUGGCAUUGGGAUCUGCCCUAAAAGCCUAUUGAAACUAAGAUCAAGCACUAGUAGUGAUUUACUAAAAGGGAGAACAUCCGAAGCAAGUUGCAUGCCCGUAAGCACGUUAUGCGAAAGAUUCAAAUAAUAAAGGCUACUACUGCUCCAUGUCUCCCAGAUCCGAUUUGGUAUAUCCCCACUGAUUUUAUUAGAUGAAAGAUCCAAAUAUUGUAUAUUUUUAAGACACAUCAAAGAUGUUGGGAAUCGAAUUAUAUUGCAAGACGCGAGCCCUAAAUAGUAAAGUCUGGCCAAAUAGGUAGCCAAAGGAUUAUUACCAUCUGCAUCCGUGACAUGCAACUCAUUGUAGGAAAGAUACAAACUGGUGAGAUCAGUUGAUCUCCAAAAAUGGGAGAGGUCCACGGAACCUAUCAACUUGUUUCGAGCUAACAUCUAUAAGUACCAAACUUGUUAGUUGAAAGAAGGCCUUGGGAAUAAAACCUGACAGAACAUUGUUGCUCAAGCGCACUUUCGCCAACCGUGAUUCUGCCUCGUCAAAGCCAUAUAUGGGGCCAGAAAGUUGGUUGUAAGAAAGAUCCAGGACACUUAAUGCAGGAAGACUGAAAAUAGAUGGUGGAAUCUCUCGUGCAAAGACAAUAGAAAACAUUAAGUUAGAAAGUGUCUCCUCUUCUAGAAAUAUCUGAAUUCAGAAAAUGAUGGCUCCUAUUUUGUUCAGAACAUGAUAAGUUAUGCCACUGAUACUGUACCAUCGAAAAAGCUCCCAAGUCUAGUUAUUUUAUCCUUAGAAAGUUGCAUGACAUAGACUCUAAAGCGAACACUUUAUGUGGUUACACUUAAAGAUUGCUUUGUUUCACCACUCAGUCCAACUGCAGAACGUGCGGCUAGCGGCUUUCACCGAGGAGCAAACUGGAGGGCAAGAGGAGAAAAUCACCAGAAUCAAGUAAGCUGGGGUAGCAAAUCGCCCAUUUGUUCCUGUUUUGUUGGCGUGCUGUUUAUGGGUAGUGUUGUUUAUUUUUAGGUGUAUGCAAAAUGUAUUCUUGAUGAAAUAUGUUGCAUCACAUAUUCUCGAAUAAAAAAGUGAAAACAUUGGUGCUCUGUUGAAUUUCAAUUAUAUUGCUGGAAUUCCUUCCUCCAUUUUUUUUCUUUUUCCUUUUCUUGAUUUUCAAUUAUGUUUGAUGGAAUUUCUUUGAUUCAAAUUUGACUAUAAUUUAUUGAGCUUCAUGCACCAAUCAGUUGCACCUAAAGUCUUAACCCGAUUGGGAAGGACGACAGUUCUAUUAUACUUCAACAUGAUUAACACUCGAAUUCCAAGGAAAACCACUUCAAAUCCCAACAGCCAAGUGGAGCCACAUCACAUUUCGAAGGGGAGAAUGGAGCAUCUGAUUAGAGAAAAGAUACUUCCAAAAUUUGAUUUCUCUGACUUAGAUCAAUCCGUUGACUGUAUUAAGGGAAAAUUUGCAAAACAAAUUAAAAAGGAUGGAGCUAAGCACAGUUCAGGAUUAUUAGAAAUAAUUCAAACUCAUAUAUACGGUCCAUUUAAUGUAAGAUCAGUGGAUGGUUAUAAUUAUUUCAUUACCUUCACUGCUGAUUUCUCCCGCUAUGGAUACAUCUAUCCCAUACUUGAAAAGUCUGAAGCACUUGAUAAGUUUAAAAUCUUUAAAGAUGAAGUAGAAAAUCAGCAUGACUUAAAGAUCAAAGUGGUAAGAUCAGACAGGGAAGGGGAGUAUUAUGGGAAACACUCCACAUAUGGACAAAUUCUGGGACCCUUUGCCAGAUUUAUCCAAGAUAAUGGUAUAGCGGCUCAGUAUUCCACUCCUGGUGAGCCUCAGCAAAAUGGUGUUGCUGAGAGAAGAAAUCGCACUCUUAUGAACAUGAUGGAUAGUAUGCUCAGUAACUCUACGCUGCCAGUGAGUUUGUGGAUGAAAGCUUUAAAGACUGCCGCGCACAUUAAUAAUCGUGUUCCUAGUAAGUCAGUUCCUAAGACUCCUUAUGAGCUUUAGACUGGUAGGAAGCCUAGUAUGAAUUAUUUACAUAUAUGGGGCUGUGCAGCUAAAGCAAAGAUUUUUAAUCCACAACUUGGGAAAUUAGAUCUAAGACUGAAAGUUGUUAUUUUAUUGGAUAUCUAGAAAAGUCAAAGGGGUACCGCUUUUAUUGUUCUAAGCGUACCACUAAGUGUGUGGAGACAAGGCAUGCUGUUUUCUUAGAGGAAACUCGAUGCACUGAGGCUAGGAAAAUUCAUCUUAAGGAGAUUCGGACUUAUGAGCCAUUACCCAUAAGAUAGAAUUAUUAUGCUUCUAUGCCAUAUACCAUAGUUACAUCUCAGGUGGUAGAACUUCCAGUAGAAAAUGUGGGAGUAACACCUACCUUAAGUGAUAAUGUAGAUGCACAUGUGAUACGUGAGCAUCAAGAUGAAGAUGUGGUAGAACCUGCUGGUGGAUUGCAAGGGGAGGCAACUGAUGAGCCCGAGGUGAUUCAGCAGGAACCGGCUCAAGUAGAAGCACCACAAGAAGUAACACCACAACAUCUGAGAAGGUCAACAUGUGAGAGGAAGUCCACCCGUUCCGAUGAGUAUGUGUACAUAAGUGAAGAAGGGCACAACAUGGGGAAGGUGGACGGUCCAAACUCAUUUAAGGAGUCCAUAAGAAGUGAACACUUGCAUAAGUGGAGCGAGGCCAUGGAAGAAGAGUUGAAGUCCAUGGAAGCAAAUAGAGUAUGGGACUUAGUAGAAAUUGCUGAAGGAGCCAAAACAGUAGGCUGUAAAUGGGUCUACAAAAUGAAAUAUGACUCUAAAGGUUAGAUUGAAAGGUUCAAAGCAAGACUCGUGGCUAAGGGCUUCACUCAAGUAGAAGGAGUCGAUUAUAAUGAAACCUUCUCGGCUAUCUCAAAGAAAGAUUCAUUUAGAAUCGUUAUGGUUUUAGUAGCUCAUUAUGAUCUUGAGCUACAUCAGAUGGACAUUAAGACUGUGUUCCUUAAUGGUGACUUGCAUGAGAAUGUAUACAUGAAGCAACCUGAAGGUUUCGUCGUGCUAGGCAAGGAACAUUUGGGAUGCAAACUAUGAAAAUCCAUUUAUGGAUUGAAACAAGCAUGCAGACAAUGAUACCUUAAGUUUGAUGAAGUAAUUAAGAGAAUUGGCUUCAUUGAAAAUAAGAAAGACAACUGCAUAUAUGUUAAGACUAAGGGGAGCUCUAUAAUGAUCCUAGUGCUUUAUGUGCAUGACAUCCUAUUAGGAAGCAGCGAUAAGAACUUGCUGCAUGAGACAAAGGGCUUUCUCUCAUCGAACUUUGAUAUGAAGCACCUCGGUGAUGCCGCUUAUGUCUUAGGCAUUGAGAUUCACCGAGACAGGUCCAAGGGUGUACUAGAACUCUCUCAAAGAGCUUACAUAGAGAAGGUCCUUGAAAGAUAUAAUAUGCAGCAAUGUUCAGGCACAACUGCUCUAGUUAUCAAGGACGAUAAGUUUGGGUCAUCCCAAAGUCCUAGGAAUCAAUUAGAAAUUGAUCAAAUAAGAACGAUUCCUUAUGGUUCAGCUGUCGGAAGUAUAAUGUAUGCAAAAGUGUGUACACGCCCUAACUUGGCCUUUAUAAGCGGGAUGCUUGGAAGCUAUCAGUCUAAUCCAGGAAUAGGCCAUUGGAAAGGAGUUAAGAAAGCUUUGUGUUACAUGCAAGCACUAAGAAUUACAUGCUAAUGUACAGGAGAACUGAGAAAUUAGAGAUAAUCAGCUAUUCAAAUGCUAAUUUUGAGGGUUGUGUUGGCACAAAGAGAUCCACAUUAGGUUAUGUCUUCACACUUGCAAAUGGGGCUAUAUCGUGGAAAAGCUCCAAACAAACAUUAAAAGCUGCAUCGAUGAUGCAAGCUGAGUUUGUGGCAUGUUAUGAAGCUGUGGGACAAGCUGUAUGGCUUAAGAGUUUCAUCCUAGGAUUAAGACUGGUAGACAACAUAAGUAGGCCACUAAAAUUAUACUACGAUAAUAAGUCAAUAAUUUUCUAUUCGAAUAACAACAAGUCAAGUGAUGCUGCAAAGCACAUUGAAAUUAAGUAUCUUGAUGUGAAAGAUAGAAUCCAAGAUAAUACCAUUGAGUUAGAGCAUAUAAGUACUAAGAAAAUGCUUGCGGAUCCAUUAACAAAGGCUUACCUCCCAUUAUAUUCAUUGAACAUGUUGCCGGUAUGGGAUUAUCGGAUAGCCUGUGAUCUUGGAGGGUCAUAAGACAACCGCCUCCCAUCAUGAUAGGUAGUUUUAUACAUUGUGGAUAACUGUGUCACAGUGGGAUUUUAAUCAUCAUUGUCACACAUUGUCUCCCUACAUAAUUCUGCUUUAAGAAUGGCAUAAGUUAUAGGCCUUUAGACCAAAGGGGAGAACGUUUGGAAAAAUAAUGUGGUGGUCAAAAGGCCGAGAGGAAAACGGGAAGGAUAAGAUUGAUGCCUCCCGAUCACAGUGGCGCUGGAGUUGGCCAAAGGCCAUCACCGCACCACCGUCGCUGUCCAUGGACAGACGAGGUGGAGACCUGAAGGGAGAUGUGAUCUACUCCGAGCUAGUACACCUAUGACAUCCGUCAUCCCGGCCUCGUCGAAGACCCUAAUGGCCAGAUCAUCACAAGCCGUGGCAGCUGGUUGUACUCUAACAUCUUCAUUGAGUGGUGUUCACGUUCUAGAUGUGCAAAGAUCCUGUUUUAGUUAAGAUUAAGUAAUGUAGAUUCCUACAGAGUUAAUGAAGCCAACCUCUCGAUUCCAGUAGCAAGGAUGUUGUCUGAUGGCAUAUCUUCAUCUUGUGCCCCACUAACAUCAUUCAUGCUAAGGUGAAGGCUAUUAGGCGGUGUAUAGCCGUAUAUAGCCGAUUUAUAGCUUUUCAUGUAUACUGAUUGUAUUCCUUGUAUACCAAACCAUAUUGGCUAUAUAAUAGAGGUCACCCCCCUCAUUAGGGUGCAUGGUGUUUUCCCAAACUCUAUCUCUCUACAUGGUAUCAUGAGACCAGGAUCAAUCUGACUGGGACUUUCCUUCCGCUCCACCUCUUCCCGACGCGCCUAACACUAGGUGCACCUCCUGUGCAGUGGCACUUCUCCCCUGCACCGGCGCCUCUCCCCACCUCCCUUCCUCCCAUGGCCAACGAUUCCUCUGCCAAGUCCUCCCUGUCCGGUGGCGGCCUUCUGUCCACUGGUGGCCCCAGGCUGGCGCCUGGCGAUGGCUCCCUGCCCAUCUCUGGUGACACCACCACCCCACUAGACCUGAACCAUUGGGCGGCUCAGGCGCCCUCCCUGCUGCUAGUGACGGCCCUGCACUGCCCCCGUGGCGGCAGUCUUCUCCUCCACCAGGCGCCGCCGGCCAUCAUCCACCGUUACGCCAUGAUCUCUGUCAAGGCUCACGUCCCCAUGACGUGGACGAUGAAAACCUUUGGCUACUCCAAGUGGGCUUUAUUCUUCAAAUCCAUGUGUGGAAAGUUCGGCCUCAAGUCACACAUCGACAGCACCGUGGUGUCCCAUCCUGACGAUUCCGAUUGGGAUCAAGCGGAUUGCUGCAUCCUCUUCUAGAUCUUUGGCUUUGUCUACAACUCCAUCGUGGACCUCGCCAUGGAGGACCACGAGUAGACCGCCAGGGCCCUCUAGCUCACCAUUGAAGGCCUCUUCCGCGCCAACAGGCAAUUUCGGGCGAUCUUCCUUAGCUACGACUUUCACUCCAUGACCCAGAGGGACAUUGGUCACCCCGUUCAGGACUCCCAGUUGGUCCUGAAUCUUCUCCAUGGCCUCAACCCGCACUACUCCAACACCACUGACGACAUCACCAACUCCCCCGCCAGCUUCCCGUCCUUCGCCCAGGCUUGUGACAUGCUCGCCUUGAAGGAGCUUCGCCUCGCCAACUUGCUGCUUACGUGCUGCUCUACGUCGAUGACAUCAUCCUCACCGCCUCAUCUUCGAUGCUCCUCCAGCACAUCAUGGCUAGUUUUCACUCUGAGUUUGCCAUGACGGAUCUUGGUGAUCUUCAUCACUUUCUCAGCAUCUCCAUCACGCGCUCCACUGACGGCCUGUUCCUAUCCUAGUGACAGUACACCCUGGACCUCCUCCAGCAUGCCAGCAUGGCUAAGUGUCACUCUACGGCGAGUCCUGUUGACACUCAUGCCAAGCUCUCGGCGACCGACAGCAACAAGCUCAAGGAUGGCUCUGAGUACAGGAGUCUUGCAGGGGCUCUCCAGUACCUCACCUUGACUCGACUUGACCUGGUAUAUGUAGUUCAGCAGGUGUGCCUCUUCAUGCACGAUCCCUGCGAGCCUCAUCUCACACUGAUCAAGCACAUCCUGCGCUAUGUGAAGGGCACCCUGUCCUCCGAGCUUCACAUCGGCACCGGCCAUGUCCAGUCCCUGACAGCCUACUCCGAUGCGGAUUGGGCUGGCUGCCCGGACUCUUGAUGCUCGACCUCCAGCUUCUGAGUCUAUCUUGGGGAUAACUUGGUGUCUUGGUUCUCCAAGCACCAGAGCAUAGUGUCUCGGUCCAGUGCUGAGGCUGAAUACCGGGUUGUGGCUCACGCUGUUGUAGAGUGUUGCUAACUUCGACAACUUCUUCAGGAGCUAUGUCCCCCUCGCUUUGGCCACUGUUGUCUACUGUGACAAUGUGAGUGUUGUCUAUAUGACAGCCAAUCCGGUUCAUCAUCGAUGCAGAAGCAUAUCAAGAUUGACAUCCACUUCGUCCGGGAGAAGGUUGCUUUAGGAUAGGUCCGAGUGCUUCACGUGCCUUCGUCCCAUCAGUUCAUGGACAUCAUGACAAAAGGCCUUCCAGUUCAGCUGUUCACUGACUUUAGGUCCAGUCUUUGCAUCCGGGAACCUCCCGCUGCGACUGCGGGUGGGUAUUAGGCAAUGUAUAGCUGUAUAUAGCUGAUUUAUAGCUUUCCAUGUAUACUAAUUGUAUUCCUUGUAUACCAAACCAGAUUGGCUAUAUGAUAGAGGUCACGUCCCUCAUUAGGGUGUGUGGUGUUUUCCUAAACUCUAUCUCUCUACAAAAGCGACAAAGGGUUGUCAAGCUGAAGACUGCAGGGUCCAAGCCAUUAUUGGACAAGCCACGAUUGUUGAGGUCAAGUACGGUGACAUUACUGGAGGCGUCGUUGCAGCCAACACCUUCCUAGAGACAGCACUCGGUACCAUCUCACCAUGAUGAAAGCCUUGUGGUCGAUUCAUGGAAGGAGAAUGACUUCUUCAGCUGGAGGAGCACCUUAGCUUGGUCUGGAUGGCACAAAAAGGGAAGAUGAGUGAGGUUGCCACCAUCAGCAUGGUGAGGUGGCAGGGAGUGUGAGGAGCUGUGCAAGACAGAGCAGUAACGCCCAGCCGGUGGAAGCCAUGGUCCAAUGGAGGUAUGAGCUGACAAGCGUCAAAAUGGCACAGAUAUAUAAUGGUAGUCUAGUCUAGUAAUGGGUGACAGAAUUGUUGUACAUCUUGUGAAGCGGUAGUUUCACACAAGGCUUCUUCCAUGAGCUUAAGUGAUGGUCGCAAUUCAGAAUCUCCAAGUCUCUGCCCCUGUAAACACGCCAAUCAAGUAAGGGUAAGAUACAGACGUACACUAGCAAUGGAUCAUGACAGUAAGUUAUGGAAGAGACUUGUUACAACUUAUGAGACUUUCCAUAGUUGCUGUCGGUAUUGUUCAGCACCACUGGACAUAAUUGCGACCUGGGAAGUGGAGCUCCAACUAUCAAGGCUUCCAUUUCAGAAAGAAAAAAAAGGACUUCCAAGUCAAGUAAAGUGGCUACGAACCGAGGAAGGUGGAGCUGAAGCACAAAUCAACUGGAUAAACAGUAAAAAGAAAGUAGAGUAAAAUUCACAAAACAUACCUCAAGCUUGUAGUUUUCUAAUACCAGAAAAACUCAAGUUUUCCGAAAUUCGCUGUUAAAAAAUGAAAAAAAGAAAACGAAGAGCAACGCUUUAUCUUUCAGCAUGCAAAAACUGGUAGCAGGUUAGGAUAUAAAUGAGGCAUGCAUCAGCAAUGCUAGAGCGAGGAUGCAGAACAAACAUUUAACGGUUUUCCAAAGUUGCAACGACGAUUGAAUUUAUCUUGUCCCUGGCGCAAUAUAACAGCACGAGCAUCCCAUGUUACAACAUUUGAAGCAUAACAGAGCCAACAUCCAAACAUUCAACAUUCAGUUAACACCAACCGUUCUGACUACAGCACAACCAGGUUGCAGUCUUGAACAACCAUAACACUAACCAGUUCAGAACCAAAUUAUCAGUCCCGCAUUUUCACUGGUAGCAGAGCAGCAGCACUUGCUUCAGUUUUUGAAGCUGCCAUGAUCCACUUCGUCCCAUCGUCAGAUGGUGCCAUCCUCACCAGCUCCAAGGAUAGUGCUAGAAAAGGAAGACAACGUCACAUUUUUAAUCAACCCAAUGCAAAAACAGAAAAAGAAAUUAAGCAAGAACAUUACACGCAAUUGAGAAUUUCUCCAUCAGUAAAAAAGAAAACUAGAAUAGGCAAUACACCAAGAGGAGCAUUAGAGUGAAGUACCUUCCAUCAAAAGACACUGCAGUCUGCCUUAUUGGUGAUCUGUAUUGCUGAUUAUAUAGCCUGAAAAUGAUACAGUAUUUGCAUCCAGAAGCAUAAGAGUUACUAAUACGCAGCACCAAUAAAAGUGGAGGACAAGAAUAACUGAAAUUCUUGCAUUAAAAAUUACCGGGCAAUUAGGACAGGAGGGCUUGACUGUACUUCCCACACAUAGAUUUUGCCUUCACGAUUUCCUGUUUGAAGCGGAGGAUGAUUAAUCAGCAAACGUUUCUAUGAAAAUCCAGUCAUAUAUUUUAAGUGUGAACAUUUUGCCAUGCCAAAACCUCUUUAUAACUUCUGGUGUGUGAAAUUUACAAAUCAAUAACUUAAAUAUAACUUUUAUGUCAGAAAACAGCCCAGAUCAUAGAUAUUACCUAUUGCCAACUGAUUGAAGUGAAAAUCGCACGAAAAUUUUAUAAACCAGAUGUCACACUCUGGCACAGGGUACUUCUGAAGAAUAUCGAUGCUUCCCUAUAUGAGGAAAGAGAAAGUCAUAUUACUUCAGAGGAAUGGGCAGUCAACGACUAGAAAUCAAAGAAACCGCUGGAAGUUAAAUUCAAGAAAAGUUAAAUUGUAUCACCUCCCUAGGACUUUGUUCUUUUGUUUUUGGUUCCCAAAGCACAAUUUCAUUCUCAACACUCUGCAAAUCCAAGCUAGCAUAGAUCAGAUUCCUCAUUAUACAGGAACCAAAACUGGCACUGGGAAAGAAAAGGUUGAAAGACUGAACCCAUGCACAGUACAAGAAUACAGGAUCCAGAUACAGUGGUAUUUUGAAGCAUCAAAAGAAUGACGACUGUACUACUACUAUAGCAGCAAUUUGUAUCCAUUUAAGGGAAGGAAUUUCACCUUUGACAGGAUGAAGUCACCAAGCCAUCUUGUACAAUCAACAUAGUUAGAGUGUACUGCAGCAAUCAACACCUGCAAGGAAAGAAACAGGUUGGUUUGAUGGCAUGAGGAUUAACCACCAACAGUAGUUUGCAAAGGAAUAGAUCUAAGAUUAUUAUAGAUGCUAAACAUACCGGAAACUGGACAUAUUUUGUUGGAAACUUUGAUGGAAGGUCAGUCCAGGAAUAUGAUUUGUCAACAUAUUGCCAAAAUUCUGUGACAACAUUGGGAAACUCUAUCAAUGAUAUGCAGCAUGCAAAUGUAAACAUGAUGCUACUUUGAAGUAGUUUUCCAACCUUUCAUUGACCAGAUUUUCACAGUGUUGUCCAUGCCACAACUUGCAAAACGCUCAAUAUCACUAGGGUGGAAGUCCUUCUGCCAAAAUAAUGUAUUUUGAUCAGUACAUUUAUGCCUAACGUAAUGGAAGUACAAAAGCCAUAGUAGUCACCACUCACCAGGACUAUAUUUAUCCCUGAUGUAAUGCUCAAUAACAAACAGUAACAUCAGAAGCUGAAAGAGUGGUAGCUUCAGGGCACUUUGAGCAAGUAAUAUUCUGAAACAAUACCAUAAGAGGAGGCAGGAGCUACUUACAACACUCAACACUUCAUUGCGAUGACCUCCAGCUCCAGCAAAUACCAAGAUGCAGAUCCCUGUAUGGACAUUCCAUAGCCUAACAGAUUCAUCCUAUUCAAUAAUGUCAUAUGAAACAGUGUCAGAACAAUUAUAAGAAAGUACAUUCAGCCUAAGAACAGGUUAUCUGCUAACCUUGCUUGCAGAGAAAUGAUGAGCGAAGGCUUCAACGCUUGAGUCCUUAUCUCAUUUAUUGAGUCACCAUGGCCAACAAAGCUCUGUAGAAUUCCAUAAACAGAAAUAACAAAUAAACACGUGCACAGUCUAAUUCAUAGGAUAGGAUAGUAUUUAUUGGCAUGCCCAGUCUCCUGACUAUAUGUAUAACGCCAAAAUAGAUACACUAGGUUGAACGUGUCUUGACUAUGACGGACAUGCUGAAGUAUCCAAAAACCAGAAUCUUCUGUGAGCAAAAGUUACAGUUUGCUAGUGGUAUUAAUGCAUAGCAAACAGACAAUUCCAUAAUCAAACCAAAUUCAAAUGACCUUCUGGAUCGGAUAUCAUAGAUGGUAUCUGUCAGGUAAGCAACUGAAGUACUGAUUUAUGCAAAUGAAGCUUCAUUCAAGUUUGACGUAGGAACAAAGACAAGGCUAGGGGUACUAUACCUUAGCUAACUUCUCCGUAGCACAGUUGAUGAGCCGAAUGAUCCCAUUGCUUCCUGCUGCUCAAUGACUCCUUUCUUGGUGACCAGUGUGGCAUCCAAGGUAUCAAUCAGCUCUUCCUUCUCCUUGAGCAAGGUGUUCUUCUCCUCUAUCACCCUGUCCCUAGCCUUCAGUGCCUCCUCCAUCCGAACAACUCUUGCCUCCAGCGUGGCAAUCCUCAGCGAGUCCCUCUCGUCGUAGUUGUCCAGUGCAGUGUCCACCUUGUGCUGCAAGCGACGGUUCGUCUGGUCCAGGUCAGUCAAAUAGUGCUCAAGUCCCAUUAUCUUGCCCUCAAGCAUGGCGUCGGUACCGAUGCAGUUGUCCCAACCCUUGCGAAGUACCUCCACCUCUCUGUCAUUCCAGAACAGUGCCAAAUCCUGAGCGUGAAUGCAGUGGGAGGCCACGUAAAACUUCUCGUUGGGCUCUGCAUAAACAUCCUCAUAGUACUGACGGGCUAAACUCUCGAAGUCCCUCAGCCCACGGCAAGCCCUGGUUAGGCAGCGGUAGGGAGUCUGAGCCAACCUGUCAAGGAGCUGCGCAUGCACCUCACGCACGGCCCUUCUGGCGGCAGUCCGGUGAGCCUUUGACACUAACAACUCAAACCUUGGUAGAAGAAUAAGCAAAGUCUAGUUAGAAAUAGCGGUAGUCAACAGCACUGUCCAUAGCCAGUGAACAUGGAUUAUAGCUAUAGCUUUAUACACCCUGCAAAGGAUGUACAACUGUACCCACACGGAUGGAGUCUAAACGGUGGAGAUCCGUCAAAACCCCACCUAACAGCCGGAGCCCUAGUAGGUAGAUAGCUCUCUCCUAUUUCCUCAAGUUUGGUCAGAGUAGGCCAAUACCUCGAACUCAUUACACGAUCCUCCAAUCCACCUACAGGCUGAGCAGUAUCCACCACUAGUCUCGGACCGAACCCUUCCCAUAAUGUAAGCGAGUGGUAUGUACGUAAAAUAGCUGUUGUGACUAGUGGUAAACUAACUCAGUGUUUAAGCGGCUGAGAGCGAGCACUCUACUCCAUAAGUAUGUGCCAAAGUACCUGCAACGUACAAGUACGCCACCUGCUCUUUAGUAACAAACAAGGUACCCGCUGUAACACCUAGUGUUAAUGACAACUUAAGUAUGACAUUAAGAAGCUAAUGGUGAAGUUGGAUUAAAGGAAGGUAAUUUGAGCCAAAAAUCAAAUUUGAGCCGAAUUCGACCAAAUUUGGAAUUUGGAGUUUCAAAUUUGGAUAAAUUUGGCAAAAAUAUGAAAUAGAGUCUUGAGAGUAUUCAGAACUCAAAGGAAUGAAUCUUGAAGUCUAAAUCAAGUCAUAAAGCUCUCAUAAAUACAAUCGAAGAGGGAGUCAGCAAAGUCACUAUUCGUCGUCCGAAAACGCGCAACUCUGAAAUUAAUAUUGAGUACACAACUUUGGAGCCAAUUCCUGGAGAAUUUCUCCUGUAAGUGAGCAGAUAUUUUUGGACAUUAGUGAAAUAUGGACUAUGGAGAAGGUAAAUGAAAUGUUGUUGUCCAGAGAAAGUGGAAGAUUUGAAUUUAAAAUGAAGCCCAAAAUCAGCAAAUCAGUAGAUUUCAGCCUUCUCGCCAAGAAAAAUCUUAAGUCUGAAAACAGCAUUGACUAGCCAUGUUUGGAGUGAAUUUUAGAAAAAUCUAGUGUAAAAGAUAUAUGAGUUCAUGUGCAAAAUAGAAUCUUUGUUAGUUGUAGAACAAGUAUGGGCAAGGGUCAAGCUGCAUGGAACAAGUUUGCCUAAUUUAAAUCAAGCUCAAAGAGGUAUAAAUGGCCUUGCACCGUACCUGACGAAACUGAAUCAUUGAGGUUCAGUUACAGAAGCUUCUGGUCGAACUUCAAGCUUCAAAAUUUCAGUGUUAGGGUGCUCAUUUCGGUUGGAGGUCAAUCUAUCAAAUGAAGUACUUGGGCUACUCUACAAGUUUGCUUAAGGAACAUUUGGACCUUCGGAUUUGAAAUUGGUCGAUGGGGAAGUCUGAAUUUUGGAGAAGAAGAAGAAGAAAGAGGGAAACAGGCGAGCAGGAACAGAGCCGUGCUGCCGCCGGCACCUCUGCCCGCCGGCCAGCGCAACAAUCCAAAUCGCGCCACGCACGCCUUCAAGUCGUCGAUGUGGCCGUCAUGCACGCGGUAGAAGUUCGUAUUUGUACCGCUCCCAUCCUCAUCCGUUCACCCUGCCGCCAUUCUUUUCACCGUCACAAAGCAGAGCUCGGGUGACCGGCACUGCCGCCGGCCGAUUCCACCGCACCGCCGCUCUAAUCCUCGAUCCCUUCCACCUGAAGCUCCCCUAGCCCCUCGCCGACACCCUACACCGCCCCGUCCACCAGUUUUCCCGCCGGCGAGCCACACCCGCCGCAUCUCCUAUCCGCCCGCCGCCGCUACUGCCCCUCCAGUGAGCCCUCCGCGCCGCCCCUUCUCCACUCUUGUGCUCGGGUUUAGAGGCUCCUUAGGUCGUGAAGACGCCGUAGGACGCAUCCGCCGGCCGCUUGCGCCGCCGCCAGACCUAGAAUCCGGCCGGCCUUCGGCCAUGGCCGCCGCCGCCCGUGCAGGGCCCGGCUUAGGCCGCCUCCGGGUGAGCUAGCGCCACCUGCAGGUGCGCUGGGGCCUAGGGGUGCUCCCCGGCCUGGCCCCGCCGUCGGCAGGCCACCGGCCGUUGAGCCGCCGGAGCCACCCGCGGGGCACCCUGUUUUGGGUCGGGCAGGGGAGGCCUGGCCAGGUUGGCCCCACGCAUCGGUGAGGAUAGGGUAGGGGGGCGGUAGCAAUAGGAUUCCAGGGGGUUUUUCCGAUAAGGUUGGAAUUUUUGGAUUUAAAAAUAAAUUUAAAUAACUGCCAACCCAUUUAAUUCACUGUAAAUUGUAUAGGUACCCAAAAAUAGUGAAAUAAAUUUCUUUAGGUUUAUUUUAAUCUCCUUUACACAUUAAAAUUGUUAAAACAUAUUUAUAGAAACCUUUUGAGUAUUUAUUUAGUGCCUUUAAUUAAAGUUGUUAAAUAAAUACUUAAUAAUUCCAAAAUACAUAAAAUAUGAAAUAAUGCUUUUAUAAUUACAAAUUAACCAUAAUCUAUAGUAAUUAGGAGUUUAAGAUUAGAAAUUAAUUAUGAUGAUUUUCAAAAAUAAAAACAAAAGGCUUACGUUUUUAAAUAAAAGAUAAAGAUUAAGUAGUUAUUUAAUGCUUUUCCUUAAAAUAUUUAAAUAAAUGCUUAAGCUUUAUAAAUAAAUAAAAUUCUGAAUAAUGUUUUGAUUAAUUCCAAACAAAUGUUAAUCUAUAGUUUUACAUUUUCUUUUACAUUAGAAAUUAUUUCAAAUGAUUUUCAAAAAUAAAAAGAAAAGUCUAAAAUGGGUUUAAAUAAGGGAGUUUAAAUCGCGAGUUACACGUUAUGGGUAGAGUUUUGUUGGCUUGCAACUUUAUCAUGAAGUUAAGUUGUCUAAGUCACUGUUGGCUUGCAACUUUAUCAUGAAAGAAGUUGUAGAGUCCUGUGCUUAAAAAGUUGCAUCUCUGACUCAUGCAUACGCUUUAUCGUAGAUACUGAAGCUCCAGAAGCGGAAUUUCUAGAAAUUUCUGAAGAACCUUCGGAAUUUGAGGAGAUCGUUGAGUUGAUCCCUUGUGAAGCCAGUCCGUCGAGCAACGCUAACAUUUUUACAGAUCAAGGCAAGCCCCGGUGCAUCUAUGCCUAUCUAUUUUGGAGUUAUUAUUUCAUGUGUCCAACUAUUGGUUAUUUCUUUAUGAAUGCAUUAAGUCUAGGAGUUGAUUGAAACCUUACUUUUAUGCACAAUCCAACCUUGUUAUUAAGGACAUCUUUGCCACUUGUCAAUAAUUAGUAAGUAUCCCAUGCUUAGCAAAGCAUAGUCGCGCUACCUCUACCAUUCCUGAGAACCUAUGGUACUCAGCAGCCUAAGGUAACAUUGUCAUACAUAUGUAUAUCAAAGAAAUGACCGGUUUUGGAAGAUAGUGGACGGAAGCUUGGAUGGAAUCAAGAAAGGAGUCUUGAGUUCCGUAGUUCUGUCUACUCGAUUAAUUUGAUUAAGGACCGAUCGUUGUUUUAACCCAUGAUCAAGUGAUAUUACCUGGUUGCUUACUGCUAUAUGGGAACCAGCAAGCCCGGUAGGUUAGUUGGCUCUCUGAUCGGAAAUAUUUCGUACCCGUGCUUGGCGUGCAGUGGAAGGGCAGGGCGUAGCCGGAAACUCAUAGUGGAGAUCGCUAGACGUGGGGUUCCAUGUGGGGGUGCGGCCCUGGGUUCAAGUAGUCAUAUUUCCGAUCGUUGGGUACAUCUAAUCGAAAGGUCGUUAUGUGCAACCCGGACAGUUGUACAUGGCUGGUGGUCAGGUAUCUCCUUGUAACGACCCUGGUCAAAUCAUUCGAGUUAAUCUUAAUCUGAAGCCCAAAUUCCUCUGUCUCAGCUCUUCCCGAGCAGGAGUGCUCCACUCCAGUUCCCGGUCCCGGCCCCUGAAGACCCCAACCAACCCCGUCGGUUCCUUCUGAGUUCCCUAAGGCAGUGCUCCUUUCAAUCUUGGAGCUGUGGGACAACCGAGACUGACCGGUGGACCCGCAAAUCUUUUCCCGGAUUUCCCGAGGCAAACGCACUCGAGCGGCCUGCACCGCUUCAGAGCUCCCCCGCCGCAUGGCUCAACUUCUCCGACGCCCGCCGCUUCGCCCAGUCGCCGACCGCGACAGGAUGGAUUCCCGCGCCCUCCUCCCCAAUCGCAGCGGAAGCCCCUCUGCAACCCUUUCUGCAGCGCCUCGUCUCACUCGCGCCCUCGGACACGUGUGUUGAUUCAUACGAAGGGUGGUAUGGUUCGAUUCCAACGAGCCUAUCAUCACGGUUGUUCGCCCACGUCUAUUAUACGUGCGCAGAUUCCACAUCUCGAGUAUGCGAAGGGUUAUACGGUUCCAUUCAAAGGGGACCUAUUUCCAUGGUUGUUGCGCUAUCCAUGCAGCCUUAAACACAUGGGUGCCGUUUCUAUAGUGAACGGUAAUGCUUGGGGACGCUUUCGUGGGUGCUGGCACGAAAGGUUCAUGUGGUUGUGUUUUCUGCAGGUACACUAACCGCGUUCGCUUAGGAGACACUACUAGAACCCGACUAGAUAUUAUAGGGAGAGACGUACUGGUUGCCUUGACACCGGCACUGACUGCGUAAGACCAAAGUUUUGGCAGUUGUUUUGGUUGAGAGGAUGAAGUAGGCCAUGCAUGCGACAUGAACUAAAAUCUUUGAACCCACCUCUCUAAAACAACCUUGCCUUGGUUAAAGCCCUUCUUCGGUUUAAGGAUUUCUAGCUUCCUUUCUAGCUUGUGCUUUGGUCAAAUCCGAGUACUUUUUCUGCCUGACCUGUUCUUCUUCUUAGAGUUUCUAUCUCACGUCAGUUCAGUUUUUGGUUCCAGAUGGCUGCCCUCGGACACGUGUUGUACAGCGCUGACGGCAUGUCCCACUCUACGUCCCUACACUUUGAGGGUUUUCCUGCUAUUCUGUGGGACACCUUAAGGUGGUUUGGGUAUCAGUCCCCGCCUUUGUACAUGGGAUGGAUGUACCAGGAGCACGGAGUACAGAGGUGCAACAUGCAGGUGGUGAUACCUCCACCCCCUGUGCAGCCCGAGUGGUCCCAGCUCGAAGUCUUGACUUGCGGGCACGCUCUGGAGGAUACAUGGGAGUCAGCUGCUCUGCUGAUCCUCACCCACUUCUGUUGACUACACCCGCUUGAGGUCACUUUGGACCCAAUCGGCUUGUUCCCCGCUAGGGAUCGGCUAGACCCGGCGUGGCUUGAUCACGUCAACAACAUGGAAGUGUUGGCAGCCUCUCAUGCGCUGGUCACCAUCUCUACCACCACCAGAUGCAUGUCAGCCUUGUAUCAGCUGAUUGAGCUUCAAGGCCGAGCGAUGGCUGUCUUAGCUCGGAUAGCCAUAGACACCCAAGGGCUUUUCAACGCCGCUAAAAGAGACUUGGUGGGACAGUCGCAUCAGCUUAUCCAAAGAGGCAUACAGAUCCAUGACAUGCAAGACAGAAUCUCCAAGCUCGAGGGAGAAGUGACGGACCUGGUGGAUGGCAUGAUCGAGCUUGCCGAAGAAAAGAUGGAGGUCGAGAUGGAGCUAGCAGUUGCUAAUGCUCAUUUGGACGAGCAUCACGCCGAGCUUGAUGCUAUACAUGCCCUUGAGAUGCAGCUGGAUGAACAAGAAGAUCCUGAGGAGGUCAUGGGAGCGUCCAGCAUGGACAUUGAGGAUGGCGACGCCCCUUCUCCGACUCAUAGUGUUCCCUCAUAGGUUGAGAGCUGUAGGAAUCUAAUCUUUUGUUAUACUCAUUGGCAACCUAUGUUUUGGAUAGUGAUGUAAUAGGUUAGCCUUGAGUUGAGUAUUCCUCCUGUGUUUUGGGGAACAACAAUGCAAUGACCUCAGUGAAAUCAGAUCUUAACUUGACCUUUGACUCUUUUUGCGACACGCUUGGAUGCCAGGUUGUGUGAGUUUUGUCCUGUGACCACACACCCAUCUUCUGUGGGUCUGUCCAAAGCUUGGCCGACCCUGAGUCGCAAGGUCGGAUGCGCUCGACCCCUCGAGGCAGUUCUCCGCCUCGCCCGACCCCUUGCUGUGCAGUUUGCUUCGCCCGACCACUGGUUUCACUGUUUCGCUUAGCCCGACCCGGGCACUAAAGGUCGGAUAUAGUGGAACUCCUCGGAUGUGGUUAUGGUUCGCCUGAAGUUGUGUGCAGAACUAAGAUAGUUGCUAACUAAGAUGGCAAGAGGAAGUGUGUAUCUCUUUAAUAAGGACAUGUUAUUGUGUUGCAGUAUCGGCAAGAGUCGCAUUUGAGGAUUUAACUUAUACGUUCCCACAUAAUGGGAAUACUUCUGAGGAUAUGGAAUUAAUGGAACGUUGACUCUUGCAGAUGGCGCAUCGCACCCGAUCUAGCUCUAUGCCCAGCGGUAGUGAGCAGAGGCAGGAUCUUCCUCCGCCUCCGCCCCCACCUUCGCUGGAAGCCCUCCUAGCGGCUCAAACUGAGCUGCUAAGGCACAUUGUACACGGACAACAACAGCAGCCUCGUGGAGGGAGAGCCCAUCAACAACCCCAAGUUGCUCGUUAUGAGGACUUCUUGAGCACGCAACCCCCUUUGUUCCAGAAGACAUAAGACCCGCUCGACGCCGAUGCCUGGAUUCGUGCCAUCGAAUCCAAGUUCUCCCUCCUCACCGCCCAUUGCUCGGAGGAGAAGAAGGCUCGGUUCGCCGCGCAACAACUGCGUGGUUCUACCCUCCUUUGGUGGGAUCACUACCACGCCAUGCAGCCGGUCGACCACGUCGUCAGCUGGGAGAAGUUUAAGACGGUGUUCAGGGGCCAUCAUAUCCCUGAAGGUCUCCUGGAGCGUAAGCUCAACGAGUUCCUGGCCCUUACCCAGGGAAAUCGAGAUGUCCUGCUGUGGCGGAACCACCUCGGAUUAGCUUGAUUAAGCAGGGUUAAGCCGCCUAACAUGCGACACUCCUGCCUAAACCGAGUUAAUACGAAGUGCCGUCGGAUUUCAUCCGAUUUAACCACUUAAACAGAAUCGAGUUCAGCAAACCCACACGAAGGUGAGCGGUUACAGAGAAUACAACAAGUCCACUGAGUUGAACAAGUUUUACCCAUUUGGUUCGGCCAUAAAAUCCAACAUCAGAGUUUUACAAGUUUUCAAGGAAACAACAGAGAAAACACUAGCGGAAGACUUCGUCGGGGUCGGACAUCCUUGGUGAGGCCAACCGGGACAUCACUAGCUCCUUCCCUCGCCGUCCGAGGAAGGAUCCCACUCGACCGUCCAGCCUGGCGGGAGCUGGGGCGGCCAAGCACCAACCAGAGAGGGGUCGGAAGCAGCAACUUCACCUGAAAACAGGAGCCACAACAAGGCUGAGCUACUAAGCUCAACAAGACUUAACCGAUAGGAGGAAGGGCUACUCCUCCUUCUAGACAUGCAAGGCUGUUUGGCUGAGGGGGUUGUUUGCCAAAAGCACUAAGUAACCCUAUUUUCAAGUUUUAGCUCCGGUUCUAGGUUCAUUUACCAAUCUAGGUUGUGCCACCUAUACUAAGCAUUCAUAGAAUCAAACAAGAUGUAUAGAUACAACAACAAACAUUGCCAUCAUCAGAUUCCUCAUUUACUCAGGGUGACAUAGCGAUCAAGCAAUCUCAAACUAUGAAAGGCAGACGAAUCGAUUCAAGUUCUUUAACCAUGCAUGGUGAACCUAGCCUCACGACAUCCGCGCACCCGGAGGUCGCUUCCUGUGUCGGCCUUCCCCAUCAAUCCCCUAACCCGUGUCGGGCCCAUUUCCUUUGGUGCAAGGUUCCACAGACCCGGCCUCUGCCAUUCUGUGACCACGCUUGCCACCACGUGCGACAACCAGCAGGGGAAACUCCGUUCCAAGAACAAUGGGGCGAUCGCUCACGUAUAGGUUCAAUCCGGUACUAGGCUUCCUCAUCCCAUACUAAGUAUGAGGCUAGUACUUUCAAACACUUGAUCACGAACACCACCACUGUCGGGCCUUAGCAAGUUUUCAUAGACAGACGUGGCAACCAUCUGACCACCAAAAAGUUACCAAAACCCUGCCCCGUCCAUCGUCCUUAUAGUUAUAACAGGACAGUAAACAUGCAACUCCUACAACUCGCGAGAGAUAGGAAAUCACUCGACUUUUACCGUCUCCUAGUUAAGCAAUGCAGCUACUCGGUCCAACAGCUAGUGCUCAGAUCACUGGGAUAACUAAGUCAUGCAUCUAGGGUUUCACACAACUCCUAUACGUAAAUGCACAAGCAUGUUACAGAAGGCAUGCGCAAGUCUGGUAAAACACAUAGGACUUUCAUGCAACCGGGGCUUGCCUUCAAGCAAGGAGGACGGAAACUGCUCGACUUCGGGGGCGACUUCGGCUUCGGAGGACAGGAGCUCGGCUACAGCUUCUUCUUCUGGCGCCGGGUGAAGCUCGUAGAAGCCGUCGGCGAGGUGCAGCUCUACACGAAUGCAAUGCAGGGGUUAGCAUAGACAGUUACUUCAACAGCAACACUGGCUCGCCUGAGCCCAGAAACUCGCGACAAAGAGCAGGAGGUUAAGGCGGUUCGAGAGCUGAUGAUGAUCAAGGGGUAAGGGUAGGAAGGAACUAGUGGUCUGAUCCUUGAACUAGAGGAUGUGAUAAACUGGGGGUCCUUAGACGCAAGCGUUGAAGGGUUCCCAAGUUUUACACAUACACCCUCGAGUUGAAGAAAAAGAUCACAGCCAAGCCCUCGGGCGAGACGGACAAGGGUCGGCGGAACAGACAGGGUCGGGCGAGACGGAACCGGGGUCGGGCGGAUAGGAGGGGUCGGGCGAGGCGGACUGGGGUCGGCAACUCACCUUCUUCCUGAAAGGAAAGCUUGGGGUCGGAACGAAGCGGACUUGGGCGGAGGGACUACGGUUUGAUCAGAAGCUAAGACCGGCGAUGCUCCGGCGGCGGCGCUGCUUCUUGCGGAUCACAAGAGAGCUUUUACGCAGCACGGAGGAGCAAGCUGCUGGGUGACUUGGAGAAGAACUGAGGGAGAACUGAGAGAAGAACUCCUCAAGAACUGGGUGGGUGGCGCUAGGAGCUUGAGCAGGGAGCUAGAGGAGGCUGAAGGCAACGAGAGCGGAGGGAACUCCAGCGACGGGGGCAUUCCUUUUAUAGCUGCUGGAGCAGAGGAAAGGAAACGGCACGGAGAGAGAGAAGGAGAGCGGCGCGAAGGCCGGGGAGAGGCAAUGGAGUGCUCUGCUGGGGCGGCGAUUAAGCAAAGAGGGCGGUGGUGCAGAACUCCGGGGGUGACGCCAGCAAUCAUGGCGUUCUGCCGUCAGGGCGGCGUAGGAGCGGGUAGACUGGUGGUUGAGAUUUGGCGGAAAGCGGGCGUCAUCGUGCGGAAGAUGUGAUAGAAGUGACCGGCUUAACGGCGCUAGAAUCGAGGGUGCUCGGGUGAGAAGGCAGGCGGACGCGGGCGCGUGGGAGAGUGCGGAACAACAGAUUGUCGGGCGGCUUCUGACAGAGCGGGGGAAAGGAACUGUCGCGGCCGCGGUCGGGGUUGGCGGUGGAGGAAUCAUCGUGUAGCGGCGACCAGGCGGCGCAACUGUGGCUGAAGGGACGGAAAAGACGGGCGACAUCGGGCUCUGGGGCUGGGAUCUGGUGGCGUGAUGAUGGGCGCGGGAGGCGAGGUUCUGCAGAAAGGGGUGCAGAGGGCUUCCGCUGCCAUUGGGGAAAGGGGGCACGGGAACCCACUCGGUCGCUGGCCAGAGACAAAACUGAGCGGCAGGCGUCGGAGAAGACGAGCCACGCGGCAGGAAGACUCUGAAGCAGCCAAGCAACUCGAGUGCGGCUGUCGCGGGGGAUCUGGAAAAGAUCUCGCGGGUCCACCAGUGGAUAGAUCGGACGGGUGAGGAAGAUUAACAGAAUCCGACGGUGGGCUGAGCUCGCCGGGGUCAGGAGAGGAGCGAAGCCGGAAGGGGUCGGAUCUCAGGGGUCGGGACCGGCGGGAAACUGAGCACUUAGGUGCGGUCAAGCAAGACAGCUGACUAAGGUUAAGGGCUGUGAUCAAGACUAACUGGAAGGCUUAGGGGUCGGUCGUUACAGCCUACCCCUCUUAAAAAGAAUCUCGUCCCGAGAUUUAGAGAUCAAGGGGGUGUGUUGUCCUUACCUCCUUAAGAGGAUAGAAAACCUGGGAAACGCUUGCUCAGAUAUUUGUCCGUUUCCCAUGUUGCUUCAUCCUCGGUGUGGUUUCUCCAGAGGAUCUUGUACAUCUUUACCACUUGGCGUCGGGUGUGCCUUUCCUUUUGGUCAAGAACUCGAUCUGGGUACUCGGCGUAGGUCAGGUCGGGCUCUACCUGAAGCUGUUCUUGCUCUAAGAUCUCUGCUAGAACUCGGACACAUUUCUUCAGUUGAGACACAUGGAAAACAUCAUGUAUUGCCGACAGCUGCUCUGGGAGUUGGAUCCGGUAAGCAACGGGUCCACAUAUCUCCACAAUCUCAUAAGGGCCAAUAUAGCGGGGAGCUAACUUGCCUUUUAUUCCAAACCGCUGCACUCCUUUGGUCGGGGAGACUCGAAGGUACACAUGAUCACCAAGGUCAAAUUGCAGGGGUCUUCUCCGCUGGUCGGAGUAACUCUUUUGUCGAGAUUGGGCGGCCUUGAGAUUUGCUUUAAUUACCUUCACUUGCUCUUCGGCUUCUGCCACUAAAUCAGGGCCAUAGACCUGUCUUUCUCCUGGUUGGGACCAGUUCAGGGGUGUCCUGCAUCUUCGGCCAUACAGAGCUUCAAACGGUGCCAUUUUCAAACUGGCUUGGUAGCUGUUAUUGUAGGAGAAUUCUGCUAAGGGCAGACACUUGUCCCAGUUCUUAUCAUAGUGGAUAACACAAGCUCUUAACAUGUCUUCAAGAAUCUGGUUGACUCUCUCAGUUUGGCCAUCGGUUUGAGGAUGAUAUGUUGAGCUUCGGAUGAGCUUGGUGCCCAUAGAUGCUUGUAGCUGCUCCCAAAAACAUGCCACAAACUGAACUCCUCGAUCAGAGACGAUAGUCUUGGGUACACUAUGUAGGGAAACUAUACGGUCGAGGUACAACUCUGCAUACUGCUUGACUGUGUAGGUGGCGCGAAUAGGAAGGAAAUGUGUUGUCUUGGUCAGACGGUCCACUAUAACCCAGAUGGAAUCAUAUCUUUGUGUUGUAAGGGGUAACCCAACUAUGAAGUCCAUGCUGAUGUCUUCCCAUUUCCAAGAGGGAAUAGGUAGCGGCUGCAAGGUUCCUGCUACCUUCAAAUGACUGGCCUUGACACGUUGACAGGUGUCACAUUCUGAAACAUAACGAGCUAUCUCUGGUUUCAUUCCAUUCCACCAAAAGGUUUGACGAAGAUCAUGGUACAUCUUAUUGCUGCCAGGAUGGAUCGAGAACUUGGAGAGAUGAGCUUCAUCUAGGAUUUGCUUCCUUAACUCGGGGUCGGCGGGCACUACUAGCCGGUUUCCAUAAUACACACCUCCUGUUUUGUCCUGAUGGAAAUGGUUAUAUCCCUCAUCCUUUACUGAGAUCUUACCGAUGAUCCAUUGUACUUCUGUAUCUCUUACCUGUGCUGACCGAACUUGGUCUUCCAAAACUGAGUCAAGGAUGAUGUGACCAAGGGUUCCUUGAGGAAUAAUCUCCAGACUUAGUUUUCCCAUCUCAUGACACAGAGUCUUGGUGAAGGCUGUUGACAACAAGCAGUUGCAAUGGGGUUUGCGGCUGAGGGCAUCAGCUACCACAUUGGCUUUGCCAGGAUGAUAGUGUACUUCCAAUUCAUAAUCCUUUAUCAACUCCAGCCAUCUUCUCUGACGCAUGUUGAGGUCGGCUUGAGUGAAGAUGUACUUGAGGCUCUUGUGGUCGGUGUAGAUGUUGCAGUGAGUUCCCAUUAGGUAGUGCCUCCAUAUCUUCAAGGCAUGUAUCACUGCUACCAACUCAAGGUCAUGUGUCGGGUAGCUUAGCUCAUCAGGUCGUAACGCACGUGAGGCAUAGGCAAUGACUCGGCUGUCUUGCAUAAGAACACAUCCGAGUCCAGUGCCAGAGGCGUCACAGUAUACGUGUAACGACCGACCCCUAAUCUUUCCCAGUUAGGCUUGAUCUCAGCCCUUAACCUCAGUCAGUUGCUCUGUUGACCGCACUUAAGUGCUCAGUCUUCCGCCAGUUCCGACCCCUGAGGUCCGACCCCUACCGUUCGUUCCUUUUUCCCGACCCUGGCGAGUUCAGCCCUCCGUCGGAUCCUGCUAAUCUUCCUCACCCGUCCGAUCUUUUCCCCCGGUGGACCCGUGAGAUCUUUUCCAGAUCCCCCGCACCAGCCGCACUCGAGUUGCAUGGCCGCCUCAGAGCUUUCCUGCCGCGUGGCUCGUCUUCUCCGAUGCCACCGCUCAGUUUUGUCUCUGGCAAGCGACCAAGUGGGUUCCCGCGCCCUUUUCCCCAAUAGCAGUGGAAGCCCUCUGCACCCCUUUCUGCAGAUCCUCGCUCCCCGCGCCCAUCAUCACGAUACCAGAUCUCGGCCCUGGAGACCGAUGUCGCCCAUCUUUUCCGUCCUUUCCAGCAACAGUUGCGCCGCCCGGUCGUCGCUACACGACGAUUCCCCAACCGCCAACCCCGACCGCGGCCGCGACAGUUCCUUUCCCCGCCCUGUCAGACGCCGCCCGACAAUCUGUUGUUCCGCGCUCUCCCCCGCGCCGCGUCCGCUUGUUCUCCCACCUGUGCGCCCUUGAUUCUAGUGCCGUUUAACCGGUCGCUUCUAUCACUUCUUCCGCACGACGACGCCCGCUCUCCGCCAAAUCCCAACCACCGGUCUACCCGCGCCUACGCUGCCCUGACGGAGUAGCGCAAUGAUCGCUGGCGUCACCCCCGGAGUUCUGCAGCACCGUCCGGUUUGCUCAAUCGCCGCCACGGCAGAGCACUCCAUUGCUUCUCCCCGGCCUUCGCGCCGCUCCCCUUCUCUCUCUCCGCGACGUUUCCGUUCCUCUGCUCCAGCAGCUAUAAAAGGAAGGCCCCUGUCACCGGAGUUCCCUCCGCCUUUGUUGCCCUUAGUUUCCUCUAGCUCCCUGCUCAAGCUCCUAGCGCCAUCCGCCCAGUCUUGAAAAGUUCAUCUCCCUAUUCCUUCUCAGUUCAUCCAAGUCACCAACAGCGUGCUCCCUUGUGCUGCGUAAGAGCUCUCUUGUGAUCCGCAAGCAGCACCACCGCCGGAGUAUCGCCGGCCUUAGUCCCUGCUCAAAGCUUUAGUUCCGCGCCCAAGUCUGCCUCUUCCCGACCCCAAGCUUUCCUUUCAGGAAGAAGGUGAGUGCCGACCCUAAGUCCGCUUCGCCCAACCCCUCCUAUCCGCCCGACCCCAGUUCCGUCUCGUCCGACCCUGUCUGUUCGCCGACCCUUGUCCGCCUCGCCCGAGGGUCUGGCUGUGAUCUUUUCUUCAACUCGAGGGUGUAAGUGUAAAACGUGGGAACCCUUCAGCGCUUCCGUCUGAGGAUCCCAGUUAUCACAUCCUCUAGUUCAAGGAUCAGACCACUAGUCUCCUUCCUAUCCUUACCUGUUGAUCAUCAUCAGCUCUCUCAAACAGCCUCCACCUCCUGCUCUUUGUCGCAAGUUUCUGGGCGCAGGAGAGCCAGUGUUGCUGUCGACUUAAACGUUAAGCUAACCCUUGCAUUGCAUUCGUGUAGAGUUGCAUCUCGCUGACGGCUUCUACGAGCUGCACCCGGCGCCCGAAGAAGAAGCUGUAGCCGAGUUCCUGCCCGCUGAAGUCGAAGCCGCCCCCGAAGUUGAGCAGUUCCAGCCUUCUUUGUUUGCAGGCAAGCACCGGUUGCAUGAAAAUCCUACGUGUUUUUGCCAGACUUGCACAUGCCUUCCGAAUAGCAUGUUUGUGCAUUUACGUUUAGGAGUUGUGUGAAACCCUAGAUGCAUGACUUAGUAACCCUUGAUAUGAGCACUAGCUGUUGGACCGAGUAGCUGCAUUGCUUAAAUAGGAAACGGUAAAAGCCGAGUGAUCUCCUGUCACUCGCGAGUUGUAGGAGUUGCAUGUGUUACUCUCCUGUUACAACUAUAAGGACGAUGGACGGGGCAGGGUUUGGUAACUCUUUGGUGGUCGGAUGGUUGCCCCGUCUGUCUAUGAAAACUUGCUAAGGCCCGACAGUGGUGGUGUUCGUGAUCAAGUGUUUGAAAGUACUAGCCUCAUACUUAGUAUGGGAUGAGGAAGCCUAGUACCUGAUUGAACCUAGACGUGAGCGGUCGCCCCAUUGUUCUUGGAACGGAGUUUCCCCUGCUGGUUGUCGCACGUGGUGGCAAAGCGUGGUCACAUAACGGCAGAGACCGGGUCUGUGGAACCUUGCACCAAAGGAAAUGGGCCCGACACGGGUUAGGGGAUUGAUGGGGAAGGUCGACACGUGAAGCGACCUCCGGGUGCGCGGAUGUCGUGAGGCUAGGUUCACCAUGCAUGGUUAAAGAACUCGAAUCGAUUCGUCUGCCUCUCACAGUUUGAGAUUUCUUGAUCGCUAUGUCACCCUGAGUAAAUGAGGAAUCUGAUGAUGGCAAUGUUGUUGUUUUUAUCUACACCCUUGUUUGGCUUGAUGGUUGCUUAGAAUAGGUUGCACAACCUAGACUGGUAAGUAAAUCUAGAACCGGAGCUAAAACUUGAAAAUAGGUUACUUAGUGCUUUUGGCGAAACAAACCCCUCAGCCAAGAAGCCUUGCAUGUCUAGUUGGGAGAGUAGUUGACUCCUCCCCGGUUAAGUCUUGUUGAGCUUAGUAGCUCAGCCUUGUUGUGGCUCCUGUUUUCAGGUGAAGUUGCAGUUCCCGACCCCUCCCUUGUUGGCGCUUGGCCGCCCCAGCUUCCGCCAGGCUGGACGGUCGAGUGGGACCCCUCCUCGGACGGCGAGGAGAGGACUCAGUGAUGUUCUGACUGGCCUCGCCCAGACGUCCGACCCCGACGAAGUCUUCCGCUAGCGUUUCCCUGUUGUUUUCUUGAAAACUUGUAAAGCUCUGAUGUUGGAUUUUAUGGUCGAAUUAAGUGGGUAAAACUUGUUCAACUCAGUGGACUCGUUGUAUUCUCUGUAACCGCUCACCUUCGUGUGGGUUUGCUGAACUCGAUCCUGUUUAAGUGGUCAAAUCGGAUGAAGUCCGACGGCGCUUCGUGUUAGCUCGAGUUAAUCAAGAGUGUCGCAUGUUAGGCGGCUAAACUCUGAUUAAUCAAGCUGAUCCGAGGUGGUUCCACCACAGCUUGGUACCAGAGCCGAGUUUAGCAUAUCAGAGAACCCGAUGAGCCCGAAACACUUCUUUGAAAUUAAAAGUUGCAAGGACCUUUCGAAAAUCUCGUACCAACGUUAAGGAUGACUUAGUGCGAGAGGCCCUAGGGGAUUUUGGGGUUGUUUUAGGUGACUAAUAAGUAUCUGGUUAUGUUGCUAACCCCUCCAGCACUUCGCCACGUCUAUUAUACGUGUGCCGAGUUCCGCAUCACGAGCAUGCGAGGGUUGAUAGGGAGUUCCAUUCAAGGGACCCUAUCUUCGCGGUUGUUUUCGCCCACAUCUAUUAUACGUGCGCAGGUUCCGUAUGUGAUCCAUACGAAGGUUGAUAUGGUUCGAUUCCAACGAACCUAUUGGCACGGUUGUUUCGCCACAUUUGUCAUACGUGUGCCGAUGCCGCAUCACAAGUAUGCGAAGGGUUAUAUGGUUCUAUUCGGAAGGAACCUAUUUCCACGGUUGAGUGCUGUCCAUGCAGCCUUAAACGCAUGGGUGCCGUUCCUAUAGUGAACGGUAAUGUUUGGGAACGCUUUCAUGGGUGCUGGCACGAAAGGUUCGGGUGUGUGUUUUCUGCAGGUUGCUAACCGCGCUCGUUAAGACGUUGCUAGAACCGACUAGAUAAUAUAGGGAGAGACGUAUUGUUGCCUUGUCACCGGCACUGACCGCGUAAGACCCAAGGUUUGGGCAGUUGUUUUUGGUUAAGAGCAUAGUAGGCCGUGCAUGCGUCAUACAAAAUCGGUAAUGUUCUCUUCUCAACAGCAACCCUGUCCGACAGAGUUCUUUUGGAUCUAAGGAUUUCUAGCUCCCCUUAGUUGCUCUCGGUUAAGCCCUUCUGCUUCUCUAUCCGACCCCUGAUCUUCGGAGUUAUCUCACGUGGCUUCGGUUUUCUUGGUUCCAGAUGGCUGCUCCCGGGCAUGUGGUGUUUGGAGCGGACGGUACCUUCCAAUCAACAUGCCUACAUUUCGAGGGGUUUCCCGCGAUCUUGUGGGAUACGUUGAGAUGGUUUGGGUAUCAGUCCACACCCCUGUAUUCUGGGCGGCUGUAUGUGGAGCAGGGCAUCCAGACGUGCCAGGUGCAAGCACUGGUGCCACCCCCUUUUGCGCGGCCCGACUGGCCCUCUCUGGGCAUCAUAGCCUACGGUCUUUCUCCGGAAGAUACGUGGGAAUCCGCCGCUCUCCAGUUGCUCACGCAGUUCUGUCAGUUCCACCCUGUGGAGAUCACCCUGGACCCGAUCGGACUUUUUCCCGUCAGAAGUCGGAUGGACCCGGCCUGGCUGGACCGCAUCGGAAACCUCGAGGUGUUGGCCACUACUUGUGCCACACUCACCAUCUCCACCAACAUCCGUUGCAUGGCUGCUUUCUACCAGCUGAUAGAGCUCCAAGGAAGGGCCAUGACUCUCUUUGCCCGGACUGCUGCAGACACCGACGGGUACCUCCAGGCAGCUAGAAGAGACCUGGUAGGCCAAACCUACCAGCUGAUCCAACGUGGAAUCCAGAUCCAUGACAUGCAAGACCGGAUCUCCGAGCUGGAAGGAGAAGUUGCCGACCUUGUGGACGGUAUGAUCGAGCUCUCCGAGGAGAAAAUGGAGGUGGAAAUGGAGUUGGCCGUUGCCAAUGCCCACCUAGAGGAGCACCAAGCUGAGCUUGAAGAUAUGCAUGCCCUCAACAUGCAGCUUGAAGCUCAGGAGGACCCUGAGGAAGACGAGGGAGCGUCCAGCAUGGACAUAGAAGAAAAUGGCGCCCCUUCUCCGACUCAUAGUGUCCAGUGGUAGCUUAAGGGUUCUCGGGGAACCUUCUUUCUUUUGUUGUACUCCUCGGCAGCCUAGUUUUGGAAAGUUGUAAUAGGUUAUCCUUGAGUUGAGUACUCCCUGUGUUGAAACGUCGUUGUGUAUAAAGUCAACCCAGUGCAGUGCAUAGUUUCAUCCUUUUCGUAUGAUGUGGAUGCUAAAGUUAAGAAAGUGGUGCCGUGACCCUGUGUUGUUUUCGGGGAGCCUGUUCAGUUGGCCGACCCUAGUUUGCGAACCAGAGUGCGCCGACCCUUAAGACAGUUACCGCCUUGUCCGACCCUCUUUGAGUACGGACCGUAUCCGAUCCCUCGGUUCGAGUGGACCCGACCCUAGGAGUCUGUAUGUGGUGUGGUUACCUGAGGUGGAGUACCAGGGCAAGUAAGGGCUAUCUGUGAUGAAAAUGGGAGGAAUGUGCUUCCUCUGUAAGGACGUAUGAUGCACCAUUGGCAAGAGUCGCAUUAAAGGACUUAAUUCAUACGUUCCCAAUUGCUGGAGUACCCCUAAGGUUAUGAGAUUGAUGGGCGUUAACUCUUGCAGAUGGCGCACCGCACAAGGUCUGGAACUAUGCCCAGUGGCAGGGAUCAGCAACAAGAUCUUCCCCCGCCCCCGCCACCAUUGCCAUUGGAGGCAAUCCUAGCAACUCAAACCGAGCUGCUCAGGCAUCUGGUACAAGGACAACAGCAGCCACACGGUGGUAGAGCACAGCAGCAGCAGCAUGUCGCAAGAUAUGAGGACUUUUUGGGGACACAGCCCCCGCUGUUCCAAAAGACCCAAGAACCGCUCGACGCUGACGCAUGGGUUCGUACGAUCGAAUCCAAGUUCGAGCUCCUUACCGCUCCAUGCCCUGACAACAACAAGGCGCGGUUCGCAGCUCAGCAGCUGCAUGGUUCCGCACGGCUUUGGUGGGACCACUACCAUGCCAUGCUACCUGCUGACCACGUAGUCAGUUGGAACGAGUUUAAGACGGCGUUCAAGGCGCAUCACAUUCCUGAAGGUCUCCUGGAGCGCAAGCUCAACGAGUUUCUAUCCCUCACCCAGGGAACUAGGGAUGUGCUGCACUACGCCCAGGCGUUUAACGACCUGUGCCGUUAUGCGGGAUAUCACGCGGACACCGAUGAGAAGAAGCAGGACAGAUUCCGCCGAGGUUUGAGCUUGGAGCUCAGGGAAAGGCUGAAUCCCAUCCGAGUGGACACCUAUAACGAGUUGGUCAACCUGGCCAUCUCCCAGGAGGAUUGCAUGCAAGCUCUAAAGGCCGACCAGAAGAGGAAAGCCUCUGUGGCUCUUCCGAGCCCGCCAGCCCGAAGGUUUCGGAUGAUCCCUCCACAAGCCCCUGGCCGACCCCAACAGUCAGGGAAAUGGAUCGCCCGACCCCCGCCGGCAACAAUGCCUAGUUCUCCAGGCUUCCAACCACAAGUACCCCGGCCGACCUUGCCAACGCCACCUCGUCCAGCAGCCAGUAACAGAUGUUUUACCUGCGGCAAUGAGGGGCAUUUUGCAAGGGAUUGCCCCAGGAGCAAGACUCAGCAGCAAGGCCAGAACCCCAUGGCAGCCAGAGGGAGAAGGCCCAAGGUGCAAGUCCGACAAGGCCGACUCAACUACACCAGCUUGACCGAACUUCCCGAAGGUGCGUCAGUAAUGAUGGGUACUUUCCUUGUUUUAAAUCAAGCUGUUGUGGUGUUGUUUGAUUCGGGAGCCUCUCAUAGCUUUAUCGGGAGUAAGGCAAGGGAAAGGUGUGGGCUAAGUGUAGGUCACACUAAGGAACCCUAUGUGAUCGCCACUCCUGGAGGGAGGAUAACGUCGGAUCAGAUCGUUAUUCUGGUACCUCUCCAGCUAGGCCCCACCCUUUUCAAGGAAAACCUUAUCCUCCUUGACCUUGAAGGCCUAGACGUCAUCCUUGGCAUGGAUUGGAUGGCCCGACAUCGUGUUGUUUUAGAUACCUCAGCCCGAUCUCUUUUCAUCAGCUCGCCCUCUCAUGGCAGUGCUACCCUAUCCUUGACCCAUCCUGAGUCUUUGACCCCUUGUGCGUUUUCUCUCUUGGGAACCCGUUUAGAAGACCUCCCUGUUAUCUGUGAGUAUCCAGAUGUGUUUCCAGAGGACUUGCCAGGCAUGCCACCUGACAGAGAAGUGGAGUUUUCUAUAGAGUUAGUUCCUGGCACAGCUCCGAUAUCUAAGAGACCCUAUCGGAUGCCACCCGCUGAGUUAGCAGUGUUAAAGACCCAGUUGCAUGAUCUGUUGGAAAAGGGCUUCAUUCGACCCAGUACGUCAUCUUGGGGAUGCCCCGCCCUGUUUGUGAAGAAGAAAGACGGCAGUUUACGGAUGUGUGUGGAUUACCGACCCCUCAAUGCGGUAACAGUUAAGAACAAGUACCCACUGCCCCGCAUUGAUGUCUUGUUCGACCAGUUAGCCGGAGCAAAAGUGUUCUCCAAGAUCGAUCUUCAUUCUGGUUAUCACCAAAUCAAGAUUCGACCUUGUGACGUACCCAAGACAGCUUUCUCUACCAGAUAUGGAUUGUAUGAGUACCUAGUCAUGUCCUUUGGACUCACCAAUGCACCCGCUUACUUCAUGUACCUUAUGAACUCGGUGUUCAUGCCCGAGCUGGACAAGUUUGUAGUGGUGUUCAUUGAUGAUAUCCUAGUGUACUCAAAGGACAAGGAAGAGCAUGCCAACCAUCUUCAUAUAGUUCUUCAGCGACUGAGAGAUCACCAGCUUUAUGCAAAGUUCUCCAAGUGUGAGUUUUGGUUGGAUAGUGUCAAGUUUCUAGGACACGCUAUCUCCAAGGACGGUAUUGCCGUGGAUCCCAGUAAGGUGCAAGAGGUCAUGGAAUGGAAGUCUCCUGUCUCGGUACACCAGAUCCGGAGUUUCCUCGGACUGGUAGGGUACUAUCGGCGUUUUAUACCGGAUUUCUCCAAGAUAGCUAAGCCGAUGACCGAGUUGUUGAAGAAAGAGGCCAAGUUUGUGUGGGACACCAAGUGCGAAGAAGCUUUCAAAACCCUGAAGCACUUGUUAACCACCGCCCCAGUUUUGGCUCAACCCGACCCCUCUAGGCCGUACGACGUAUACUGUGACGCCUCUGGCACUGGACUCGGGUGUGUUCUUAUGCAAGACAACCGAGUCAUUGCCUAUGCCUCACGUGCGUUGCGACCUCAUGAGCUGAACUACCCGACACAUGACCUUGAGUUGGCAGCAGUGAUACACGCCUUGAAAUUAUGGAGGCACUACUUAAUGGGAGCUCACUGCAACAUCUAUACCGACCACAAGAGCCUCAAGUACAUCUUCACGCAAGCCGACCUCAACAUGCGUCAGAGAAGAUGGCUGGAGUUGAUAAAGGAUUAUGACUUGGAAGUGCACUAUCAUCCUGGCAAGGCCAAUGUGGUGGCCGACGCCCUCAGUCGCAAACCUCAGUGCAACUGUUUGUUGUCCACCGCCUUCACCGACACUUUGUGUCACGAGAUGGGAAAACUAAGUCUAGAGCUUGUUCCCCAUGGAACCCUUGAUCACAUCAUCCUUGACUCAGUUUUAGAGGACCAGAUUCAGUCAGCCCAAGCUAAGGAUGAAGAAGUAAAACGGAUCAUCAGUAAGGUCUUGGUAAAAGACGAGGGAUAUAAGCUUUUCCGGCAGGACCAAACGGGAGGUGUGUACUAUGGAAACCGACUAGUAGUGCCCGCCGACCCCGAGUUAAGGAAGCAAAUCCUAGAUGAAGCUCAUCUUUCCAAGUUCUCCAUCCACCCUGGCAGCAACAAGAUGUACCAUGAUCUCCGUCAGACCUUUUGGUGGAGUGGGAUGAAACCGGAGAUAGCUCGUUAUGUUUCAGAAUGCGACACUUGUCAACGUGUCAAGGCCAGUCACUUGAAGGUAGCAGGAACCUUGCAGCCGCUACCCAUCCCCUCUUGGAAAUGGGAAGACAUCAGCAUGGACUUCAUAGUUGGGUUACCCCUUACAACUCAACAGUAUGAUUCUAUCUGGGUUAUAGUGGACCGUCUGACCAAGAAGGCACAUUUCUUUCCUGUUCGUACCACCUACACAGUCAAGCAAUAUGCAGAGUUGUACCUCGACCGUAUCGUUUCUCUACAUGGUGUACCCAAGACCAUCAUCUCGGACAGAGGAGUUCAGUUUGUGGCACGUUUUUGGGAGCAACUACAAGCAUCUAUGGGCACCAAGCUCAUCCGAAGCUCAACAUACCAUCCCCAAACCGAUGGCCAAACCGAGAGAGUCAACCAGAUCCUUGAAGACAUGUUAAGAGCCUGUGUUAUCCAUUAUGACAAAAACUGGGACAAGUGCCUGCCCUUAGCAGAGUUCUCCUACAAUAACAGCUACCAGUCCAGUUUGAAGAUGGCACCGUUUGAAGCCUUGUACGGCCGAAGAUGCAGGACACCCUUGAACUGGUCCCAACCAGGAGAGAGACAGGUUUAUGGCCCUGACUUAGUGGCAGAAGCCGAGGAACAAGUGAAGGUAAUUCAGGCAAAUCUCAAGGCUGCCCAAUCUCGACAGAAGGGUUACUCUGACCAGCGGAGAAGACCCCUGCAGUUCAACCUUUGUGACCAUGUGUACCUUAGAGUUUCCCCAACCAAAGGAGUGCAACGGUUUGGAAUAAAGGGCAAGUUAGCUCCCCGCUAUGUUGGCCCUUACGAGAUUAUGGAGAAGUGUGGACCCGUUGCUUACCGGAUCCAACUCCCAGAACAGCUAUCAGCCAUACAUGAUGUUUUCCAUGUGUCUCAGUUGAAGAAAUGCGUCCGAGUUCCAGCAGAGAUCCUAAAACAAGAACAACUUCAAGUAGAACCUGACCUGACCUACGCCGAGUACCCAGAUCGAGUUCUUGACCAUAAGGAAAGGCACACCCGACGUCAAGUGGUGAGGAUGUACAAGAUCCUCUGGAGAAACCACACCGAAGAUGAAGCGACAUGGGAGACGGAAGAAUAUCUGAACAAGCGUUUUCCAGGUUUUCUAUCUCAUCCAGGAGGUAAGAGCAGCACACCCUUGAUCUUGAAUCUCGGGACGAGAUUCCUUUUAAGAGGGGUAGGCUAUAACGACCGACCCCUAAUCUUUCCCAGUUAGGCUUGAUCUCAGCCCUUAACCUUAGUCAGUUGCUCUGUUGACCGCACUUAAGUGCUCAGUCUUCCGCCAGUUCCGACCCCUGAGGUCCGACCCCUACCGUUCGUUCCUUUUUCCCGACCCUGGCGAGUUCAGCCCUCCGUCGGAUCCUGCUAAUCUUCCUCACCCGUCCGAUCUUUUCCCCCGGUGGACCCGUGAGAUCUUUUCCAGAUCCCCCGCACCAGCCGCACUCGAGUUGCAUGGCCGCCUCAGAGCUUUCCUGCCGCGUGGCUCGUCUUCUCCGAUGCCACCGCUCAGUUUUGUCUCUGGCAAGCGACCAAGUGGGUUCCCGCGCCCUUUUCCCCAAUAGCAGCGGAAGCCCUCUGCACCCCUUUCUGCAGAUCCUCGCUCCCCGCGCCCAUCAUCACGAUACCAGAUCUCGGCCCCGGAGACCGAUGUCGCCCGUCUUUUCCAUCCUUUCCAGCAACAGUUGCGCCGUCCGGUCGUCGCUACACGACGAUUCCCCAACCGCCAACCCCGACCGCGGCCGCGACAGUUCCUUUCCCCGCCCUGUCAGACGCCGCCCGACAAUCUGUUGUUCCGCGCUCUCCCCCACGCCGCGUCCGCUUGUUCUCCCACCUGUGCGCCCUUGAUUCUAGCGCCGUUUAACCGGUCGCUUCUAUCACUUCUUCCGCACGACGACGCCCGCUCUCCGCCAAAUCCCAACCACCGGUCUACCCGCGCCUACGCCGCCCUGACGGAGUAGCGCAAUGAUCGCUGGCGUCACCCCCGGAGUUCUGUAGCACCGUCCGGUUUGCUCAAUCGCCGCCACAGCAGAGCACUCCAUUGCUUCUCCCCGGCCUUCGCGCCGCUCCCCUUCUCUCUCUCCGCGACGUUUCCGUUCCUCUGCUCCAGCAGCUAUAAAAGGAAGGCCCCUGUCGCCGGAGUUCCCUCCGCCUUUGUUGCCCUUAGUUUCCUCUAGCUCCCUGCUCAAGCUCCUAGCGCCAUCCGCCCAGUCUUGAAAAGUUCAUCUCCCCAUUCCUUCUCAGUUCAUCCAAGUCACCAACAGCGUGCUCCCUUGUGCUGCGUAAGAGCUCUCUUGUGAUCCGCAAGCAGCACCGCCGCCGGAGUAUCGCCGGCCUUAGUCCCUGCUCAAAGCUUUAGUUCCGCGCCCAAGUCUGCCUCUUCCCGACCCCAAGCUUUCCUUUCAGGAAGAAGGUGAGUGCCGACCCUAAGUCCGCUUCGCCCGACCCCUCCUAUCCGCCCGACCCCAGUUCCGUCUCGUCCGACCCUGUCUGUUCGCCGACCCUUGUCCGCCUCGCCCGAGGGUCUGGCUGUGAUCUUUUCUUCAACUCGAGGGUGUAAGUGUAAAACGUGGGAACCCUUCAGCGCUUCCGUCUGAGGAUCCCAGUUAUCACAUCCUCUAGUUCAAGGAUCAGACCACUAGUCUCCUUCCUAUCCUUACCUGUUGAUCAUCAUCAGCUCUCUCAAACAGCCUCCACCUCCUGCUCUUUGUCGCAAGUUUCUGGGCGCAGGAGAGCCAGUGUUGCUGUCGACUUAAACGUUAAGCUAACCCUUGCAUUGCAUUCGUGUAGAGUUGCAUCUCGCUGACGGCUUCUACGAGCUGCACCCGGCGCCCGAAGAAGAAGCUGUAGCCGAGUUCCUGCCCGCUGAAGUCGAAGCCGCCCCCGAAGUUGAGCAGUUCCAGCCUUCUUUGUUUGCAGGCAAGCACCGGUUGCAUGAAAAUCCUACGUGUUUUUGCCAGACUUGCACAUGCCUUCCGAAUAGCAUGUUUGUGCAUUUACGUUUAGGAGUUGUGUGAAACCCUAGAUGCAUGACUUAGUAACCCUUGAUAUGAGCACUAGCUGUUGGACCGAGUAGCUGCAUUGCUUAAAUAGGAAACGGUAAAAGCCGAGUGAUCUCCUGUCACUCGCGAGUUGUAGGAGUUGCAUGUGUUACUCUCCUGUUACAACUAUAAGGACGAUGGACGGGGCAGGGUUUGGUAACUCUUUGGUGGUCGGAUGGUUGCCCCGUCUGUCUAUGAAAACUUGCUAAGGCCUGACAGUGGUGGUGUUCGUGAUCAAGUGUUUGAAAGUACUAGCCUCAUACUUAGUAUGGGAUGAGGAAGCCUAGUACCUGAUUGAACCUAGACGUGAGCGGUCGCCCCAUUGUUCUUGGAACGGAGUUUCCCCUGCUGGUUGUCGCACGUGGUGGCAAAGCGUGGUCACAUAACGGCAGAGACCGGGUCUGUGGAACCUUGCACCAAAGGAAAUGGGCCCGACACGGGUUAGGGGAUUGAUGGGGAAGGCCGACACGUAAAGCGACCUCCGGGUGCACGGAUGUCGUGAGGCUAGGUUCACCAUGCAUGGUUAAAGAACUCGAAUCGAUUCGUCUGCCUCUCACAGUUUGAGAUUUCUUGAUCGCUAUGUCACCCUGAGUAAAUGAGGAAUCUGAUGAUGGCAAUGUUGUUGUUUUUAUCUACACCCUUGUUUGGCUUGAUGGUUGCUUAGAAUAGGUUGCACAACCUAGACUGGUAAGUAAAUCUAGAACCGGAGCUAAAACUUGAAAAUAGGUUACUUAGUGCUUUUGGUAAAACAAACCCCUCAGCCAAGAAGCCUUGCAUGUCUAGUUGGGAGAGUAGUUGACUCCUCCCCGGUUAAGUCUUGUUGAGCUUAGUAGCUCAGCCUUGUUGUGGCUCCUGUUUUCAGGUGAAGUUGCAGUUCCCGACCCCUCCCUUGUUGGCGCUUGGCCGCCCCAGCUUCCGCCAGGCUGGACGGUCGAGUGGGACCCCUCCUCGGACGGCGAGGAGAGGACUCAGUGAUGUUCUGGCUGGCCUCGCCCAGACGUCCGACCCCGACGAAGUCUUCCGCUAGCGUUUCCCUGUUGUUUUCUUGAAAACUUGUAAAGCUCUGAUGUUGGAUUUUAUGGUCGAAUUAAGUGGGUAAAACUUGUUCAACUCAGUGGACUCGUUGUAUUCUCUGUAACCGCUCACCUUCGUGUGGGUUUGCUGAACUCGAUCCUGUUUAAGUGGUCAAAUCGGAUGAAGUCCGACGGCGCUUCGUGUUAGCUCGAGUUAAUCAAGAGUGUCGCAUGUUAGGCGGCUAAACUUUGAUUAAUCAAGCUGAUCCGAGGUGGUUCCGCCACAAUACGUCAUACGGCCUAGAGGGGUCGGGCUGAGCCAACAAGGGGGCGGUGGUCAGCAAGUGCUUCAGGGUCUUGAAAGCCUCUUCACACUUGGUGUCCCACACAAAUUUGACCUCUUUCUUCAGCAACUCGGUCAUCGGCUUAGCUAUCUUGGAGAAAUCCGGUAUGAAACGCCGAUAGUAACCUGCCAAUCCAAGGAAACUCCUGAUUUGGUGUACUGAGGUAGGAGACUUCCAUUCCAUGACUUCUUGUACCUUGCUGGGAUCCACGGCAAUACCAUCCUUGGAGAUAGUGUGUCCGAGAAACUUGACACUAUCUAACAAAACUCACACUUGGAGAACUUGGCAUAGAGCUGGUGAUCUCUCAGCCGUUGGAGAACUAUAUGAAGAUGGUCGGCGUGCUCUUCCUCGUUCUUCGAGUAAACUAGGAUAUCAUCAAUGAACACCACCACAAACUUGUCCAGCUCGGGCAUAAACACCGAGUUCAUAAGGUACAUGAAAUAGGCGGGUGCAUUGGUGAGUCCAAAGGAUAUGACUAGGUACUCGUACAGUCCAUAUCUGGUAGAGAAAGUUGUCUUGGGUAUGUCGCAGGGUCGAAUCUUUAUUUGGUGAUAACCAGAACGAAGAUCGAUCUUGGAGAACACUUUUGCUCCGGCUAACUGAUCGAACAAGACAUCAAUGCGUGGCAGCGAGUACUUGUUCUUGACUGUCACAGCAUUGAGGGGUCGGUAAUCCACACACAUACGUAGACUGCCAUCUUUCUUCUUCACAAACAGGGCGGGGCAACCCCAAGAUGAUGUACUGGGUCGAAUGAAGCCCUUUUCCAACAGAUCAUGCAACUGGGUCUUCAACAUGGCUAACUCAGCGGGUGGCAUCCGAUAGGGUCUCUUAGAUAUCGGGGCUGUGCCAGGAAUCAACUCUAUGGAAAACUCCACUUCUCUAUCAGGUGGCAUACCCGGCAAAUCUUCUGGAAACACAUCAGGGUACUCACAGAUAAUAGGGAGGUCUUCUAGACGGGAUCCCAAGAGAGGGUAGGCACAAGGAGUCGAAGACUCAGGAUGGGUCAAGGAUACGGUAGAACUACCAUGGGAGGGUGAGCUGUGUUGGGAUACGAGGUAGGCUACACUAGCGCAAUUCAAAAAAAUCUACCGCGUAUAACCAGGAAGAACUGCCGUAUAAGGAUCACGGGAUUACCACUCGACGCACUACUGGUGCGGAAGAUGUAGAUAUGCGUCGAUGCAGUGAAGACAAUCACGUAGUCGUACGUAGUCGAUCACGUGCAGCAGCUCCUCAGCAGCUCGUCCACGUGCAGCAAGAUCGCCUCCGGUACCGUGGCUCGUCGUCGGCUCGUCGUGGCUCGUCGACGGCUCGUCCAAGUGCUGCAGGCGCAACACCUCCAAGGUAUCCACAUGUGCAGGGAGGAAGCAUCGCAAGUCGGACUGCUAGAUCUGCGAGUUGCAACAGGCGAGGGCGUGGGAGGCGCGGCAGGUGUGUUUCGCCAAAAAGGUGUAAACCCUAGGGCGCCCCCACCCCUCUAUUUAUAGAGGUUCCUGAUGGGCCUCUGGAUCCGAGGCCCAUUAGUACUCCUAAACCUAAUCCAACUCGGAUCAGAUCCGAAUUGGGCUUCCAGCCCCUUAAGUGUGUGACCCUAUGGGUUCGGAUACGUAUAGACAUGGCCCGAGUACUCCUACUCGGCCCAAUAGUCGGUAGCGGCCUCUAGCAAGACGUGCCAACUCCUAUACGCACACAAAGAUCAUAUCAGACGAACCAUCACAACAUAAUAUACAUGCUAUUCCCUUUGCCUCACGAUAUUUGGUCUAGCUUCAAGCCGACCGCUCUUUCUCGAUCCUGUGAUUCGGAAUCCCUUUGUAGGUUAACUCUUAACCGUACGUAGCAUGGCCAUGCAUUUUCGGAUCCGAUCACUCGAGGGGCCCAGAGAUAUCACUCUCAAUCAGAGAGGGGCAAAUCCCAUCUUGACUGACCAUGUCUCAUAGCAUGCUUCUUGACAAACCCGAAAGCUACCUUUAUAACUACCGUGUUACGGUGUAGCGUUUGAUAGCCCCUAAGUAGGUCGAUCCACAUCUAGAAUACAUGUGACAAUCUCAGGUCUAAGGACAAAGCGUAUAUGUUGUUUUAAAGAGAGAACUACUUCUCGUGUUGGGUCAGUCCUAACACAUGUCUCCACAUGUGUCCACAUUAUUAGUUCAACAUCUCGAUGUCCAUGACUUGUGAAACAUAGUCAUCAACUAAUACAUGUGCUAGUCUAAUAUUCAUGUGUGUCCUCACAUGAACUCCGACUAGGGACAACUUUAGAAUAACCAUACAAGGAAAGAGUUUCACAUACAAUUCACAUAAUUGCAAAUCAAUUCAAGUAGCCUUCAAUGGAUAUUCAAUGAACACAACAUACAAAUCAUGGAUACAAAUGGAAUAUCAUCAUCUCUAUGAUUGCCUCUAGGGCAUACCUCCAACAGUCUCCCACUUGCACUAGAGUCAAUCUAGAAGGUACCUAAUACCCAUAGCUCUUACAUGCGCAUCAUGCUUAGCCUGCGGGAGUGGUUUUGUCAACGGAUCAGAAAUGUUCAGAUCCGUGUGUAUUUUGCAUAUCUUGAUCUCACCCCGGUUAACGAAGUCUCGAAUGAGAUGAAAUCGCUGCAUUACGUGUUUGUUCUUCUAGUGGUUCCUUGGCUCCUUUGCUUGCGCAAUUGCCCCAUUGUUAUCACAGUAGAGAUUCAAUGGGCUGGACGCACUCGGGAACACACCAAGCUCAAUGAGGAAAUUCCUUAUCCAAACACCUUCCUUCGCGGCUUCCGAAGCCGCGAUGUACUCGGCUUUUGUCGUAGAAUCGGCCACCGUCUCCUGCUUGGAACUCUUCCAACUAACAGCACCACCAUUUAGCGUGAACACAAAUCCUGAUUGUGACUUUGAAUCAUCUCUGUCGGUUUGGAAACUAGCAUCGGUGUAACUUGUUACAACGAGCUCCUCCUCACCUCCAUAGACGAGGAACAUAUCUUUAGUCCUUCUCAAGUACUUAAGAAUAUUUUUCACCGCUGUCCAGUGACUCUCACCCGGAUCAGAUUGGUGUCUGCUUGUCAUACUUAGCGCAUAUGAAACAUCUGGGCGAGUACUUAUCAUUGCAUACAUGAUAGAUCCAAUAGCCGAGGCGUAUGGCACUCUACUCAUGCGAUCCUGCUCAUCAGUAGUCGAAGGACACUGAGUCUUGCUGAGAUGUAUGCCAUGUGACAUAGGCAAGAACCCUUUCUUUGCCUCUUCCAUGCUGAACCGCUUCAACACUUUGUCAAUGUAAGUAUCUUGGCUUAAACCUAUAAGCCUUCUUGAUCUAUCUCUAUAGAUCUUAAUGCCCAGAAUAUAUGCCGCUUCCCCUAAGUCCUUCAUCGAAAAACUAUUUUUCAGUGAAGUCUUUACAGACUCAAGCAUAGGAAUGUUAUUUCCAAUCAGUAAUAUGUCAUCCACAUAUAAGAUUAGAAAUACUACAGAGCUCCCACUAACCUUCUUGUAAACACAAAACUCUUCUUCGUUCUUGGUGAAGUCAAACCCUUUGACCACUUCAUCAAAACGAAUGUUCCAACUCCUAGAUGCUUGCUUCAAUCCAUAAAUGGAUCUCUGAAGCUUGCAUACCUUUCCAGCAUUUUUCGGAUCGACAAAACCCUCGGGCUGUAUCAUAUACACGUCCUCAGCUAGGUUUCCAUUCAGGAAAGCUGUCUUGACAUCCAUCUGCCAUAUCUCAUAAUCGAAAUAUGCAGCUAUAGCUAGAAUAAUCCGAAUGGACUUAAGCAUCACUACGGGCGAGAAGGUCUCGUCGUAGUCAACUCCUUGAACUUGUCGAAAACCUUUUGCGACAAGUCGUGCUUUAUAGAUGUGAACAUUUCCAUCCAUGUCCUUUUUCUUCUUAUAGAUCCACUUGCACUCUAUGGCUUUAACACCAUCAGGCGGGUCAACCAAGUUCCAAACUUGAUUGUCUCCCAUGGACUCUAUUUCGGAUUGCAUGGCAUUCUGCCAUUUUUCGGAGUCUGGGUCCAUCAUUGCUUCUGCAUAUGUCGCAGGCUCAUCAUUGUCCAACAAUAAUAUUUCCCGCAUUUCGCGGAGCCUUGCCGACCUUCGUGGUUGUGGCGGUGCUUCUCUUGCCAUGGGUAUCUCAACUUGUUCUGCUACGUUAGCAUCACUUAUUGAUUCUUGCCCAAUCGGCUCAUCUUGAACUUCUUCAAGAUGCACUGUCUUUCCACUAUUUUCUCCUUUGAGAAACUCUUUCUCUAGAAAAACCCCGUUCCGAGCGACAAACACUUUGCCUUCUGAUCGGUUGUAGAAAUAAUAUCCCAAAGUUUCCUUUGGAUAUCCCACGAAAAUGCACUUAUCCAACUUGGGUGUGAUCUUGUCCGACUGAAGUCGCUUGACAAACACUUCACAUCCCCAAAUCUUUAGAAAAGACAAACUAGGAACCUUUCCAGUCCAUAUCUCAUAUGGUGUCUUAGCUACGGAUUUAGAUGGUACCCUAUUAAGUGUGAAAGCUGCUGUUUCUAGAGCGUAUCCCCAAAAUGACAACGGUAGGUCCGACUGGCUCAUCAUUGAUUGAACCAUGUCUAACAAAGUUCGAUUACGUCGCUCGGACACACCGUUUCUCUGAGGUGUUCCAGGCGGCAUAAGUUGUGGAACAAUUCCGCAACUCUUUAGAUGAUUGCUAAACUCGUGGCUCAAAUACUCACCUCCACGAUCAGAUCGUAAGGCCUUAAUUUUCUUGCCACGCUAAUUUUCAACUUCAUUAUGAAAUUCCUUGAACUUUUCAAAGGUUUCAGACUUGUGCCUCAUCAAGUAGACAUAGCCAUAUCUACUAAAAUCAUCAGUGAAAGUUAUGAAGUAUUGGAAUCCUCCUCUAGCCGUCGUGCUCAUUGGUCCGCAUACAUCACUAUGUAUGAGUUCCAACAAGUCUACUGCUCUCUCAGGAAAACCUGUGAAAGGCGUCUUGGUCAUCUUGCCUAGCAAGCAAGCCUCACAUGUCUCGUAUGAUUCAAAAUCAAACGAAGUUAGAAGUCCAUCAGAAUGGAGCUUCUUCAUGCGCUUUUCACUUAUAUGACCCAAACGACAAUGCCACCAGUAGGUAGGACUCAAAUCAUUAGGCCGAGGCCUUUUAGCACUUACAUUACAGACAGGUGAACCAUCAAGAUGUAAAACAAAUAAUCCAUUCACAAUGGGUGCAAAAGCCAUAAACAUAUUAUUCUUAGAGAUCACACAACCAUUAUUUUCACUCGCAAAUGAAUAACCAUCCUUCAUCAAGCAUGAAGGAGACAAAAUGUUUCGACUUAAACUAGGAACAAAAUAACAAUUAUUCAACUCCAUAAUAAAUCCUGACGGGAGGUGGAGUUGCAUCGUCCCGACGGUCAACGCAGCAACUCUUGCAUUAUUGCCCACGCGGAAAUCAACUUCUCCUCUUUCCACGCUUCUACUUCUUAUCAUUCCCUGCAUCGAAUUGCAAAUAUGAGCAACCGAUCCGGUAUCAAAUACCAAAGAAUUAAUAAUUGUAUCAGCGAGAAAUAUGUUGUCUAUAACAUUAACAACAAGCGUACCUGAGGUAGAAGUACUCUUACUUCCGCCAUUCUUCAAGGAAGCUAGGUACUGCUUGCAGUUUCUCUUCCAGUGACCAAGUUCAUGACAGUAAAAGCACUCUUUGUCUGGAGCAGGUCCAGGUCCAGCUUUAACCUUGGGCGGUGGGUUUGGCUUGGACGUUCCAGCCUUGGCCUUCUUCUUCCAAGAAUUGCCCUUCUUCUUAAAGCUGGGCUUGUUCUGUAUCGCCAUCACAUGGCUGGUACUAGCGCUUUUCUUGAUGUCAGGCUCUGCUAUUUUAAGCAUGCCACACAGCUCAUUCAGACCCUUCUCCGUCCCAUGCAUAUGGUAGUUCGAGAUGAAGUUCCCAUAGCUAGGCGGAAGAGACGAAAGAAUGAAAUCAGUGGCCAACUCUUGGCCCAGUGGGAAGCCUAGCUUCUCCAACCGUUGAGUGUAACCAACCAUCUUGAUUACGUGUGGUCCUACUGCUGCGCCUUCUGCUAGCUUGCUCUCAACAAAGGCCUUAGACACAUUGAACCUUUCAGUCCUGGCCUGUGUUUGGAACAUGUCUCUAAGCGCCACGAUCAUAUCGUGCGCCUCAUGGUUUGUUUCGAACUGCAUCUGCAGCUCGGGUUCCAUGCAAGCAAGCAUAAGGCAGCUUACUUCGAGGUUAGCAUCACAUGCUUUCUUGUAAGCAUUCUUAGCAGCAGCGGGUGCAUCAUCAGCAGGUUCUUCUGGUAGUGGGUUUUCUAGAACAUCUUCCUUUUUCUCAGCCCUGAGAACAAUUCUCAGGUUACGGAUCCAAUUCGAGUAGUUUGUUCCAUUCAACUUGUCCUUCUCAAGGACCGAACGCAAAGCAAACGAUGUGGUGGUGUUGCUAGGUGCCAUUUAAUCUACAACAAAAGUAAUGCAAAAUACACUAAGACAAACAUAUCCAUGAUAGAGCAAAUUAUAUUAAACUACUUUAACAGAAUCUACUCCCACUAAAAUCAAUAUCCCUCUAUUGAAACUUAGUGAUUCAGGAUCCACAACUAACAAGUCUACUAGUGAGCUUUAGCAUCACCGCUAGCAAACGAGGUAGAUCGGUAAGCAACUUUUGCUAAUCAUAUCACAUAUGACUCCUGUUGUUGGGUGACAUCUCUAUGUCUCGGCGCCCAACCUUUAUGCCCCAAGGUCCUUAACCGUUAAGAUAACCUUGUUAAGCAAACCAACCCUUAUGCGUGUAAGUGUCCGACACAAACCCGUCUAGUCAAGGAAAACUAGUGGCACCCUAAUUUCAUAGACCCACCACUAAUUGUACAAGACAUGGGAUGGUGCAAGUUUUAGUUGGGAGGGCAUACUAACUUAAACUUUGUGAGGGAUCGUUCUACUUCUAACAUCACAGCAUGCAGAAAGUAAAACAUAAACAGAAUAGCAUUCACACAGUUGUGACACAGUAUGGCCCAUUUUCAUAUGGUGAUCUCCAUCUCCAUAGAACCUGUUCACCAUGGUGAUCUCCAUCUCCAUGUUCCAUGUGCGCCAUCCUCCUGGUGAUGAGUCCUCCAAGAACUAGAGCAUGCUAUUACGCCUAAUAGCUAGUAAAGAAUCUAGUAAUGAAGAUUACAUAGUUGCUUGGAUCAUCACAGAUUGGUACGCAGACCAUUAAAUACAAUAAAGUGACAACACAUAUGGCUCCUGCCGUGUUGCCGUACGCGCGACACGCAGGUCACGAAUGAGUUACACACAUGCAUCACAUACACAAGGGGGCCAUACUGAUCACAAGAUACAUACAUACAUCCUGCAAAAGAGAGUUAGGCGUCCUAACGUUCCAAACUUCGGAGGCCCAAAACUCCAUCUUCCAAGCCGAAUUUGGGAAAUCUAAUCUCGCCGAAAAUGGCGAAGCGGUUGAAAUUCAUGUGUAACUUUUUCUAUAGAUCAAUUUUCGUAUAAAAAUCGCCCCGAUCCGAGAUCGUACCGAAAAGUUACGGCUGAUUUACCGAAGCAUACGCAUACGGCAAAAUCCCGACCCCGGCAGUAGAUCCCAUCUACUAUUGCACAUCUAAUGUGCCUGGCGUAUGACCCUGGAUCUCGAUUCGACCAAUCAUAUUGAUCUUCCCUCACUGCAACUGGAUUUACGUGUAUCACUUAACUCCGAUGGCGGAAACCGACCGGUAGGAGUAUGUCGUUACACUACCAUUGCAACAAGGGCACGAAACCAGGACAUAGAUCAAACUGAAAACUCGCAUAUCUCCAUAUGCACACAUCCCGAAUCCAAAACUAAGCAGCUACGGCUCUGAUACCACUGUUGGGAUACGAGGUAGGCUACACUAGCGCAAUUCAAAAAAAUCUACCGCGUAUAACCAGGAAGAACUGCCGUAUAAGGAUCACGGGAUUACCACUCGACGCACUACUGGUGCGGAAGAUGUAGAUAUGCGUCGAUGCAGUGAAGACGAUCACGUAGUCGUACGUAGUCGAUCAACGUAGUCGUACGUAGUCGAUCACGUCCAGCAGCUCCUCAGCAGCUCCUCCACGUGCAGCAAGAUCGCCUCCGGUACCGCGGCUCGUCGUCGGCUCGUCGUGGCUCAUCGGCGGCUCGUCGACGGCUCGUCCAAGUGCUGCAGGCGCAACACCUCCAAGGUAUCCACACGUGCAGGGAGGAAGCGUCGCAAGUCGGACUGCUAGAUCCGCGAGUUGCAACAGGCGAGGGCGUGGGAGGCGCGGCAGGUGUGUUUCGCCAAAAAGGUGUAAACCCUAGGGCGUCCCCACCCCUCUAUUUAUAGAGGUUCCUGAUGGGCCUCUGGAUCCGAGGCCCAUUAGUACUCCUAAACCUAAUCCAACUCGGAUCAGAUCCGAAUUGGGCUUUCAGCCCCUUAAGUGUGUGACCCUAUGGGUUCGGAUACGUAUAGACAUGGCCCGAGUACUCCUACUCGGCCCAAUAGUCGGUAGCGGCCUCUAGCAAGACGUGCCAACUCCUAUACGCACACGAAGAUCAUAUCAGACGAACCAUCACAACAUAAUAUACAUGCUAUUCCCUUUGCCUCACGAUAUUUGGUCUAGCUUCAAGCCGACCGCUCUUUCUUGAUCCUGUGAUUCGGAAUCCCUUUGUAGGUUAACUCUUAACCGUACGUAGCAUGGCCAUGCAUUUUCGGAUCCGAUCACUCGAGGGGCCCAGAGAUAUCACUCUCAAUCAGAGAGGGGCAAAUCUCAUCUUGACUGACCAUGUCUCAUAGCAUGCUUCUUGACAAACCCGAAAGCUACCUUUAUAACUACCCUGUUACGGUGUAGCGUUUGAUAGCCCCUAAGUAGGUCAAUCCACAUCUAGAAUACAUGCGACAAUCUCAGGUCUAAGGACAAAGCGUAUAUGUUAUUUUAAAGAGAGAACUACUUCUCGUGUUGGGUCAGUCCUAACACAUGUCUCCACAUGUGUCCACAUUAUUAGUUCAACAUCUCCAUGUCCAUGACUUGUGAAACAUAGUCAUCAACUAAUACAUGUGCUAGUCUAAUAUUCAUGUGUGUCCUCACAUGAACUCCAACUAGGGACAACUUUAGAAUAACCAUACAAGUAAAGAGUUUCACAUACAAUUCACAUAAUUGCAAAUCAAUUCAAGUAGCCUUUAAUGGAUAUUCAAUGAACACAAUAUACAAAUCAUGGAUACAAAUGGAAUAUCAUCAUCUCUAUGAUUGCCUCUAGGGCAUACCUCCAACAAGCUGAUGUAAAGAGAUCGGGCUGAUGUAUCUAGAACAACAUGAUGUCGGGCCAUCCAAUCCAUACCAAGGAUGACAUCUUCUAGGUCAAGGAUGAUAAGGUUUUCCUUGAAGAGGGUGGGACCUAGCUGGAGAGGUACAAGAAUAACGACCUGAUCUGACGUUAUCCUUCCUCCAGGAGUGGCAAUCACAUAGGGUUCCUUAGCGUGACCGACACUUAGCCCACAUCUUUCCCUUGCCUUACUCCCGAUAAAGCUAUGAGAGGCUCCCGAAUCAAACAACACAACAACAGCUUGAUUUAAAACAAGGAAAGUACCCGUCAUUACUGGCGCACCUUCGGGGAGCUCAGUCAAGCUGGUGUAGUUGAGUCGGCCUUGCCGGACUUGCACCUUGGGCCUUCUUCCUCUGGCUGCCAUGGGGUUCUGACCUUGCUGUGGAUUCUUGUUCCUGGGGCAGUCCUUCGCGAAAUGUCCUUCAUUGCCGCAGGUAAAACAACGAUUACUGGCUGCAGGGCGGGGUGGCGUUGGCAGGGUCGGCCGGGGCACUUGCGGUUGGAAGCCUGGAAAACGAGGCAUUGUCGCCGACGGGGGUCGGGCGAUCCAUUUCCCUGACGGCUGGGGUCGGCCAGGGGCUUGUGGAGGGAUCAUCCGGAACCUUCGAGUCGGUGGACUCGGAAAUGCCACAGAGGCUUUCCUCUUCUGGUCAGCCUUGAGGGCUUGCAUGCAGUCCUCCUGAGAGAUGGCCAGGUUGACCAACUCGUUGUAGGUGUCCACCUUGAUGGGGUUCAACCUUUCCCUGAGCUCCAAGCUCAGUCCUCGGCGGAAUCUGUCCUGCUUCUUCUCGUCUGUGUCCGCAUGAUAGCCAGCAUAACGCCAUAGGUCAUUGAAAGAUUGGGCGUAAUGCAGCACAUCCCGAGUUCCUUGGGUGAGGGCCAAAAACUCGUUGAGCUUGCGCUCCAGGAGACCUUCGGGAAUGUGAUGCGCCUUGAACGCCAUCUUGAACUCGUUCCAGCUGACCACGUGGCCAGCCGGCAGCAUGGCAUGGUAGUGGUCCCACCAAAGCCGUGCGGAGCCACGCAGCUGCUGAGCUGCGAACCGCGCCUUGUUGUGAUCGGGGCAUGGAGCGGUGAGGAGCUCGAACUUGGAUUCGAUUGUACGAACCCAUGCGUCAGCAUCGAGCGGUUCUUGUGUCUUUUGGAACAGCGGGGGCUGUGUCCCCAGGAAGUCCUCAUACCGCGCGAUAUGCGGCUGCGGUUGUGCUCUUCCACCAUGUGGCUGUUGUUGCUGUCCUUUCACCAGAUGCCUUAGCAACUCAGUUUGAGUUGCUAGGAUUGCCUCCAAUGGCGAUGGGGGCGGGGGCGGGGGAAGAUCCUGUCGCUGUUCACUACCGCUGGACACAGCACCAGACCUAGUGCGGUGCGCCAUCUGCAAGAGUUAACGCCCCAUUAAUUUCAUGACCUUAGGUAUACUCCAACAAAUGGAACGUAUGGAUUAAAUCCCUUAAUGCGACUCUUGCCAAUAGUGCAUCACACGUCCUCAUAGAGAAAGCACAUUCCUCUCAUUCUCAGCAUAGAUAACCUCUACUUGACCUGGUACUCCACUUCAGGCAACACAUGCCACAUACAGACUACAGACUCCUACGAUCUGAUCCACUCAAUCCAAGGGGUCGGACACGGUCCGUACUUGAAAAGGGUUGGACGAGGCGGAGACUGCCUCAAAGGGUCGGCGCACUCGGCCUCACAAACUGGGGUCGGCCAACUGAACAGAUCCUCAGAACACAGCAUAUGGUCACGGCACAACUUACUCAACCUAGCAUCCACGCCAUACAAAGAUGAGAAAGCUAUGCACCGGGGUUACUUUAUAUACAACGGUGUUUCAACACAGGGAGCACUCAACUCGAGGCUAACCUAUUACAACUUUUCCAAAAUCUAGGCUGCCGAGGAGUACAACAAAAAGAUGGUUCCCUGAGAACCCUUAAGCUACCAAUGGACACUAUGAGUCGGAGAAGGGGCGCCAUCUUCUUCUAUGUCCAUGUUGGACGCUCCCUCAUCUUCCUCAGGGUCCUCCUGUGCUUCGAGCUGCAUGUUGAGGGCAUGCAUAUCCUCGAGCUCGGCUUGGUGCUCCUCUAGGUGGGCAUUGGCAACUGCCAACUCCAUUUCCACCUCCAUGUUUUCCUCUGAGAGCUCUAUCAUGCCGUCCAUGAGGUCGGCAACUUCUCCUUCUAGCUCAGAGAUCCGAUCUUGCAUAUCGUGGAUCUGGAUACCACGCUGGAUCAGCUGGUAGGUUUGGCCUACCAUAUCUCUUCUUGCUGCCUGGAGGUGACCGUGGGUAUCUGCUGCCGUCCAGGCGAAAAGGGUCAUGGCUCUCCCCUGAAGCUCUAUCAACCGGUAGAGAGCGGCCAUGCACCGGAUGUUGGUGGAGAUGGUAACCAUGGCACAGGUGGUGGCUAACACCUCGAUGUUCCCGACACGGUCAAGCCAGGCCGGGUCCAGCCGGUUCCUGAAGGGGAAGAGGCCGAUCGGGUCUAGCGUGAUCUCCACGGGAUGCAGCUGACAGAACUGGGUGAGCAACUGAAGGGCGGCAGACUCCCAUGUAUCUUCCGGGGCAAGACCAUAGGCUAUUAUGCCCAGAGAGGGCCAGUCGGGCCGGGCAAGGGGAGGUGGUACCAACGCUUGCACCUGGCACGUCUGAAGGCCCUGUUCCAGAUAUAACCGCCCGGCAUACAAGGGCGGGGACUGAUACCCAAACCACUUCAGCGUAUCCCACAGAAUCGUGGGAAACCCCUCGAAAUGCAGGCACGUUGACUGGAAGGUACCGUCCGCUCCAAAAACAACAUGUCCGGGAGCAGCCAUCUGGAACCAAGAAAACCGGAAACCACGUGAGAUAAACUCCAAGGAUCAGGGGUCGGAUAGAGAAGCAUACGGGUUUAACCGAGAGCACUAAGAGAAACUAGAAAUCCUUAGAUCCAGAAGAACUCUUUUGAACAGGGUUGCUGUUGAGAAAGGGAACCGUACGACCUUGAAGAUGUGACACAUGCACGGCCUACCUUACUCUUAACCAAAAACAACUGCCCGAAACUCGGGUCUUACGCGGUCAGUGCCGGUGACAAGGCAACAAUACGUCUCUCCCUAUAAUAACUAGUCGGUUCUAGUAACGUCUCCUAAACGAACGCGGUUAGCAACCUGCAGAAAACACCACACACGAACCUUUCGUGCCAGCACCCACGAAAGCGUUCUCAAACAUUACCGCUCCCUAUAGGAACGGCACCCAUGCGUUUAAGGCUGCAUGGAUAGCACUCAACCGUGGAAAUAGGCUCCCUUUGAAUGGAUCCGUAUAACCCUUCGCAUACUCGUGAUGCGGAAUCGGCACACGUAUGACAAACGUGGCGAAACAACCGUGCUGAUAGGUUCGUUGGAAUCGAACCGUACCAACCUUCGUAUGGAACACAUACGGAACCUGCGCACGUGUAAUAGACGUGGGCGAAAACAACCGCGAAGAUAGGGUCCUUCGAAUGGAGCUCCCUAUCAACCCUCGCAUGCUCGUGAUGCGGAACUCGGCACACGUAUGAUAGACGUGGCGAAGUGCUGGAAGAGUUAGCAAAAUAACCAAAUAUUUAUUAGUCACCUAAAACAACCCCAAAAUCCCCUAGGGCCUCUCGCACUAAGUCAUCCUUAACGAUUGUACGAGAUUUUUCAAAAGUUUCUUGCAACUUUUAUCCCUUUCAAAGAAUGUUUAGGGCUUGUUGGGUUCUCUGAAAUGCUAAACACGGCUCUGAUACCAGCUGUGGCGGAACCACCUCGGAUUAGCUUGAUUAAGCAGGGUUAAACCGCCUAACAUGCGACACUCCUGCCUAAACCGAGUUAAUACGAAGUGCCGUCGGAUUUCAUCCGAUUUAACCACUUAAACAGGAUCGAGUUCAGCAAACCCACACGAAGGUGAGCGGUUACAGAGAAUACAACAAGUCCACUGAGUUGAACAAGUUUUACCCAUUUGGUUUGGCCAUAAAAUCCAACAUCAGAGUUUUACAAGUUUUCAAGGAAACAACAGAGAAAACACUAGCGGAAGACUUCGUCGGGGUCGGACAUCCUUGGUGAGGCCAACCGGGACAUCACUGGCUCCUUCCCUCGCCGUCCGAGGAAGGAUCCCACUCGACCGUCCAGCCUGGCGGGAGCUGGGGCGGCCAAGCACCAACCAGAGAGGGGUCGGAAGCAGCAACUUCACCUGAAAACAGGAGCCACAACAAGGCUGAGCUACUAAGCUCAACAAGACUUAACCGAUAGGAGGAAGGGCUACUCCUCCUUCUAGACAUGCAAGGCUGUUUGGCUGAGGGGGUUGUUUGCCAAAAGCACUAAGUAACCCUAUUUUCAAGUUUUAGCUCCGGUUCUAGGUUCAUUUACCAAUCUAGGUUGUGCCACCUAUUCUAAGCAUUCAUAGAAUCAAACAAGAUGUAUAGAUACAACAACAAACAUUGCCAUCAUCAGAUUCCUCAUUUACUCAGGGUGACAUAGCGAUCAAGCAAUCUCAAACUGUGAGAGGCAGACGAAUCGAUUCGAGUUCUUUAAUCAUGCAUGGUGAACCUAGCCUCACGACAUCCACGCACCCGGAGGUCGCUUCCUGUGUCGGCCUUCCCCAUCAAUCCCCUAACCCGUGUCGGGCCCAUUUCCUUUGGUGCAAGGUUCCACAGACCCGGCGUCUGCCAUUCUGUGACCACGCUUGCCACCACGUGCGACAACCAGCAGGGGAAACUCCGUUCCAAGAACAAUGGGGCGACCACUCACGUCUAGGUUCAAUCCGGUACUAGGCUUCCUCAUCCCAUACUAAGUAUGAGGCUAGUACUUUCAAACACUUGAUCACGAACACCACCACUGUCGGGCCUUAGCAAGAUUUCAUAGACAAACGGGGCAACCAUCCGACCACCAAAAAGUUACCAAAACCUUGCCCCGUCCAUCGUCCUUAUAGUUAUAACAGGAGAGUAAACAUGCAACUCCUACAACUCGCGAGAGACAGGAAAUCACUCGACUUCUACCGUCUCCUAGUUAAGCAAUGCAGCUACUCGGUCCAACAGCUAGUGCUCAGAUCACUGGGAUGUGCAAAUGCACAAGCAUGUUACAGAAGGCAUGCGCAAGUCUGGUAAAACACAUAGGACUUUCAUGCAACCGGGGCUUGCCUUCAAGCAAGGAGGACGGAAACUGCUCGACUUCGGGGGCGACUUCGGCUUCGGAGGACAGGAGCUCGGCUACAGCUUUUUCUUCUGGCGCCGGGUGAAGCUCGUAGAAGCCGUCGGCGAGGUGCAGCUCUACACGAAUGCAAUGCAGGGGUUAGCAUAGACAGUUACUUCAACAGCAACACUGGCUCGCCUGAGCCCAGAAACUCGCGACAAAGAGCAGGAGGUUAAGGUGGUUCGAGAGCUGAUGAUGAUCAAGAGGUAAGGGUAGGAAGGAACUAGUGGUCUGAUCCUUGAACUAGAGGAUGUGAUAAACUGGGGGUCCUUAGACGCAAGCGUUGAAGGGUUCCCAAGUUUUACACAUACACCCUCGAGUUGAAGAAAAAGAUCACAGCCAAGCCCUCGGGCGAGGCGGACAAGGGUCGGCGGAACAGACAGGGUCGGGCGAGACGAAACCGGGGUCGGGCGGAUAGGAGGGGUCGGGCGAGGCGGACUGGGGUCGGCAACUCACCUUCUUCCUGAAAGGAAAGCUUGGGGUCGGAACGAAGCAGACUUGGGCGGAGGGACUACGGUUUGAUCAGAAGCUAAGACCGGCGAUGCUCCGGCGGCGGCGCUGCUUCUUGCGGAUCACAAGAGAGCUUUUACGCAGCACGGAGGAGCAAGCUGCUGGGUGACUUGGAGAAGAACUGAGGGAGAACUGAGAGAAGAACUCCUCAAGAACUGGGUGGGUGGCGCUAGGAGCUUGAGCAGGGAGCUAGACGAGGCUGAAGGCAACGAGAGCGGAGGGAACUCCGGCGACGGGGGCAUUCCUUUUAUAGCUGCUGGAGCAGAGGAAAGGAAACGGCGCGGAGAGAGAGAAGGGGAGCGGCGCGAAGGCCGGGGAGAGGCAAUGGAGUGCUCUGCCGGGGCGGCGAUUGAGCAAAGAGGGCGGUGGUGCAGAACUCCGGGGGUGACGCCAGCAAUCAUGGCGUUCUGCCGUCAGGGUGGCGUAGGAGUGGGUAGACUGGUGGUUGAGAUUUGGCGGAAAGUGGGCGUCGUCGUGCGGAAGAUGUGAUAGAAGUGACCGGCUUAACGAAACUAGAAUCGAGGGCGCUCGGGUGAGAAGGCAGGCGGACGCGGGCGCGGGGGAGAGCGCGGAACAACAGAUUGUCGGGCGGCUUCGAACAGAGCGGGGGAAAGGAACUGUCGCGGCCGCGGUCGGGGUUGGCGGUGGAGGAAUCGUCGUGUAGCGGCGACCAGGCAGCGCAACUGUGGCUGAAGGGACGGAAAAGACGGGCGACAUUGGGCUCUGGGGCCGGGAUCUGGUGGCGUGAUGAUGGGCGCGGGAGGCGAGGUUCUGCAGAAAGGGGUGCAGAGGGCUUCCGCUGCCAUUGGGGAAAGGGGCGCGGGAACCCACUCGGUCGCUGUCCAGAGACAAAACUGAGCGGCAGGCGUUGGAGAAGACGAGCCACGAGGCAGGAAGACUCUGAAGCAGCCAUGCAACUCGAGUGCGGCUGUCGCGGGGGAUCUGGAAAAGAUCUCGCGGGUCCACCAGUGGAUAGAUCGGACGGGUGAGGAAGAUUAACAAAAUCUGACGGUGGGCUGAGCUCGUCGGGGUCGGGAGAGGAGCGAAGCCGGAAGGGGUUGGAUCUCAGGGGUCGGGACCGGCGGGAAACUGAGCACUUAGGUGCGGUCAAGCAAGACAGCUGACUAAGGUUAAGGGCUGCGAUCAAGACUAACUAGAAGGCUUAGGGGUCGGUCGUUACACCUGCACUAUGCGCAGGCCUUCAAUGAUCUGUGCCGAUACGCUGGGUAUCAUGCGGACACAGAUUAGAAGAAGCAGGACAGGUUCCACAGAGGGUUAAGCUUGGAGCUCAGAGAGAGAUUAAACCCAAUAAGGGUGAAUACGUACAACGAGUUGGUCAACUUGGCCAUCUCACAAGAGGACUGCAUGAAGGCUCUGGUAGCCGAGAGGAAGAGGAAGGCUCCACUGCCAACGCCCAGCCCACCUACACAACGUUUCAGAAUGGUUCCACCACAGGCACCCAGCCGACCUCAGCAGCCGGGAAGAUGGGUUGCCCGACCCCCACCAGCGGUAGCACUUCAUUUUCCGGGAUUUCAACCUCAGGCUCCGCGGCCGACCCUACCGCCACCACCGUGCCCUGCAAAUGGUAACCACUGCUUCACCUGCGGCAAUUUGGGGCAUUUCGCCAAGGACUGCCCCAGGAAUCAGAAUCAGCGCCAAGGGCAAAGCAAUGCGAUGCUCAAUAAAGGGAAGAGGCCCAAGAUGCAAGUUCGCCAAGGUCGGUUGAACUUCACCAAUGCAGCAGAGCUUCCUGAAGGUGCACCGAUAAUGACGGGUACCUUUCUUAUUCACAGUCUUUCAGCUUUGGUUUUGUUUGACUCAGGAGCCUCACAUAGUUUUAUUGGAAGAAAGACUAGUGACAAAUAUGGGUUAAAGGAAUGCCAAACAAGAGGAUCUUUUAGGAUAUCCACCCCGGGUGGGGUAAUCACAUCUGAUAGGAUGAGUGUCAAUGUGCCUAUCUAGCUAGGCCGAACCCUUUUUAAGGAGAAUCUUGUUAUUCUCGAUCUGGAGGGGAUUGAUGUCAUCCUAGGAAUGGAUUGGAUGACAAGGCACCAGGUUGUGUUAGAUAUUCCAGCCCGAGCUAUCCAUGUCAACUCACCCCACCAAGGCCCCUCUGUUGUCCAAUUGCCUCGCCGAGAAGAUGUGAAUUCUUGUGCGUAUCCCGCAAUUGAGACCCAAUUGAAGGACAUCCCUGUAGUCUGUGAGUACCCCGACGUGUUUCCCGAUGUUUUGCCGGGCAUGCCGCCCGAUAGAGAUGUGGAGUUUUCCAUAGAGUUGAUCCCCGGCACCGCCCCUAUCUCCAAAAGACCUUAUCAGAUGCCACCCGCUGAGUUGGCCGAGUUAAAAACCUAUUUGAAGGAUCUGUUGGAAAAAGGCUUUAUCCGACCCAGCACUUCACCUUGGGGUUGCCCAGCCCUGUUUGUGAAGAAGAAGGAUGGGAGUCUACGCAUGUGUGUGGACUACCGACCUCUCAAUGCGGUGACUGUCAAGAACAAGUAUCCACUUCCCCGCAUUGAUGUUCUGUUUGAUCAGUUAGCUGGAGCAAGAGUAUUCUCCAAGAUCGAUCUUCGUUCCGGUUAUCACCAAAUCAAGAUCAGACCCUGUAACAUUCGCAAUACUACCUUCUCCACAAGAUAUGGACUCUACUAGUACCUGGUUAUGCCUUUUGGAGUCACCAAUGCACCCGCUUACUUCAUGUAUCUCAUGAAUUCGGUGUUCAUGCCCGAGUUAGACAAGUUUGUGGUGGUGUUCAUUGAUGAUAUCCUAGUGUACUCGAAGAACGAAGAAGAACAUGCCGAUCAUCUUCAUGUGGUUCUUCAACGGUUGAAGGAUCAUCAGCUUUAUGCCAAGUUCUCCAAGUGUGAAUUUUGGUUAGAUAGUGUCAAGUUCUUGGGACACACUAUCUCUUGGAAUGGCAUAGCCGUUGACCCCAGCAAGGUACAGGAAGUCAUGGACUGGAAGCCUCCCACUUCAGUUCACCAGAUCCGAAGUUUUCUUGGAUUGGCAGGCUACUAUCGGCGCUUCAUUCUAGAUUUCUCCAAGAUAGCUAAGCCGAUGACCGAGCUGUUGAAGAAAAAGAGGUCAAAUUUGUAUGGAACGACAAGUGUGUAGAAGCCUUCAACACCUUGAAACACUUGCUAACCUCAGCCCCGGUUUUGGCUCAACCCGACACUUCUAAGUCGUUUGACGUAUACUGUGACGCCUCUGGCACUGGACUUGGGUGUGUUCUUAUGCAAGACAAUCGAGUCAUUGCCUAUGCCUCACGGGCGUUACGACCUCAUGAGCUGAACUAUCCGACCCAUGAUCUUGAGUUGGCAGCAGUGAUUCAUGCCUUAAAAAUAUGGAGACACUAUCUGAUGGGCACCCACUGUAACAUCUACAUCGAUCACAAGAGCCUCAAGUACAUCUUCACUCAGGCCGACCUCAACAUGCGCCAAAGAAGAUGGUUGGAGUUGAUAAAGGAUUACAAUUUGGAGGUGCAUUAUCACCCCGGCAAGGCCAACGUAGUGGCAGAUGCUCUUAGCCGCAAGACCCAUUGCAAUUGCUUGUUGGCAACCAACUUCACAGAGACUCUGUGCCAUGAGGUGGGAAAACUUAAUUUGGAAAUUGUCUCCCAUGGAACCCUCGGACACAUCUCACCCUUGAGUCUGCUUUGGAGGACCAAAUUGGGACGGCACAGUUAGAAUAUGAGGAAGUAAGGCGAACCAAAAGAAAGAUUUCAUGGAAGGAUGAGAGGUAUAAGCAAUUCUGACAGAAUGAGAAUGGGAGAGUGUACUUUGAGAACCGACUCAUUGUUCCGUCCGACCCCACCCUUAGGAAGCAACUCCUAGAUGAAGCUCAUCUCUCCAAGUUCUCAAUCCAUCCUGGCAGCAAUAAGAUGUAUCAUGAUCUCCGUCAAAUCUUCUGGUGGAGUGGAAUGAAACCUGAGAUUGCACGAUAUGUUUCAGAAUACGACACCUGUCAAUGUGUCAAAGCCAGCCAUUUAAAGGUAGCAGGUACCCUGCAACCCCUACCUAUUCCCUCUUGGAAAUGGCAAGACAUCAGCAUGGACUUCAUUGUUGGACUACCCCUUAUCGCAGCGGCAUGAUUCCAUUUGGGUGAUUGUGGAUCAUCUUACCAAGACUGCCUACUUUCUUCCGGUUCACACCACCUACACGGCCAAGAAAUAUGCAGAGUUGUAUCUUGACCGCAUUGUUUCCUUGCACGGUGUGCCUAGGACGAUCAUAUUUGAUCGAGGAGCUCAGUUUGUAGCGCGUUUUUGGGAACAGCUACAAGCAUCAAUGGGCACCAAGCUCAUUCGUAGCUCGACUUACCACCCUCAAACCGAUGGUCAAACUGAAAGGGUAAAUCAGAUCCUUGAAGACAUGUUGAGAGCUUGUGUCAUCCAUUAUGACAAAAAUUGGGAUAAGUGCUUACCAUUGGCAGAGUUCUCCUAUAACAAUAGCUACCAGACUAGCUUGAAGAUGGCACGAUUUGAAGCCCUAUAUGGUCGGAAAUGUCGGACACCGUUGAAUUGGUCACAAGAUGGUGAAAGACAGACCUAUGGCCCUGACUUAGUAGUAGAAGAAGAAGAACAAGUGAAGAUAAUUCAAGCAAAUCUCAAGGCCGCCCAAUCUUGACAGAAGAGUUACUCCGACACGAGAAGAAGACCCCUGCAAUUUGAUAUUGGUGAUCAUGUGUAUCUUCGAGUCUCCCCGACCAAAGGAGUGCAACGGUUUGGAGUAAAAGGGAAAUUGGCUCCCCGUUACAUUGGCCCUUAUGAGAUUGUGGAAAUUUGCAGACCCGUUGCUUACCGGAUCCAACUACUCGGGCAGCUCUCGGCCCUUCAUGAUGUUUUCCAUGUCUCCCAACUGAAGAAAUGUGUCCAAGUCCCAACUGAGAUCUUAGGGCAGGAGCAACUUCAAAUCGAACCCGACCUGACCUAUGCUGAGUACCCGGCCAAAGUUCUUAACCGUAAGGAGAGGCACACCCGACGACAAGUGGUGAAAAUGUACAAAAUCCUAUGGAAUAACCACACAGAGGAUGAAGCAACAUGGGAAACAGAAGAGUAUCUGAACAAGCAUUUCCAAGGUUUUCUUUUCAGCCAAGGAGGUAAGGACUGCACACCCCCAGUGGUCGCUCUUACACUCGAAUCUCGAGACGAGAUUUAUUUUAAGAGGGGUAGGCUGUAACGACCCUGGUCAAAUCAUUCGAGUUAAUCUAAAUUGGAAGCCCAAAUUCCUCUGUCUCAGCUCUUCCCGAGCAGGAGUGCUCCACUCCAGUUCCCGGUCCCGACCCUUGAAGACCCGAACCAACCCCGUCGGUUCCUUCUGAGUUCCCCGAGGCAGUGCUUCUUUCAAUCUUGGAGCUGUGGGACAACCGAGACUGAUCGGUGGACCCGCAAAUCUUUUCCCCGGAUCUCCCGAGGCAAACGCACUCGAGCGGCCUGCACCGCUUCAGAGCUCCCCCGCCGCGUGGCUCAACUUCUCCGACACCCGCCGCUUCGCCCAUUCGCCGGCCGCGACAGGAUGGAUUCUCGCGCCCUCCUCCCCAUUCGCAGCGAAAGCCCCUCUGCAACCCUUUCUGCAACGCCUCAUCUCGCUCGCGCCCUCGCCGGUCGUGCCUUGGUGCUCCGUCGCCGCUGUGGCAGAGCUUUGCCGCCUGCUGCGUCAAACCGCCUCGCGGCUCGCGCCCAUCAUCAUCUCACCAGAUCCCCGGCUGCAAGGCCCGAUGCCUUCCGGCUUUUCCGCCGCCUCUCCAUAGUCGCGCCGCCCACGAACUCGCUACGCGACGAUUCCUCCAUCGCCAACCCCGACUCCGGCCGCGACAGUUGUUGGUAUACGAGGUACGCUACACUAGCGCAAUUCAAAAAUUCUACUGCGUAUAACCAGGAAGAACUGCCGUAUAAGGAUCACGAGAUUACCACUCGACGCACUACUGGUGCGGAAGAUGUAGAUAUGCGUCGAUGCAGUGAAGAUGAUCACGUAGUCGUACGUAGUCGAUCAACGUAAUCGUACGUAGUCGAUCACGUCCAGCAGCUCCUCAGCAGCUCGUCCACGUGCAGCAAGAUCGCCUCCGGUGCCGCGGCUCAUCGUCGGCUUGUCGUGGCUCAUCGGCGGCUCGUCGACGGCUCGUCCAAGUGCUGUAGGCGCAACACCUCCAAGGUAUCCACACAUGCAGGGAGGAAGCAUCGCAAGCCGGACUGCUAGAUCCGUGAGUUGCAACAGGCGAGGGCGUGGGAGGCGCGGCAGGUGUGUUUUGCCAAAAGGUGUAAACACUAGGGCGCCCCCACCCCUCUAGGUUCCUGACGGGCCUCUGGAUCCGAGGCCCAUUAGUACUUCUAAACCUAAUCCAACUCGGAUCAGAUCCGAAUUGGGCUUCCAGCCCCUUAAGUGUGUGAUCCUAUGGGUUCGGAUACGUAUAGACAUGGCCCGAGUACUCCUACUCGGCCCAAUAGUCGGUAGCGGCCUCUAGCAAGACGUGCCAACUCCUAUACGCACACGAAGAUCAUAUCAGACGAACCAUCACAACAUAAUAUACAUGCUAUUCCCUUUGCCUCACGAUAUUUGGUCUAGCUUCAAGCCAACCGCUCUUUCUCGAUCCUGUGAUCCGGAAUCCCUUUGUAGGUUAACUCUUAACCGUACGUAGCAUGGCCAUGCAUUUUUGGAUCCGAUCACUCGAGGGGCCCAGAGAUAUCACUCUCAAUCAGAGAGGGGCAAAUCCCAUCUUGAUUGACCAUGUCUCAUAGCAUGCUUCUUGACAAACCCGAAAGCUACCUUUAUAACUACCCUGUUACGACGUAGCGUUUGAUAGCCCCUAAGUAGGUCGAUCCACAUCUAGAAUACAUGCGACAAUCUCAGGUCUAAGGACAAAGCGUAUAUGUUGUUUAAAGAGAGAACUACUUCUCGUGUUGGGUCAGUCCUAGCACAUGUCUCCACAUGUGUCCACAUUAUUAGUUCAACAUCUCCAUGUCCAUGACUUGUGAAACAUAGUCAUCAACUAAUACAUGUGCUAGUCUAAUAUUCAUGUGUGUCCUCACAUGAACUCCGACUAGGGACAACUUUAGAAUAACCAUACAAGUAAAGAGUUUCACAUACAAUUCACAUAAUUGCAAAUCAAUUCAAGUAGCCUUUAAUGGAUAUUCAAUGAACACAAUAUACAAAUCAUGGAUACAAAUGGAAUAUCAUCAUCUCUAUGAUUGCCUCUAGGGCAUACCUCCAACAACAGUUCCUUGUCCGCCUUGCCAGAACUGUGCCCGGCAAACCGCUGUUUCGCGCUUGCCCGCGCAGCCGCAGCCCACCUGUCUUUUCACCUGUUGCAACCUCGCUUGUAGUGCCGUUCUCCCUAUCACACCAAUCAGAUCCGCCGCUCGAUGAUGCCCACCUCCGCCAAAUCUCAACCCCGGCAAAAUCGCGCCUGCGCCGCCUUGUCUCCAGUGCCCAAUAGCCGAGGACGCUAUCUCCGAAGUCCUGUUCCGCCGCCCAUCGCCGCUCAAUUGCCGCCAUGGCAGUGCACUCCAUCCUUUUCUUCCGGUCUUAGUGCUACUCCAACUCUCUCUCUUCCGUGCAGCUAUAAAAGGGAAUGCCAGAGUCCUACUUGAGUUCCCUUCGCCAUCGUUGCCUUGCCGCCUUGUUCCUCUGUUUCGUGCUCGAGCGCCGCCACCUAAGUUCUUGAGGAACUCUCAUCUCUGCUCAACACCCGCCCCUCCCAAUCCACCUAGCCGCCUGCUCCUCCGCGCUGUGCUAGAGCUUCCUUGUUGCUCACAAGAAGCUCCACCGCCGUCGGAGCACCGCCGGACAUCGCCGCCACCCAAGCCUUAGUGCUUAAGACCUUCCGCCCAAGUCUACUCCUUCCCGACCCCAAAGCUUCACCUAUAAACCGAAGGUAAGCUGCCGACCCCUCACCGGUUCGCCCGACCCUAUCUGUUCGCCCGACCCCUUUUCCGUCUCGCCCGACCCUGUCUGUUAGCCGACCCUUAUCUGCCUCGCCUGAGGACUUGGCUGUAUCCUUUCCUUGGCCCGAGGGUACCUGUGUAAAAGAGCGGGGACUUCUCUACGUUAAUUCUGAGGACCCCCAGCACAGCUAUUCCUCUAGCUUAAGGGUCAGAUCAUAAGUUUCUUCCCAUCCGACCCUUUUAUCUUGCUCUCCACCAACUAAAGUAAACUUCCCCACAUUUUCUGUAGCCUUGCUGCAAGUGUCCGAGCUUAACUGCAAGUGUUGUUGAAAUAACCGUCUAAACACUAACUCCUGCAUUGCAUUCGUGUAGAGUCGCACCUCGCUGACGGCGUCUACGAGCUACACCCAGUGCCAGAAGACGGAGCUGUAGCUGAGCUACCAGUUCCAGAAGCCGAAGUCACCCCAGCUGAAGACUAGUUCUCCUCCCCUCCGCUUGAAGGCAAGCCCCAGAGCAUGAACCCCAAAUUUUUCCCAAACUUGCGCAUGCCUUCUUUCUCAUGUUUGUGCAUUUACGUAAAGGAGUUGUUUGCAACCUUAGAUGCAUGACAUAGUUCCUUUGAUCUGAACACUAGUUUGUUAGGCCGAGUAGUUGCUAUGCUUAAAUAGGAAACGGUAAAAGUCGAGUGAUUUCCUGUCACUCGCGAGUUAUAGGAGUUGGUUGUUUUCCUUCUGUUACAACUAUAAGGAUGAUGGACGGGGCAGGGUUUUGGUUAACUCUUUUGGUGGUCGGUUGAUCACCCCGUCUGUCUAUGAAAUCUGUUAAGGCCCGACAGUGGUGGUGUUCGUGAUCAAGUAUUUGAAAGUACUAAUCUCAUACCUAGUAUGGGAUGGGGAAGCCUAGUACCUGAUUGAACUAGGGCGUGGCUUAUACCCCUGCUGUCCCUGGAACGAGGUUCCCAUGGUGCAUCAUGUGGGUGCAAGUGCGGUUACAGUACGGUAGAGGCCGGGACUGUGGAGCAUUGCAUGCCAAGGGAAGUUUGGACCUGACACGUGCUUGGGAAUUGAUGGGGACGGCCGACAUAGGAAGCGACCCUUGUGGUGCGUGGAUGUCAUGAGAUUAGGUUCGCCAUGCAUGGUUAAGAAACUCGAAUCGAUUCAUCUGCCUCUCACAGUUUGAGACUGCUUGAUCGCUAUGCUACACUGAGUAAUGAAAGAGUCUGAUGAUGACAUGGUCUUGAUGAUGAGCUUAUAUACAUAAAGUUGGAUCUAUGUUUGCUUAGAGUAAGAUGCCAACGUAGACUGGUUAAUGAACUUAGAAGUUGAGCUAUAACUUGAAAGCAAGGACCUAACAUAGUCGCUUUUGGCAAACAAACCCCUCAGCCAAAGAGCCUUGCAUGUCUAGACGUGGUGGAGUAGUUUUACCACCGGUCGGUUAAGUCUUGUUAAGCUUAGCCGCUCAGCCUUGUUUGUGGCUCUCUUUUUUAGGUGAAGUCGUAGCUCCUGAGUUUGCUCCUGUUGGCACUUGGCCGCCCCAGCUCCCUCCGGGUUGGACGGUCGAGUGGGAUCCCUCCUCAGACGGCGAGGAAAGGGAUCACUGAUGUCCUGAUCAGCCUCAUCAGGAACAUCCGACCCCGGCGCUAGCUUCCGCUAUUUUACCUUUCCGCUGCUUUUGAAUCUUGUAAAACUCUGACUUUCGUUUUGAUGUUGAACUAAAUUGUCAAACUUGUUUAACUCAGUGGAUUUGUUGUAUUCUCUGGAACCACUCACCUUCGUGUGAGUUUUGCUAACUCGGUCCUGUUAAGUGGUUAAAUCGGAUGAAAUCCGACGGCACUUCGAGUUAACUUGACUAAGGCAUGAGUGUCGCGUGUCAAGCGACUUAACCGUGCUUUAAUCAAGGUAAUCCGAGGUGGUUCCACCACACUCCUGCAGGAUGUAAAUCAGUCCGGAUCGCCGCAAUUCUCGGAUAUGAAUGCACUUGAUCAUUGCUUAAGCAUCGUAGUGUAACAAAGAGAAGGGAACCGUUGCUUUUGAAUAAAUAUGUUGAAUGACUUAGUUCCAUCUGGUUGAUAAAAUAUUUUUCAUCAUCUAGACUGGUCAGGUAACAGACUCAAUCUGAAAUAAAAGAUAAAACUAAGGUUUUACAUAUGGUAAGCUUUUUCGGCAAAAUGUGAGUCAGCGAGUACACCAUAAAGCCAUCAUACAGUAUGACAGAAAUAUUUAUAUUGGUUAGACAAGUCAGACUUGCUGAGUACUUUGUACUCAGGGGAUCCUUUGUUGUUGUUUUCAGAAACCCAGCAGGGACCCACCGAGGAGGAAGCACCGAAGAACUAGGGUAUCUUAAGAGUCUCAUGAUACCCUAGAAUAAACUUAGAUGUUUAAUUACUUACCUCGGACUGUUUUAUAUUUUAAACUCUUAGCAAUGGUUUAACUUGCACUGUUAAGUUUCCUCAAUCUAUGGUUUGUAAAUCGUACCUCGGUUAUGUAUGUAAAAAUGUAAUAUUUGUUGAUGCUAUCCCAUCGUGGAAGCGGUCCUGAUGUAUGGCUAUGGAACACCCUAUGGAGGUUUUCAAGGAGUUCUGUGAACAGAACCCUUGAUGGACUACCAGAUUUACACUAUUUUAAGUGCGUUUUGGAUAAUUGUUGUUCUGACAGCAAUUAGGUGCACUUAAGUCAGUUUAAGUUGGGCAGUUCCACCAUAGCUGGUAUCAGAGCCAUAGGUUGGGAUAAUCAACAGAUAUUACUAUUUAAAAAUUGAGACUCUAUUUUAAAUAAAGAAAACGUGAGUCUUAGGUGGCAGUAGUAUUAAUUGGUUUCUUGUUUUGCAGAUGCUAACUGUUUGCUGCGUGUCGCUAGUAUUCGGUAGCAUAUUACUAGGGAGGGAUUACGAUGCCAUCAAUUUUCCUACGAGUGUGUAUAUGAGUCUGAAAGCACGUAGGAAUCGCUGCAUCAUAAUUGCAUAGCAUGUUUUAAAAACUUUUGGGUUUGGUGACUGUCGUUAGACCUAAAACCCGUUCCGUGCGUUAGAAGUUAGACGUGGUCAGGACCGGUGCAAACAGGGGACCGAAGAAGAAAGUACCAAGGAAGAUGAAUAGACCUAGAAUCCUUUGAUGCAACCAGCUUCACUAUAAUACUAUGGAAGGACAAAAGAAUGAAAAUACUUCGGGAACGAGUAAGCCAAGGUGAUGUUACUUGUUUUACCCAGAAUGAAAAAGGGGUGCUCUAUUUCAAAAACUGAAUAGUAGUACCCAAGAAGAUGGGCUUGAGAAAAAAGAUCCUAGAUGAAACUCAUUUGUCAAGAUUCUCUAUCCACCUUGGAAGUACUAAGAUGUAUCAAGACCUGAAGCAAUGCUUUUGGUGGACAAGGAUGAAGAGGGAAAUAGCCAAGUAUGUAUCUGAAUGUGAUACAUGCCAAAGGGUGAAGGCCACACAUCAGAAAUCAGCUGGCUUAUUGCAACCCUUAACCAUUCGUAAAUGGAAGUGGGAAGACAUUUCCAUGGAUUUUAUAGUAGGAUUGCCUACUACCUCAAAGGGGUAUGAUUCCAUAUGGGUUAUCGUGGAUCGACUCACUAAGUCGGCUCAUUUUAUUCCUGUCAAGACUACUUACCGUAUGCCAGUUUAUGUGGAACUCUAUAUGUCUCGAGUAGUGUCAGCACCUCGAACAUGUCAACGCCUCAUGGCUCCACAUGGCAGCCACGUGGCCAUCUAGUCUACAUGGCACUGCCACAUGGCGCACACGUGGUCGUCCCCAGCCGGCCGGGAUCCAUGUGUCGGGCGGAUCCUGUGCGUGUGGCGGAACUGCUCAAAUUAACUUGGCUAAAGCACACUUAAGUCGCCUAACACACGAUCAUGUACUUUAAUCAAGUCAACUCGGUAGUCCGUCGGAUUUCAUCCGAUAAACCACUUAUCACAGGAUCGAGAAAGCAUAGCUCACACGAAGGUGAGUGGUUACAGAGAUUACAACAGUCUAUCCAUAUUAAACAAGUGCAUCAAAUUGCUACAACAUCCAGUUUGAAAUUCAAACAUAGUUUGCAGAGUUUCAAGCAGCAGAAAUAAAUAAGCGGAAGCUAACGUCGUUGUAGGAUAUCAUGACGAAGCCGAUCAUGACAUUAAUGAUCCCUGUCCUCACCGUCCGAGGAAGGAUCCUACUCGACCGUCCAUCUCGGAGGGAGUUGGGUGGGCCAAGUUCUACUUGCAGCGAGCUCAGGGGUAACAACAUCACCUGAAAAGAUGUGCCACAAGCAAGGCUGAGCAACUAUGCUCAACAAGACUUAACCGACGGGUGGUAACUACAUCCACCAACACCUAAACAUGCAAGCUUUUUGGUUUUGGGGUUUGUUUUUGCCAAAAGCGACUAGAGUAGGUCUUUACUUUCAAUAUUUUAGCACCAUGUUCUAGUUGAUUAACCAUUCUAGGUAAGCAACUAUACUAAGCAGGCAUAGCUUUUCAAGCAAUUAAUAACAAGUAACAACAUUUAAUCAUCGUCACAUUCCUUUCUUACUCAGUAUAGCAUAGCGAUCAAGUAGUCCCAAACUGUGAGAGGCAGACGAAUCGAUUCGAAUUUCUUAACCAUGCAUGGUGAACCUAAUCUCAUGACAUCCAUGCACCACGAAGGGCCGCUUCACUUGUCAGCCGUCCCCAUCGAUUCCCAGACCUGUGUUGGGCCCACUUCCCUUGGUACAAGGCUUCAUAGACCCGGCCUCUGUCGUUCUAUGACCGCACUUGUCACCACAUGCAGCCACAAGGGAAACUCCGUUCCAGAGACAGUGGGGCGAUCCACUCAUGUCCUGGUUCAAUCAGGUACUAGGCUUCCCAAUCCCAUACUAGGUAUGAGAUUAGUACUUUAAAACACUUGAUCACGAACACUAUCACAUCUCGACCUUAGUCAAUUUCAAGUAGACAGACGGGGCAAUCCACCGACCACCAAAAAUAGUUCACAGAGCCCUGCCCCGCCCAUCGUCCUUACAGUUGCAGCAAAAGAAAAGGGCAUUCAACUCCUAUAACUUGCGAGUGAUAGGCAAUCACUUGACUUUUACCGAGUCCUAUUAAGCACUGCAACUACUCAACUUAAUAUACUAGUGUUCACAACAAGGGUACUGAGUUCAUGCAUCUACGAUUUCAAUCAACUCCUGGAACAUAAAUGCACAAUCAAGCAAUCAAUUGUAUUUCAAUAUUUAAAGAUAGGAAUUCAUGCUCCGGGACUUGCUUUCGCACGGGGAGUUAGCGAACUAGUCCUCGGCUUGCUCUGGUGCAGGCUCAGCUCUGGCGUGGUGCAGAUCUGCUACGGCUUCUUCUUCCGGCGCUGGGUGCAGCUUGUACGUGCCGUCAGCAAGGUUCACUUCUACACGAAAUACAAAUGCAACAAGUUAAAUUUUCCAUGCUUUCACAUGCAGGAUGCAAAACAUGAGUUAUUGCCGGAGUAUAACUUACAUUUUGACCACAUUCACCUAAACAAGGUUCUAAACUUUUAUUAUCUUCAUGAGGUAAGGUGUGUUGUGGCAUAAAACCCGGCGUUGAUUUUAAUGGAGAUUGUGUACACAUAUAUGUGAAACGAGUUGAUUAACUUCAGAUUAGAAAGUUUGUUAAGUUUCUGAAUGUUUUUCUGUACCUCUUUCGAAAAUUACCAGUAUCAUUACUCAAAGUUUCUUUCAUCCAUUUAAUUAGGUCCAUCUUCCAAAUUUUAUGUCAUUAUCCAAACAGCAAGCUAUGAAGCUACAAAUUUAACAGCAACUUAACUUUGUCAUAGAUAAGCUACUGCAUAAAUUUGAGAUCCAUUGGAGGUGUAUAAAAAGAAUUAGAAUUACUUUAUUACCCUAAGGUAGCAUAUACUUAAACAUUUUUAAAACAUAAACCAUAACGAAACUGGUCAUGAAAUUUUAACAGUGAGUUAUAUGGGUGAUACAAAGCCUUUGGAGAAUUUUUCAUGAUUUUUAAUGAAGGACAUCUAUUUCACAUAUUUACCUCAUUUAUCUUUCUCUAAAAAGGAAAGUGAUUUUCUUUCUGCUUCUGACCAGGUUCUAUAACUUUCCAACAAACUACACUACACCACUGACCUAUUCCAAUUUGUUUCACAUUUUUAUCAUCUCUGGUUUAAAAAUUGUGCAAAAGAUUGUAGUUAUACAACUAGAACAGAGACUUCAACUUCUGAGCUAGGCUCCAAAUCAUUUUUCCAAGAUUCUAUUCUCUGAGACAAGCAAUUGAGAGUUGGAUUUACCUUUUUAGCAUUUUUCUGUGAUUUGCUAUGAUUUAAAUAGCUCAAACAAGGAUUAAAACAUAUAACAUUAAUUCUAACAGAGACAUGUGCAAACUUAUUUUUAUAUGAAACGACACACAACACUGAGUCUAACAAAAUUCAUCUUGCAUUUUUAUCAUUUUUACACUUUUCUAUGCCUUUUCAAAGUUUUAGCCUUUUUAGAUCUAGGAAAAAAAAAGAAAACCGAGGCAAACUUGCAAUCUAGCCCUCAAGUCUAUGGUUUAAUCACGUAAAGGUCCCUGGUUUUUGCGCCUACACCCCUGGACAGAUUCCCACCUUAAACAUAACUCCUGAACAUUAUCCCAUAACCCCCUAGACUUCUAUUCUUCUCAAAACUCACUGAUAUCUUCUUCCUUGGAACAGAUCGCACAGGCACAGGAUUGUCACACAUGGGGGCACACGGCCGGCCGGGGAGAGGGUAAAGAAGGUGUGGCGGCGCUAGGGGAGGGGGUGGUGCCAUGCCCAGGACAAGGGGUCUCCUUGGUGCGGCACAGGUAGGGAGGAAAGGGGCGGCACACAACAUCAUGGUUAGGAGCUCACCUAGGUUCCGUUUUAGCUGUUGGUUGUCGAUGAGGAAGGCCGGAAGGGGGCGUUCACGGUGAGGGUCAUGGCUGCAAUUGACAGUUUCUGAUCGGAGGAGAAACUUGGAUUCCCGACCAAGGGAUGGACGGCGGGCGAUGAGGAGAGGCUGAGGGUGGAGCCAAGGGAGUGUAGAAGCUUAGGGCGUGAGGGAUUUGGCGGAGGCGGAGGCGGAGGGAGCUGGCCGGAUUUCGCCGGGGAACAGGAACCUCUCGAGUUGGCUGUUUGGGGCAAAAAUGGAGGAAGGCUUGGUUUGGGGAGGCUCUGGCUUGGAGGAUAAGGCCGGCUCAAGGCCUGGGGGUGGUGCAAGGAUAAGAACGACACGACAAGGCGUCGGGGGCACGCUGGACGGGCAUUGGCGGAGCGGCUGUGACGCGGCAGCCAUGGCGUGGUCAUGUGCAUGCGGCGAGGUGCUGCGGCGAGGCACGGUAGGUGAGGUGCUGCAGCGAGGUGCGGCAGGCGAGGUGGAGCGUCGACUGGUUAGCGCGCGGGCGCGGGUUGGGCGAUGGGGGUGGCGCGGGCGAGCUUGCGCCACGGGGCGGGCGACAUGCAGCACGCUCUGGCGCGUGUGCUCUGGCGCAGGGCGAGAACGCGGGACAGUUGCAGGGCCGGAGUUUUGGGGCAAAAUUGCACGCGAUUUUUGAACUAAACCACGUUGGCUCCCUUUACAAAAAUUGUUUUCCUAACAACCGAGUUCAAACUUUACUAAAGGUUUUUGCCCAGAUUUCAAACGGAUUCAGAGAUAAAAUGCGCCAAAGUUCGUAAAAAUUGAAACUUUCAGACUUAGGCGCUUCAGCCAUUUUUGGAUAGUGUUCACUAUUUUAGCUGUGUUUGACCUUGUUUUUGAAAACCUUUUGUGCAGAUGUUGGCCUAGCUCCAAUAAUCAAAGUGGUUAAGGACUUGUAGCACUAAAAAUUUUAUAAAAAGUCUAUUUUGAGUUUACAUUAAAAAUUGUGAGAUAAAGGGCUUCAAAGUUUGGGUUUUUCAUGUUUUUCACAAUUUGGCACAUAUUUGAAUUUCAAGUUUUUGAAAGCCUUCUGCUCAGAUUCAAACAAAACGCCAAAAACAAAAGUUGUUAGAAAAGAUGAGUUUAACAACUCUUAGUUGGACAAAAUUUCAGGUUCUUAUAUAAAAAUUUAAAUUAUGGCUUAAUCAAUUUUUAAGCUCUUAGGGGUCAAAGUUGACCUUUGACUCGGUUAAUUUGCUGCUAAAAGCUUCACUUAGGCUUAAAGAAGGUUUAGUUAACCUAGGGUUGUUACAGUGCACUAUCGGCAUGUGGCCACGGGUGUGGCACAGGCCUGAUUGGCGGCGACGCAGCGGUGACCGCGCCCACAACGUCGUGGUGUCACGGCGCAGCUGCUGCGCGUGCGCGCGGGCAUGAGGCAGUCCCCGACCGCGGCACGACCACGGCGGCAUGCGGGGUCCCGGUGUCCUAGGCCCGUAGCGGCUGGUAGCAAGGUGAACGGCGGAGCUCCUACCAUGGAUCGAAGGCUGGGCAUACGACAAGCAAACAAGAGGAAAGAGAGGGGCGGCGAGGCUCACUGCGGGAAGAUGGCAAAGGCGGGCGGCGUCGAGCGGCGAUCGACAGCUCCGGCUCCUUCAUUAGAUGCCCCUCUUCUUUUUCUUCUCUUCUACUUCCCCCCUCCUUCCCUUUCCUCCUCUUCUCCUACUCCUCCCUCCUCCUCUACUCCUUCCCUCUUCUCUCAUCAGGUGGUCGAUGGCGCAAGGGCGAAGCCCCAGGUGGAUGGCGAGGAGAGGCCCCGAGCGGCUCUACUUAUAGGGGAGAGACGGCUGGAGUUCCGGAGGGAGGUUGCGGCUUUAGGGUUUGGGGGCACAACGUCGGUGAUGUGGACGGCUAGGAUGUGGCAUCGCACGGUGCGGGUGACGUGAUGGCCAUCCGAGGCUGCUAGCGCAAAAGCAAGGGCGCAGGCGAGGUCACGGGGCGCACGUGAGGUGCGCGUGAGCGGGUCCGGCGCAGUAGCGAGAAAGAAAGAGAGGGAGAGCGGGGCGCGGGUGCCGACUGCGGGCUAGGCCAGCUGGCCGGUUAAGAGGCCUGCUGGGCUGGUCGUCGAGCUGCGCAGGCGACGCGGUAGAGCAGGCCAGGUCGGCUGUCUGGCUGGGCCGGGGCGAAGGUGGGUGAGGGUGAGGCGCGAGCGGGCCAGGGCGGUGGGCUGCGGCUGGCCUGGUUGGUUAGGAGGGUUAGAUAGGUUUUGUUUUUAUUUAGAUUUAGAUUUAGUUUGAGUUUUGAAUUAGAUUAAAAAUUCAAACACACACUCAAACAUGAUAUCCACAUAAAUUCUAAAAAAAUCCAAAUCAUUCCACACAAGUUUUGAAAUGGAAUUUUGGGAUGAGAGGAGAAUUUGACUACCAUUUUCAAAUAAGCACACAAUUCAAAUAAAAGUUUUAAAUUUUUGAAAAUUUCACUCAAAUAAAUAUUACAAAAUUCUGGAAUAUUACAAACAUAACCACUUCACCUCGUACCCCGAGAAAGCUAUACAAAGCUUAACACUCCUCAACAUCUGAGAAAUUCGGUUGGAACGAAACUCUAGAUUUUUCGGACUGUGUGAGUCCUCCUUGAUUUCCUUGGUGGCAAAAAUAAAAAAGGAAGUGGCUGCUUGGGUAGGGGCAGGGCAAAAAACCUAACGGAACUUUUAGCGCAGUAAUUUUUUUGUUACUCUCUACCUAUUAGCCAGCUUGUAACUCUUCUUCUUUAUCAAUAAAAUAGGCACAAUCUUAUACCCAUUAAUUUUAAAAAAAGAGAUAAAAGCUAACAAUGUUUUCCAUGGAUGGAAACAUUAACGUAAGAAGAUAUACAAGUAACAACCUAUUUGAGACUUCAGUAGUGUUCAUACUAUACCAUACUAGUAGUAACAGUAGCAUUAAGCAGCCAGCUUACAUUGAACAGCAGAGCACAAUACUUGUGUCAGUAUAAAAAAAGACUUGUGUAAGGCCAGCUACACAAGUUAGCUCGCAUUUCAUAAUUAAGUUUCAGAUUUCGUGCAAGGCCAGAUACUUUAGCACUGCACUCUUGAUAAGCGGCGGUCCGCGUGUUUGGUUUCCUACAUCGAACCAGAUCCUCCAGAAUACAUUCAUCCAGGUUCCAGAAAUAUGCCGUCCAGAUGGCUGAACCAUCCUGUGCGUCCAAAACUCUCGAACCACGCCGUCUAGGACAGGCCGAGCAUGAUCGAGAGGCGAACUAUUCACUGUCCGCCUUCCCCUCCACUCAUUAGUCUUUUAUGUCAAUUUAUUUAUCUAACAAAUUUUAUUUGUUUUCUCAUUGUAUCAGAGGUAAAGUUACCACCUAUAGUAAGGAGGUUACCAUACCCUGAUUCAAUCACGUAACCAAACAUGAUCUUGUACCAUCCUGUAUCAUCCUAUUCAAGUAACCAAAUAAAACCAUGUACCGUCCCAUUCAGACAACCAAACAUACAACUUGUAUCAUAUCAUUCAGAAUCAUUCUAUCCAGGUGAACCAUCCCAUACAUGUUCCACUUCAUUCAAGUAACCAAACACUACCCAAGAGAUCCAUUAUUCAUCAGGAUAAGCUAGGAUCGCAGGGGCUCGUUGCGGCUGUGGGUGUGGACCACCAUCUCUUCCUAGCUACCCGCCGCUGGCGGCCGGCGAGUGCAAGACUGGUAGGUUUAGGUAGUGUUUAGUUACUCGAAUGAAGUGGAACAUGUAUGGAAUGGUUACAUUAAGUAGCCAGCUUACAUUGAACAACAGAGCACAGUACUUGUGUCAGUAUAAAAAAGACUAGUGUAAGGCCAGCUACACAAGUUAGCUCGCAUUUCAUAAUUAAGUUUCAGAUUUCGUGCAAGGCCAGAUACUUUAGCACUGCACUCUUGAUGUACCGAAAGGAAGAUUAACAUAUAAGUACAAUACCGAAGUAAUGACUAUGGAAAUAGGCUUAGAAAUACAACUGGAAGCUAGGUACAGUGCAAUAAACCUUAGUGCCUCAUCAUAGCUCCGUUAGCUUCCAGGAAAGUAUAAUGCUGUAUUUGCAGAGAAAAAAAAAAUCACCUUCUAGUGGUGAUCAAGUACGCGAGAUUCUUGCAGUUGCAAUAGAAACAUCUGCCAAACCGGUCCCAUUUGACCACAAUAGCAGCUGCAAAGCCAACGCCGAAGCCAAGCCCAACGAAGAGAAACAAAACCACAUCAAUAUGACGAGAAGACUUGUGCCCAUGUGCCACACCUGGAGGGUGAGGUGAACUACCACAAGGAAAUUUUGGCAAUUGCAGCCCACACAAUCCAGCAUUCCCUUCAAAUGAGCUGCUGUCAAAUGUAGAGAACUGACGUGACUGCGGUAUCUUCCCCACCAAGUGAUUGCAUGACAAGUUUAGGGAGCCAAGAAAGGUGAGAUCAGUUAGCUCUUGUGGAAUGUCCCCUGAGAGUUGGUUGCAGGACAGGUCUAGUGACUCCAAAUCAGUCAUUGCUUCGAAGUUGGGCUGGAAUUUUUCCAGUGAAGGCAUUGUGUGACAGAUUCAGUACGCGUAGUGAUACAAGGCUUCCAAAUGUUUCAGGAAUAGUACCCUCCAAACUAUUUUUUGAGAAGUCAAUUGCUGUUACGGUAGUCAUUCCAAAUCGCAUAUCUUCCCCCUUGUACAUGAUCUCAAUAGAAUAUUGAUAGAAACGUUCUUCUCCGUGUAAGGUGUUUAGAGUUUCGAGAGUUUUCCCAGAACUAUUAAACUCUGCCAUCAUUGACUUUAACUGCUUGAACCAUUGUGGCCUCAAAGUACCAGAGAAGUUGUUUGAGGCAAGAUCGAUAAUUUGCAAGCUAGGGAAACAUUCCUCACAUUUUGUGUCCCCAACAAUAUCACCUAUGGUGCCAUACAUUUGGUUUGAUCUCAGGACGAGUACAAAAAGCUUGGGAAGCCCCCUCAACCAAGGAAAAGCAUCAGCUAUUUUGUUGCUUCCAAAGUCUAUAACCUCCAAGUCUGUACAGUUAGAAAGGCCCCUAGGAAGCCUCCCUUCGAUCUUAUUGCCAUGUAAAUCUAUCGUCUGUAAAUGACAUCUUGUUGUUAUAUUGGAAGGCAGCAUCCUUUGCAAGCGAUUCUGCCUCAAAUUUAAAACACGUAAGUGGAUAUUUUCUAUAAAACAAGGUGGAAUCGGGCCAUUAAGGUAGUUAUAUGAUAGAUCAAGGGCAUCCAGCUCUGUGGCAUUGCAAAUUGAGGGAGAUACAUGGCCGUGUAUAGGGCCAGAAAGCUGGUUGAAAGAGAGAUCAAGGUGAGUUAAUAUAGGAAGACUGAAAAUAGAUGGUGGAAUCUCCCCUGGAAGGACAAUAGAAAACAUUAAGUUAGAAAGUGUUUCCCCUUCUACAAAUUGAAAUCAGAAGAUGCUACCUUCUAUUUUGUUCAGAACAUGAAUACUUGACCCUUUCUCAAGAAAAGUAAAAGUUGAUAUCGUACCAUAGAAAUAUAUAUCCCAAGUUUAUUUAUUUUAUUUUGAGAAAAUUGCAUUACUAGUCUCUAAAUAAAUGGCCAAAACUUGUGUGGUAACCUCGCCGACCCUUGCACUUGUUGCAAAUUACUUUCCCAACCCCCUCAUCUUUGUUGUGCCACGUGUUAGGCAAUGGUUCGAUGCUGGUUCAACUCAUUAAUUUGCUAAUAGUGGGGUGGGUGAGAUUAGUGUGCAAGUUUAAGGACUACCGGAAGAAUUUAGUGCACCUACGGACCAUAGAAUUUCAUAAUCGUAGGACCCAUGAAGCUGAAAUGAUCCGGACCCAUCAUGGAUCAUAAUUUUAUGGUAUUAUGAUUUAUGAUACCCAGUGUAUAGUCCUGUACCAUCAAAAUGAAUUGGUAAGAUCACUUAUAUAGGAUCCCCAUCCGAACAUCAAAAUUUGUUAAUAUCUGAAAUUAAGUAAAUCCAUGAGUAAUUAUAUAUGUUUCUUCAGUUUAAUUCAACAUCUUUUACUCUUUGCAUGACAUCUGACCAUUAAUUGUUUUAAAUUAUGAUUAGAUAAUGUUUGGAGUUAAGUUGAAAUGUAGAAUUGACAUUGACAUGAAUAAGUGGACUUGAGUUUACAAGAAUUAAUAAAUUUAUAAAAAAUAGCAUUGUAGAUUUCUUUUCAAGAACUUGUUUAACUUUUUAAUAUAUGCAUUUUUUACUCAUUACGCUGCAAAAUCCUCCCCCAAAGUUCUUGACACAAUGUCAAACUCAUUUGUUGUGUUUAACCUCUUGCAAUGAUCUAUAUAAGCUGCCAGCUUUUGUAUAAGAGGGCCGGGGUUAGAGAAGUAUAUCGUGUCAACUGCACCAAUGAAGUUAUUUUAGAGUAAACUAGAGCAAAUGAGAAGCUUUAUGAGCCCUAAUACCCAUUUAAGAUUUCCAUUGUUAAUUAUUUUAGUAUUCAACAUUGAGUCAACUUUUCUAAAUAAAAGUUGAUUAGGCUUUUACACAUAGUUUGAAUCAUAGUUAAAUGAUUUAGAAUGAUAUCCAACUUGAAUCAUAAAGUAUACAUUUAGAUGUUUCACAUAGUUUGGCUUUUCUAAAAGUUAAAUGUUUAAAUGAUAUCAUUUAUACUUCAAUAUUUACAAUUAAAAUAUGGAUAAAUUAUAACUCGGUUUUCCCUAAUUAUUGAUAAAAUGACCCAUGUCAAUAUGAAUGUGUUUUCUAAAUAAACUUUGUCUAGCCCAACACGACAGAUGUAUUAAUUCGAUAAGAUGUGUUCAUCUUUCUAAAGUUAAGUGUGUAAUGGGUAUAAUUUAUACAUGAACAUUUAUGAAUAAAAUAUGAUAAGGUUUUACCUCAGUUUUUGUAAAUAAAGUAUAAUUUGCAUUAAUUCCAACAUAGGUUAUUUUUCUUUCUAUAGUAUCCUUCACAUAUGUUUUGUUAAUUAAAAUAAACUGGGUGUGACAAGAGCAAUCUUGGUUCAAAUCCUAUAUACUGCACAUGUGCAUAUUUUGUGUGAGAAAUUGUAUGAUGUGUGACAGCUAGAAAUUUGCUAGCUACAUAUACCUAACUUUUUAUGCGCGGGUGCGGCUGACUAGCUUCUCCAGAGCAAGCAGACUCAUGCCCCUCCAGGUGUAGUUUGGUCAAGGAGGGAGCAGAGGCGCCGGCCACCUCAGAAAUCUGUCACGGUUUAACUUGUCACUUGUGGCAUGUCGGGCGUAGGGCUAUGUUUUUUUUAACUAAAUAGCACAGAAUGGAUAAUACAGCAUUUUGCAAUCGCAAAUAUGUGUGCGUUUGUGGGUAGGGGUAUUGUUACGUACCGUUGAGAGAAUUAAAAGAAAGAUCCAGCAUUGUUAGCUGGGUCAAAUUAACUAUUGAGCUUGGUACGCUUCCGGAAAAAUUGCAAACUCGAAGAACCAAAUUUGUGAGUUCACCAAUUGCAGCUGGCAUUGGUCCUGAAAACCCACAUGAUACUAUAUACAUGUUUCUCAAAUUUGUGAGUUGCCAAUUGGAGCCGGCAUUGAACCUGAAAACCCAGAAUGCUCGAUAUACAUGUUUCUCAAAUUUGUGAGCUUGCCAAUUGCAGGCGGCAUUGGUCCUGAAAACCCAACAUCCUCGAUAUACAAGUUUCUCAAAUUUGUGAGUUCACCAAUUGCAGCUGGCAUUGGUCCUGAAAACCCAACAUCCUUGAUAUACAAGUUUCUUAAAUUUGUGAGUCCACCAAUUGCAGCUGGCAUUGGUCCUGAAAACGUAGAUAAUAUAUGCAAGUUUCUCAAAUUUGUGAGGUUGCCGAUAGAAGAUGGCAUGGAGCCAUAUGUUGUGCAAUCAUCCAUUGCAAGUGUUUGCAAGCCCGUGAGGUUUCCAACUGCAUGAAGUACUGGCCUAGGGAGGUUGCAGUCUUGGAUUUUCAAGUUUUUCAAGUUCAUGAAGUUGCUAAGUAAGGUAGGCGGUACCCCAGAGAAGUUACAUCCAAAGAGUCCCAAACUUGUUAGGUUUUUGUGCUGGCCAAUCCAUGAGAAAAUUGGACCUAAGUCGCUUCCUGAGUCCAAAUCGUGGUCCAACUCAUUAUCCAAAAAACAAUCAAGGUCCAACUGGUGUAGAGACUCAAGUCUACCGAAUGCAGAGAGAAAAUCCAUAGAAAUUAAAUUCCUUUUAAGACCCAACUCCUUCAACGAUGUGAAAUUACUAGAAGGCGUUGGUAUGUCAUAUACCAAGUUGGUCCCAUCAAGUCUCAAAGUCUCUAAAGAGCUGGCAUUAGAAAAGUUUGGCACAUGGCCUGAGAGAUUCAUAUUAUAGGACAAAUCAAGGACCCUUAGAUUUUUUGAUUGAAAGGGUCUAGAUGGUAACGGCCCCUCAAGAUCUGUCUGAGAAAGUUGAAGCACGGUUAAAUUGGGAAAAUCCAUGAAGAACUCUGGAAAUGGACGACCACUAGGUUCAUAAAAGUUUUCUUGGAGUUUGAUCACAACAAGAGAAUGGAGUCUCGAGAGCGCUUUAUGAAUAGGACCACUCAGGUGACAAUCAGCUAAACUAAGUACCUGAAGUUGAGGAACAUAUGCAGCAAGAGAUGUGCCCCACUCUUCUCCACUAUUAGACAAAUCCACCGAGUCAAGGUAGAGCUCUCUUAAGUUGCUGAGGUUUACCACAAAGGUAUCAAAACUUGAUUCCCAUAAAUAGUUAUAAUAAUCAUAAUAGUUUGGACCAUAAAAACCGAGAGAAUAAUCAAUAUUGUAUGUUGAAAGAUCCAAUGAGAGAAGGUUCACUAGUUUACUGAUGCUAGGAGGUAUCUGACCAUAUAAUCCUGAAUUGGAAAGGUUUAGGUGGGUUAAAAAAGUGAACCUCUCAAAACCAGCAGAACGGAUGUUGUCUCCACCGAUGUCAUUCAUGCUAAGGUCGAGUCGCCGAAGUGAUAUGAGGCUGAAGAGUGCAGGGUCCAAGCCAUGACUUGACAAGCAACGGUUGUUGAGGUCGAGAAUGGUGACAUGGCCAGACGAAGGGUCACAGCCAACACCCUCCCAGAGACAACAGUCGGUACCAUUUCGCCAUGAUGAAAGCCUGGUGGUGGAUCUGUGAAGGAGAAGGACUUCUUCAGCUGGAGGAGCGCCUUAGCUUGGUUUGGAUGGCACAAAAAUGAGACAGGGAGGUGAGUGAGGUUACCACCAUCAGCACGGUGGGCAAUAGAGGUGGAGAGUAGUGUGUGUAGCUGAGCAAGAAAGAGCAGUAACACCCAGCCGAUGGAAGCCAUAGCAACUCAGUAUGAGCCGAUGAUAGGCUUACAAAGAGGCACAAGGCAGAUACAUAGUAAUGCGUGACAGAUUGUUAUGCAGCUUCCAGCUGCUGUCAAGUCUUCGUCCAUUAAUAAAUUAAUUAAUUUACGAGUACCAUGGCUAAGCUGUACGCAAUUGCGACACCUGAGGAGACUUGACUGUACCAUGGGCUAGCUGUACGCAAUUGCUACACCUGAGGAGACUUGAUUAGCCUUUCGUCAAAUGCUGUUGGUAUCAUCCACUGCUACAACAGUGACCGGUAAUUGGAAGUCUCACUAUAGCAAGACUUCCAAGUCAACUAAGCCGGCCGCUACAUUCUGAGGAAGGUGGAAUUGAAGAUCAAAUCAAGUUGGGCGUUGGGAUGAAUUAGUCCGCACUCCGCAGAUAACAACAUCGAAUAUGCUGAUCUGAUGAUGUGCUUCAUUUUCUUUUUGGUUGGAGUGGAGCGGCAUCAAGAUCCUACUGCUGUGGAAAACACUGACUUGACUCGUUUUAUCUCGCACAAAACGUGGCUGAAGAUGAUAGUGGUGCUUAAAGAAUCAGCGAGAAGGAGCAAGUAAAAAUGCAGUUGAGCUGCAGCUGAAACAUGUCGCGACGUAUUCCAGCCGCGGUAGUUCUCGUCUUCUCGAAGAAGACGUUGCAGUGUUCACGUCUAGAGCUCAUCCAAUCCAUAGCGUUCCUCCGGCCGAACCGUGCGAUACGAAGGAGACGUCGCGUCACAUGCAUGUUCCUCAGGUCGCCUUUGCCUACGACCAAUAAGACGAUGACACCAGAACCUUUUUGUUUUUUUUUCUAAUCAGCAGCUUUCAAAGCGGGUACCCGCGGACAGCGCUGACCGUGUCAAAUUUGGCGAGCAUUAGCCGCAGUUGCACUCGUCCACCACCACUGAUUGCUGAAGCUCCCUACAAUACAGGGUAAGGAACAUCUAAGAUCUGAGCAAGUAAAGUCAGGAUAUUUAACUAUUUGUCAUUCUUACGGAUGGUGCUCCUUCAAAAACAACUCUAACGAAUUCCUACAUAUCUGUCAUUGAAGAAAGAAUUAGUCUAAACUUUUACCAUUUUUGCAGAUGUGGUGAGCCACGUCCUCGUGCUAGCGUGAAUUGAGCUGGCAAUGACCAUAGUGCCCCUGCCUCCCUCACCUUAGCCAUCCCCUUCCCUCUAUCCUGCCACACCUAUUGCUGCAUGGUCUUUCGUUGUUGUGCGGCUCCUCUGUGGUACAUCGCAGGGGAGGAUACCACGACUUGGAGGUGCCGGGGGGGAGGAGGAUACCGUGUUGAUGCGCAAAUCUAGGUGUCCACUCCUUCAUUGAAGGAUAUCCAAACACGGCCUAUUCACAGACAUGGCCACUUAACUUUCAGCUUACAUCUCUUGAUGUGUAAUAUGGCUCUGUUUGGCAUGGCUCCAACUCCAGGUUUUGCUGCUCAACUUCGGCUGGAGCUAGCUUUGCUUGGAGUUGGAGUUGGAGUUGUGUGGAUGGGAUGUUUGGUAGAAGGGUACCCAGCUCCAAAAAAAGAGGAUUUUCAUAGUUAAUUGCCAUUUUUGCCCCCUGGCCCCACAUGUCAUCCUCUGUAAUACCAAUUUUUUUCCUUUUUUGUGAGCUUAUAUUCUUCCUUGGGACUGAAUCAGCUCGUCUGCUCGCCCAUGGCCCGCGAGGCCUGGCUCGAUUCACCCUACCCAAGCUAGUAACCAGAUAGAGUCAGCAGCGCACCGGAUGGGGGCUAGCAGUGGCAAACAGUUCUAGGUCGGCAGCAGGCGGAUCACAGGACGUUGCCGAUGCACGGGAUAGAGCUUGCGGCGUGUAGAAUGGGCGCGGCGUAGGAUGGGGCCAGCUGGCGACGUGCAGGAUGGGGUGCGCGGGGUGGGGCCAGCGGCGUGUAGGAUGGGUGGGCGGUGCGCGGGACGGAGCCACCGCACAGGAUGGUAGUGGUGUUGGAUGGGUUUAGCGGCGCGCAUGAUGAGGUUGACAUGUAGGACAAUGGCGGUGCGCAAGGGGAACGAUGGCUCCAGCCCUCACGCGCGAUGGCGGAGGCGCAAGGUGAUGGUGACGGCGCAUAGUUGGAUGGCGGCAGCGGCAAGGAUCAAGGAGCAGCGGCACGUGGGCUGAGGGUUGGGUCCUGGGCUAGGGGCGGCACAUGGGUUGGUAGUCACGAGGGAGAUGAAGGUUGUGGGAACAGAUGAAGCGGGGGGGGGGGGAUAGAACCGAAACAUUUUCUUGUGUAACCGACGGUAGUGGUGGGUAAGUAUCUUGUAACUCCACGUCUAGAUACGUUUCGCAGUGUUUUGGAUCUGUGAAAGUGGUGUUCUACGAAAAUGAACUAGAACUCCAAUAACUCCAUGAAGUUAGACUGCUUCAUUUUUUUUUGGAGUUGGGGUGUUUGGCUGGCUUUAUUUUUUGGAGUUCGGGUAUUGUUUUAUUUACAUGGCUUUCCUAUAUAUCUACCGAAAGAUAAUUACUUAUAUAUCGCCUGAUGUUUGAGACUGGUGCAGUGCAAAUAGACCAUGAAGACUGUGGGGAGCAAGAAAUGCAUGCACUGACUACAUACGUGACCAUGGAGUUGGACAAUGACACGUGUCAUCAACUGAAAUGUUGGACGUGGUGGGACAAGUGGGUGAGAGUGGCUUGUUUGAAUUUCAAUCUUUAAAAGAACUUUAUCUCUUAAAUCACAAGUUAUUUUUAAAUCUAUUUAAUUUGAACUGUGGCAUUUCUUUGAAUCGAUUCAACAAAUAAGGUCCAAUGAAAUAUUUUAAAUGUUUUUUCAAAAAAUCAAAUAUACUAGCUCAUGUUACAUAUACUAAUUUAAUAUUUUGAAUAUACAAUUUCAACAUUGUAAUUAAAUUGAUUCAUGUUUUAUAUAACAUGUAAACAUUUUGAAAUAAAAAAUUUUGAUCUAGUUUUUCCAAAAUGUUGACUUAUGGUUUGAAAAUUGUUGAAUAUAGUUGUUUCAAAUUGUUGAUCUAGUUUUUGAAAAAUGUGAAAUCUAAUGUUUUUGAAAUGUUGAUAUAUGUAUUGCAAAAUGCUGAACAUCAUUUUUUCAAUGUUGAUCUAGGUUUCAAAAAAAAUGUUCAAUCUAGUAUUUAAAAAAUGUUGAUCUAGGUUUUGCAAAAUGUUGAAUAGAGAUUUUUAAAAUGGGGAUGUAUGUCCGGCACAAUGUUGAAAAAAAAACAGAGUUGGAAAUCAAUAUACAUGUGUGAGACCAGAUACACAGGUUAGCUCACACUUGACAAUAGCGCAGGUUUUGUGCAAGGCCAGAUGCUUGAGCACAACACACUUAUUUACCCAAAAGAAGAUUAACAAGUACAAGAAGUAACAGCAGAAGAAAGACCAAAGUAUACCGCAACACCUCAUCAGAUCACAGAUCCUUCACUUUCACUAGAGCAUAAUUCAUUCCUUCGAAAGUCACACCUUCCAGCAGCGUUCAAGUUCUAGAAACUCUUGCAGUUGCAAUAAACCAUCUGCCAACCCGAUUCCAUCUCACCAGAAUAGCAGCUGCGAAUCCGACACCAAAGCCCAACCCGGCGAAGAGAAACAAGACCACAUCAACAUGAUGAAAUGACUUGUCUACCUGUGCAACACCAGGAGUGUAAGGUGAAGCGCCAUAGGGUAACUUUGACAGCGGUGGCCCGCACAGUCCAGCAUUUCCUUCAAAUGAACUGCUGUCAAAUAUAUGUGCAGAACUGACGCGAUUGCGGUAUCUUCCCCACCAAUUUUUUUUGAAACUGUAGACCCGGCUGAGAUUAUCGGACUUGUAUUAAUUAAUAGAGAAGAGAGUCACAGGGCCUAAGCCAAAAAUAAAGGAAAAAAUAUAUAUUGAAAUUACAAAUUGGCGGUGUGAAACGGCGAUCAUUCGUCGAUUUGGCAGAUAGAGCCUAAGUGCCUUGCUCCCACUAAAAUCCAACAUCGCGCCUCCUCCUUGAUUUUGCCGAGUAGUUGGUCGAGGCUUUUGAAUUUUUGUUGAAAAACUCUAGCAUUGCGCUCCUUCCAGAUUUCUCAAGACACCAGAAUGAUCAGUGAUCUGAAACCCUUCAGCGGGGUGCCACUCAUUGACCCUAGUUGUGUCCACCAUUGGCUCACAGAUGAAAUUGUAGUCCAAUCUCCUCUAGGCGGGAUGUGUGCAGCCGUCCACUCAAAUAUUUUGUCCCAGACUCGUAGAGCAGAUGCAAUAAUAUUUCGUCGUGCGAGUGACAAAGCAUGCAUACUUUUUGAUUGGGCCAUCCUUGCGUAAUCAAGCGAUCUUCCAUCCACAGUCUGUUUUGAUAGGCGAGCCAUGAGGAGAAUUUGCACUUCGGUGGUGCCCAUGUUCUCCAGAUUAGGUGCUCCAUGUCCGAGGGUAUUGAAGAUUGGAACCGCACCAUGUAUGCCGAAGUUGUUGUGUAUUCACCGUGCUUGGUCAGAUUCUAGGUGAUGGAGUUUGGUGUUCCCGGGUUGAGCUAGAUUGAUCUUGUUCCGGCUCAAAGGAGAGUCAAUUCUGAGAGAUGUGUCGUUGAUGAUAUGAUGGCCACAUUGAUGUCCUAAAUCCACCUGUCGUUGGUUAUGGCAUCCUGACCGUUCUUCUCUUGUUUUUUGAAAUUUUAUACACCGACGGCGCAAUAUUUCUUAGCGCUUCCCCCUGCAGCCAUACCGAGUCCCAGAAUUUGGCCUUCUCCCCAUCUCCUAACGUGAUGGUCAUUGCAGACGCGAACAACUUUUUAUCCUUGUCGUUGUACGGUGUUGGCAUACCGACCCACGGUUUGCGUGGUUCCUUCCAUUCGUGCCAUAACCAUCAUAGUCUCAAUGCUCGUGUGAACUUCUUUAGAUGCAGUAUUCCUAGGCCACCAAGUUUAGUCAGUUUGCAUGCUGUGUGCCAUGCCACUUUACACUUGCCGCCGACAAUCUGAUCUGCACCAGUCCAGAGGAAACGCUUCCUUCAUUUGUCUAUUUCUUCCAGUAUCGUUGCUGGGGCGUUUAGGGCAGAGAGGUAGUAGAUCGGUUGUGAUGAGAGGACCGCCUUGACUAGUGUUCUUCUUCCCGCUGGGUGAGCAUCUUGCCAGCCCAGUUGGCUAAUCUUGCGUUCUCUUUGUCGGAUAAUGUCUCAAAGUGAGCCUUUUGUAAUCUGCCUAGUGUAGUCCUAGGUAUUUGACUAGGAAGGUUGCUCUUGCUGCUGGGAAGGGGGCUAGAAUCGAAUCCAGCUCGAGUCUAUUGCAACAUAUGGGUGCUACCGAGCUUUUCUGAUUGUUAGUGAUUAGCCCGUUGACUUUGCCAAAUUUGUCUAACAGCUCUUUGGUGUUCCGAACAUUCGCAGUUGUCAGAUUAAUGAAAAUUACCGCAUCGUCCGCGUAUAACGAUAGGCGUAAGCGGGCACCACCGCAUCUCCUCCACCUCAAACCAAACCCUAGCUCCAAGCCGCACACGCUAACAUCGACACCCGAGCCACCGCAACCCUAGCUAGCCACACGCCGUCGUCGAUCCGUGCCGUCGCUGCAUUUCCGUCGCCAAGAAGACCCCCAGGAGCUUUGCCGCAAGGUGAGGAAGCCCCUGGUGUGGCUCUUGUGCGCUCCCAUGCCUCUCUCCACGCGCACGAGCUCGCCGGAGUUCGGCAAGCUCGGUUGGGCCGCCUCAUCGAGCCUCCGGCCGCCACUAGCGCCCAAUCCUCCUCCUCAACACCCUAGAUCAACUCUUCGUGUCUGUAGCUUUCUCCAGGGCCAGAUCCUAUUGAAAAUUGUACCUGGAAACUCAAUUCUGAGCAAAGUCCAGCAUGUCGCCGCCGCGUGCCGCUCGCCUCCGCCGCCCGCGCACCGUCGAUCUCCUCUCGGUAGCUGCUAGCCGUACGAUCUGCUUUCGACAGCUCAGAUCCAAUCUAAUCCGAGUCAAACCAGCCGCGUACCGGUCAAACCCCAUGCUGCGCUGUUCGUUUUUCUAAAGAGUCCCUGGGUUUCGAGGUUUUUGCACCUGAGGUCCAGCGUAGUUCAAAGAUCAUUAGAUCUAGGUCCUUUUUCUUCUGUUCUAGCCCCUGAGCUUUUGCAAAAUAGUGCCCACCAUCCUAGAUCCUCUCUUUUGCGCGUUAAACCUUUGGUUUAUCCGCGUAUUUAUGUUUUAGCCCUCGGUUUCUCCAAGCUUAGCUUCUGAAAGUUUUAAAUCUUUGCCAACAAGCUCAUGCACCUUGUUUAGUGCAUAUCUUUAGCGUUUUAGGUCCGUUUUCAGUGCUUCCUGUGUCUAUGAGUUUGUCUUUACGCAUAGAUUAGUUUUAUGAUCUUAUUUCUCUCUAUUGUUACUGAUUGAUGUAAUGUUUUCUUAUUUUAUUCCUUUGCUUGCUUGUAUGUGAUCGUGUGAUGGGUCAGAAGGACUGCAACUCGAGGGAUUCGGAGGUCAAGACUUUGAAGACUAUGAGCAGCUGGAGCAAAUCCAAGAAGCCAAGUUGUGCCCCUGUUCACAACUAAACCUAUGAAACUUUUUACUUUCCUGUUCAAUAACAUUUAUGCCAUGCACUUUAAGUUACAAACAUAAUGGAUCCUAACUAAGGAGUGACUAGUUUUAUUCCCAGUAUAUUGAUCAACCCGGGCUUACAUAAUGUUGGGUAGUACAUGCUUAGUUUCUCAACUUGGGUAUGGUGGUAUUAGUGAACUUGAUGGUUAAACUUGUUUUAUUUAUGCUGUGCUUUUCAUUAACACAAGAUCACCAUGCUUAAAAUUGGAACAUGGAGAACCACCCGGGAAAACAAUACAACCACAAGAACUAAAUGGAUCUGGUCUUGGCUAAUUAAUUAGAGACUUUAGUCUGGGGUAAUCUUACCGAAAGGGCAAGAGGGGCGGUGGCAGAUGGGGUAUAACCCGGUCCUCUUGUGAAGUGAGCUUUGCUAAGAUACUAUGCCCACUAGGGAGGUUUAUACUCUGCAACUGAUCUGGAAACCUUAGCGGGUUACCGCUUACUAGGGGAUCUUUGUAAAGACCUCGUAGCGUCCCUAUGCAAUCACACCUCGGUAGUGUGGUAUUGUGCCUAGCCCGCACAGCAUGGUUGGGUCUAAAGUUCUUUUGAACUUUUACGCGACUUGUGGGUAAAGAUGUGCAACCUCUGCAGAGUGUAAAACUGAUCGAUCAGCAAUGCUCACGGUCAAGAGCGGCCUGGACCCUCACAUGAUUAAAUUAUCGGAAGUUGAAUUAAAUUAUUGUUAUUUAUUUCUGUUAUCUUUAUUUAUGUUCAUGCUUAAUGUGGGUGGUAUAAACUUACAUUUAGUAAAUGCUAAUAAAACUUGACCAACCAAUUAAAAUGCUGACUUGCUAAUCAACCUUAGCCUAUCCUUGAACAGCCUUACACUACACAUUCCUCACGCUUGCUGAGUACCAACCAUAAGUGUACCCACCCUUGCUAAAACCGCUACUCAAAAUAAGUCAACGAUGUGGAGCUCUUCCAAGAUUGGGAGGAGUACUAGGCGUACGUGUUUCUCCAAUCAUCUGCCUGUGAAGUCGCCGUUUUCGUUGAAGAUCCGCUACGAUAAUAAUAUUCUUUUUGCUAUUCAGUUUAAAAGACUAUCGGUCAUGUAAUAAUUGUAUACUCUCUCUACGUUAUGACAUUGUCUUUGUUACUCACUGAAGUCGUCGCAUGUGUGUAAUUUGAUCCCGGUGCACAUGUAAUUUAUGCAUUAGUUUUGCAUUUAAAAUUGGGUGUGACAGAGAGAUACAUGGCCUUUUAUAUUGCUUCUGGACAUGCUGAGAUAUCUGGUGUCCCUAAGAUAGGAAGCCCAGUUGGGUGGGACGGAAGAGAAUCUGUUGUUGGAAUAUCCCAAGAAAGAAGCUGAUGCGUUUGGCAUUGGGAUCUGCCCUAAAAGCUUAUUGAAACUAAGAUCAAGCACUAGUAGUGAUUUACUAAAAGGGAGAACAUCCGAAGCAAGUUGCAUGCCCGUAAGCACGUUAUGCGAAAGAUUCAAAUAAUAAAGGCUACUACUGCUCCAUGUCUCCCAGAUCCGAUUUGGUAUAUCCCCACUGAUUUUAUUAGAUGAAAGAUCCAAAUAUUGUAUAUUUUUAAGACGCAUCAAAGAUGUUGGGAAUCGAAUUAUAUUGCAAGACGCGAGCCCUAAAUAGUAAAGUCUGGCCAAAUAGGUAGCCAAAGGAUUAUUACCAUCUGCAUCCGUGACAUGCAACUCAUUGUAGGAAAGAUACAAACUGGUGAGAUCACUUAAUCUCCAAAAAUGGGAGAGGUUCACGGAACCUAUCAACUUGUUCGAGCUAACAUCUAUAUGUACCAAACUUGUUAGUUGAAAGAAGGCCAUGGGAAUAAAACCUGACAGAACAUUGUUGCUCAAGCGCACUUUCGCCAACCGUGAUUCUGCCUUGUCAAAGCCAUAUAUGGGGCCAGAAAGUUGGUUGUAAGAAAGAUCCAGGACACUUAAUGCAGGAAGACUGAAUAUAGAUGCUGGAAUCUCUCGUGCAAAGACAAUAGAAAACAUUAAGUUAGAAAGUCUCCUCUUCUAGAAAUAUCUGAAUUCAGAAAAUGAUGGCUCCUAUUUUGUUCAGAACAUGAUAAGUUAUGCCACUGAUACUGUACCAGCGAAAAAGCUCCCAAGCCUAGUUAUUUUAUCCUUAGAAAAUUGCAUGACAUGGACUCUAAAAGCCAACACUUUAUGUGGUUACACUUAAAGAGUGUUUUGUUUCACCACUCAGUCCAACUGCAGAACGUGCGGCUAGCGGCCUUCACGGAGGAGCAAACUGGAGCGCAAGAGGAGAAAAUCACCAGAAUCAAGAGAGCUGGGGUAGCAAAUCGCCCAUUUGUUCCUGUUUUGUUGGCGUGCUGUUUAUGGGUAGUGUUGUUUAUUUUUAGGUGUAUGCAAAAAGUAUUCUUGAUGAAAUAUGUUGCAUCACAUAUUCUAGAAUAAAAAAGUGAAAAUAUUGGUGCUCUGUUGAAUUUCAAUUAUAUUGCUGGAAUUCCUUCCUCCAUUUUUUUCUUUUUCCUUUUCUUCAAUUUUCAAUUAUGUUUGAUGGAAUUUCUUUGAUUCAAAUUCGACUAUAAUUUAUUGAGCUUCAUGCACCAAUCGGUUGCACCUAAAGUCUUAACCCGAUUUGGAAGGACGAUAGUUCUAUUAUACUUCAACAUAAUUAACACUCAAAUUCCAAGGAAAACCACUUCAAAUCCCAACAGCCAAGUGGAGCCACAUGGGUAUAGUGGGGAUUUAGGACCUCAUGUUAUACUUGUGCAUUUAACAAAGGUUAGCAACUCUAUUAUAUUUUAAGAGUUUAGGAAUCUAGAUGACUUCAAGGAAAAAGUUCAGAGAUCGAUAAUCAUUAGGAAUAGCCAGACUUUUGGUCCUACAUCGAUUCUUUUUUUCUUAAGCGGCUGGCACCAUUACACUGCCCGACAUAUAUUGAUAGGGUAGGAGGUCUUACAUCCAUUCCACUUGUACAGCAACUAGUGUAACUCAAGGGCUAAACAAUGUGCUCCAAAAAUGCUUGAACAAGUAAACACAAGCCUGAGCAUAUAUUGGGGCCGUUCGGUUGAGCUGGCUGCUGCUGUUAAGCAGCACAGCUGAUCAGCCGGCCAUGCAGCUGCUACAGCAGCGCAUCAGCUAGGCAGUGGCGCAUCAGCUGGGCAGCAGCGGCUGCAGGCAGCUACUUUUGUACCCAGCGAUCAAGUCAAGUUUUGAAAACAAACAAUGUUGUAAACUCAGUUGGAACUGGAUUAUAUAAAAGGCAAAAUUCAAUGAGCAAACAAAGGUCACUUUAAACAAUCAUUGAAAGAGCAAGUACAAAUAUUUUUUGAUUGAGGCUUCAGAAUAUAAUUGCAACAAAUUACAGUACAGAACCACAUUGAUAAUAUUCAGAUGACUAACCUAUUAAAAUAAGAUCACAAAUGCAUACCAUAUUUCAUGAUAAUGUGACCAGUGAAUCAUUAAUUCAUCUAAAAGACACAUUUUUUUUCAGCUCCUUCAGAAAAAAGAAAUACCGUGACAAGCAUUGCCGUCUCAGCUCCUUGAUUGUCUUUAAAAGUAACGUAGGCAAGCAGACAAACAGAGAAAUAGGCCCAAUAUAUUGACUAAAUAUAUGAUACAAGCACAACCACAUAUCUGCAGACAGUGAUAUGAACCAAAUCACCAGAAGCGCUAUCCAUAACUCUCAAACACCUCAUUUUAGUUUCCAAGACCUGGGCACCCUGAUAACAGUCUAGUCUAGCACAAAAUAAAUGGCAUGCAUAUUGAACUCAAGAGUACACAGGGCAUACAAUUAGAACAUUUUAGCCCUACCCUACAAUAGUUGAUCAGUGCUUUCUCAAGUCACAACAACAACAAAUUAGAAAGAAAUUGAUAGGUUAUAUUCAUAACAACAAAAUAGCAAAUUGAGAAAAUAUCUCCGUCAUGUCAACCCAUAAAGUCCCGCUGCAAUCCAAUCACGAACUUUACUAAUAUCAUCGUUGGCAGUAGCGGCAAACCAAUCUGAUGCAGGAUCAUUUUCAUCACUUGUCCUACUAAGAUAGGUCCCAUGAGCAAACAUGUCAGCACCAACCAUUCCCGGUUCGUUGUUGUCCAAUGCAAAAUUGUGUAGCGCAAAGCAUGCAACAAUAAUCUUUGAUUGCUUCUCCAUAUUAUAUAACGGUAUACCUCUUAGAAUCUGCCACUUAUUCUUUAGCACUCCAAAAGAUCGUUCCACAACAUUCCGAAGGCACGAAUGAUGGUAGUUAAAAAUUUCAUUCAAAUUCUCAGGACCUUUGGCAUUAAACUCCGAUAAAUGGUACCUGCCCUUGCGAUAUGACGCCAUAUAACCCUCACGCAGUGGGUAACCAGAAUCCACCAAAUAGUACUUUCCUACAUAUCAACAUUGUUAUACAAAUAGCAAUUUAGAUUGGCACUCCCAUAUGUUGCAUACUAUAAAACUUACAAACAACAUAAGAUCACCUUGGGGUGGGUGAGGGAAAUGCUCAGCUUGGUUUAAAGCCUCCCUCAAAAUAGCAGUGUCAUGCACAGCACCCUUCUUCCCCGUAGCGACAAAUGUGAACCUCAUGCCCAUGUCACAAACGGCUAAGACAUUCUGGCUGGUGAACCCCUUUCUAUUGAUAAAAUCAUCAUGUGCGUGCUCAGGGACUGACACCGGAAUGUGGGUUCCAUCUAUAGCUCCUAUGCACCCAUCAAAAUAUGGUGAGAAUUGAUGCAGCUUAGGAUGCACAUACCUGAACAGUGGAUCCAUUGGUCUAAUAAUAGUACGUGCAAAAGAGACCACGGCAUCUAACACUUCACCGAACUUCCGACUCACGGUGUCUAGUGACCUACGAAAUCUAUCCGACAUUUGUCUCUGGCAUUGUCUUGUGCCACAUGCCCAUAGGAACAUCCCUAAUGCCUCAACUGAAUCACAUUGUCGUGUGGAUUUUAGCCCAUGGUUGGACACUAAGAUUGAAUGCAACAACUGGAAUGCAGAUGGAUGGAGACGGAAAUUUUUGUAGCACUUCUUACUGUCAGCAAGGUUAAUAGCAACCCAUUGACGCCCAGUCAACUCCUGCAAGUGCAACGGACCAUCUUGCAUGCCACAUGCACUUGAGGUAGACGAUGCAUACGCAGCUAACACACCAAUGGUUGCACCCAUGUACCACCAUGUAGACCCCUCAUCGUUCAACCUUGCUGGUGAGGUGCUGGUGUUGCUCGAAUUUUCGGAGCUUGACUUUCCUUUCAUUUUCAGACCAUAACAGUGAUCAGUGGUCCCAGCUUCUGUAAUCAGCGAUCUGGAACAAAUCUGAUUCUUUGUUAAGCCUAGAUAUGCUAGUUUCAAGACGACAUAUAAAAAGCAUGCCAUGUUUUCUUAUCUAAGAAUCUCUAAAACAAAAUAAUAGCAUAUUCAGUACCCAUCUUUUAACAUGUUGUGCCCCUUUUCUUUUCUUUCAAAAAUCCUAAGUACUUAAAUAUGGAAAUAUGAUUUCAUUGCAUACCUUUACGAUCCAUUUGACCUUCACUUGUUGAUAGCCACCUCAUUCAUCGUGAAGACCUUCAGGCUGUAAGGUUGUAAACAAGAAUUUCCAAAAUGUUAAAAACAACAGUAGCAGCAUCAUACUCAAGUGGAACGACACAAAUUUAUAUGGAUUAGUAGCAUGAAUAAUCAAGGUCUAACACAACAUAAUUCACAUUACAAACAUGAUGCCACACCAUGCCAUAGUCACAGUACAAAUACACACAUUCCUAGGUAGAUGCAAAUACAUUGUAAUCAUGGACCGGUAUUACUUCCUCUUGACAUUAUCCCAAGUCCAUCGGAGCCAUGCAAUCCGGUUCUCUGAAGCGGUAAUGCUCCUAUAAGAUGCACGUCGGGCUGGUGAUCUAAACAGCUCAGUAGCUAUGAAGUACAACUCAGACCCAUUCGGUACACCAUCUUGUUCGACAAGGUGCAGCAUUUCCGUAACCUCCUCUUCCUCACGGCUGAUUAGAUUUCUUUCAUUCAUAGUCCUUUGAAUCAUGCUCUCAGAUAUACGCUCGACAUAGUACUCCAUGCUCUUAGUUCUCUUGGGUGAUGGGCUAUCAACAACAUGCUCCUUUCCGGACCUUUGCGACACACGACCCACACUAGACCGUCCAACAGUGUCCUCCAACCAGUCAACAUUUUCAUCCACCAUUGGGUCAGGGGUGUCUUCACUUCCACAGCUUGGUGUUCUAUCUUCAAUUCCACCAACACACAACAUUGGACCGCCUUCAAUGUCCGUUGUCCCGAAAAGAGUGGUUAACUCAUCAUAGAAUGGAAAUGUCUUGCCACGGAAAUAUUUGUUUGCCUCGUUCUCCUAGAAGUCAUAAAUAGGAAAUAUGUAAGCAUGAGGGCAAUCCGAGGUCAAAGCCGAAGGUAAAUGAUAGAAAGCCAUAAUUAUUAGGACAAAAAGUAGGUAACUCAAUUCGGGCUGCCCACCAUUCAUCAUCGCAAUCAAUGGUGCGGGUACUGUUGUUCCACCCGGUACCACUCUUGUCCUUUAGUUUCCUCCAAUCCUUGUAUUGCCUCUUAAAGGCAUUAAAUUUGUUCUGAAGCUGUUUGCAGGAAUAUUUCCUGCCCAUCUAUUGUUUGAAAUUUGUAUACAGGUUGUGCCAACCUACCUUGGUUAGGCCCCUUUUGUUGUAGUUGAGCUUGUUCUUCUCAUCAAUGCAAAGGUCUAGGAAUAUUUUUGUAGUGUUAUCAUCCCAAUUGGCACGACCUGCAUCCAUCUGUGUGCUACUUUGAAUUAUAUGCCUUCCUAAGUACAAGGUGCUACUUUGAAUUAUAUGCCUUCCUAAGUACGAGGUUUGUAUGCCACACACGCAGUAGCAAUGACAACAUGCAAGAUACGAAUCAACAUUUAUCACAAAGGGAACAAAAAAGAUGGAACUGAUGCUUGCCUCAUUGUGCUUACGUCUUGCAGGAGUUGUACACAGCAGGAACCGAGGGGCUUCAUGUGGAGACCAUGACGAUGUAGAGGAGUUUGCCAGUGCUGCUGCCUGUGGAAGUUUCUUUUUUUGGCACACAAGGAAUGCUCUCCUUAGCUAGAGUCGUAUUUACUACUGUAAAAAGAAUAUAUAAAGUGAGAAAAAUUUAAAAGUCAGCCUAAACAUUGUCAUAUUUUAAUGCAGGAAGUAAAUAGUAAUGAGCAAAAAAAAAGAAGAAUAAUAUUUACUGUCAAAAGGGAGGAGAGAAUUUACAGUCACCUAAUUUUUGCAGGCACUUCCCAAUUCCCACCCACUGAAUGUUACUGAGUGGAUUUAGUGGUUUCUAUCACUAAAACUAGCCACUAACAAGAUGAAAGCAGCAGCAGUGCAGAUGCAAAAUAGCAAUGCCCGUGGUGGUGAUGGCCGCAUUUGUGGCACUCCAGAGUAGCAGCAGUGCAGGUGCACCGUCCAGUUCAGUCAGAUAGAUGAGCGUCAGUUGAUUUCCGAGGGCAAGGCAGAUCAAGCUGGCAAUGCAACAUGCAGGCAGAGGUAGCCAACAAUGCAGCCCUUUCAAUUAGAGGUACUGGUCAGUGCAGCUGACAAAAGCACACCAGUAGUAUGCAAGUUCAGAGGUGGUCACUUGAGUUUCAGAUUUGGAACACUUUUGCCUCUUUCUAAAAAUGAGCAGUAAGUAAAAUUGGUGCAAUGGAUUGUUUGCCUGGCGUCUUACUGCCUAUUCUAGCAUAAUUGACCUGAACGCCCCUAAGGUUGAGCAUAGCUCAUGUUUGUUCUGAAUACAGGGAGUCAAUAAGUCUUAUAUAUUUUGUGUUUGCUAAAUAAAAAUUAUAUUACAAUACUACCAAAUGCAUAUAAAUAGAAAGAUAAUAAAUUAACCAAAUGAUAGAUCGGUCUAGUCCGAAACAUCUGUUGGAAACACGCCGGAGUAACUCCGAAACGUCUGUUGGAAACAUGCCGGAGUAACGACUCCCAGGUCGCCGGCGAGUCUCCUGGCCAAAGCACAGGGACACACACGCACACACAGGUAGACACUGAAUUGGUGCUUGCUAACUUGGCCCUCUUCCUUGGCCUUUAUGCCUUGUAUUUAUAGACUAUUACAAGGAAAGUAAUCAGGGCUUCAAUCAGCCCGAUGCACACAGCCACACAAUUGCUAACUGUCUAUUUGCCAGGGCUGUCAUGGAACAUUACAUUUCUGUAGAUGAUCAACAACCAUUACCAUGAGUUACCAUUACAACAAUAUGCUCCUGUCGUCCAACAUACACAAGAUGCACUUACAGUACAGAGCAGAAUAAUGGGAAGCCUUCACACUUCACACUAGUGUAGCUAACAAAAUUGAAGGCACAUGAGAUCUUACUGCCUACUCUACCAAAAUUGACUCAAUUACGCACGAUAUAAGAGGUUACUGCCUAAUGUAAGGCAAAAGAGAUCUUACCCCCAGGUUCUCUGUUGAGAUGCACAAAAUCUAGCAGCAUACAAAUGUAGAUCGAGAAUGGAGAGGAUUGGCGGAGCUGGGUGGACCGGCGAUGGUGGGACGGAGCGGCGGGGCGGAGGUCGGCGGGGGCGUGGCUGGCCGGCGCCGGGUGAGGGGCGGAGCUGGAUCGGGCGCGGACGGUGGGGCGGAGAGGAGGGGCAGAGAGGAGGGGCCGCGACGGCGGGGCGGAGGCCGGCGGGGGCGGGGCUGGCCGGCGGCAGGGGAGGGGCGGAUGUAGGUGGGGCGUCGACGGCGGGGCGAAGAGGGGCGGCGACGAUGGGGCGGAGUCUGGCGGGGGUGGAGCUNNNNNNNNNNNNNNNNNNNNNNNNNNNNNNNNNNNNNNNNNNNNNNNNNNNNNNNNNNNNNNNNNNNNNNNNNNNNNNNNNNNNNNNNNNNNNNNNNNNNCGGCAGGAGGCCCGAAAUUCAAUCUUCCCAUCGGAAUCUGGGAAAUGUAAGGCCGCGGAAAUGGGCCAGAGUCUGGCGGGGGUGGAUCUGUUUUGCGGCGGGGGAGGAUUGGAGCUGGGUGGGGCUUCGAUGGUGGGGCCGUGCCGGCGGGGGCGGGGGCGGCCGGAGGCGGACUGGGCGGCGGGCGCUGUUCGGGAGAUGCAGGACCUGGACAGGGAUUAAGUGCAGCUGUUCGGCUGCCUUGCUGGGCUGUUGCUGUUGGGCCGCAGCCGAACGGCUAGGCUGCACAGCAACAGCUGCAGCCGCCCAAGUAGCUUAAGCGAACGGGCCCAAAAAAAGACACGGGAGACAAUAUUCACUAGUAGAGAAUUCACCUUCUAUACGUCCCAUUUUGUCCCGGUUUAAAGUUGGCCCGGGACAAAAGGUUCACCAACCGGGACUAAAGCUCGAUCACUGGUGGGGGGCUCACCAACCAGGACCUUUUAUCCCAGUUGGAAAGGCUAGUGGAAAAAAAAACCCUGAGAGGCCUUUUAUCCCGGUUUGAAACAUCAACCGGGAUAAAAGGGUCCCCACGAGUUAAUACAAAAAGAUUGCAUCCCCUAUAUAGUCAGAUGUGCUGUGUAGGUGGGAUGGCAAGGAAGCUACGCGCGAGGGUGGAGGUUGCGGGUUCGAAUCCCACGCAGUGCGCACGCGCAUAUUUUGCGUGAAAAAUCGCGUGACUUGUGACUUGCGACGUGUGGGGGGCCCUCCCGGGAUUUCUUUUUUCUUUUUUGCAGCGGGGAUAAAAGGGGACCCGGGACAAAAGACCCCCCCCCUGUCUCGGUUGGUUUAUCUCCGGAUGGAUUUUCGGAAGAUUUGCAUCCUAGCAACCGGGACUAAAGGCCAAUUCUCUACCGGUGAUUAUUGUUACCUUGGAGAGAAUUAAAUGAAAGUUCCAGCAAUGUUAACCUAGUCAGAUUAGCUAUUGAACUUGGUAUGCUUCCAUAAAAAUUGCAACCUUGAAGAACUAACCAUUCCAACUCACUAAGCUGGCCGAUUGCAUAAGGUAUCAACGACCCAAAAUUCUGAUGGCCUAUUGGGCAAGGUGUCGGAGACAGAGAAUUAUAACCAAGAAUACGCAUGGAUUUCAAAUUAGUGAGGUUACCAAUUGCAUCCGGUAUUGGUCCUGAGAACCCACAAUUAUUUAUAUACAUGUUUCUCAAAUUUGUGAGUCCGCCAAUUGCAGCCGGCAUAGGCCCUGAAAACCAACAAUCAAUUAUCCACAUGAUUUUCAAUUUUUUUAGUUUGCUGAUUGCGGUCGGCAUUGGCCCUGAAAACCCAGAAUCAAUUAUACCCAUUUUCCUCAAAUUUGUGAGGUUGCCGAUAGAAGAUGGCAUGGAACCAUAUGUUGUGCAGCGAUCCAUUUCCAGUGUUUGCAAGUCCACGAGAUUCCCAAUUGCACAAAAUACUUCCCUAGGGAGGUUACAAUCAACCAUUUCCAAGCUUCUCAAGUUCUUGAAGUUGCUAACCAAGGUAGGCGUUAUCUCAGAGAAGUUACAUCCAUAGAGUGCCAAAUUCAAACUCAUUAGGUUCUUUUGCUGUCCAAUCCAUGAGAUAAUUGAUCCUAACUCAUUGAGUCCAGCGUGAGGUCCAACUGGCACAGGGACCUAAGUCUACCAAAUGAAGAGAGAAAAUCCACCGAUAAAUUCCCUCCGAGACUCAAAUGCUUCAAGGACUUGAAAUUAUUAGAAGGCAUUGAUCUGGCAUAAGAAAAGUUGGUCCAGUCUAGCCUCAAAGUCUCUAAAGAAUUUGGAUAAGAAAAGUUUGGCAAAUGCCCUCCGGAUUAUUGGACAAAUCGACAACUCUUAAUUUUUUUUUAUUGGAAGGGUUUGAUGGGGAACCGCCCCUCAAGAUAAAUACUAGAAAGUUGAAGCACAGUUAAAUUGAUAAAAUCCAUGAAGAUUUCUGGAAAUGGACCGGCAGUUAUAUCACCAUUUCUUUGGAGGUUGAUCACAACGAGAGAACGGAACCGCGAGAGAGACUCAUGAAUAGGACCACUCAGGCUGCAAGUGGCCAAGCUGAGUAUCUGAUGUCGAGGAACAUGUGUAGCAAGAGAUGUGCACCACUCUUCUCCACUGGUAGACAAAUCCACACUGUCAAGAUAGAGCUCUCUUAGAUUACUGAGGUUUGCCACUAGGGCAUCAAAAUCGGGUCCCCACAGAGAGUUAGAAGUGACAAUAUAGUAGGAGCUGUCGGAUGUGUCAUAAGCAUCAUCAUCAUCAUCUUCAAAGGACUGGAAAGAUCCAACGACACAAGGUUCACGAGUUUACCGAUGCCAAUAGGUAUCUUGCCACACAAGCCCAAAUUGGAGAGGUUAAGGUGAGUUUGUUGGAAAAAUAACGUGGUGGUCAAAAGACCGAGAGGAAAAUGGGAAGGAUAAGAUUGACGCCCGACUCCGACUCCCUCGCGCACGUCCACCCCGCGCCUCGAUCGGAGGUGCAACCGAACAAUUGGUUGCGGCCCCGAGCGACCCGGCCCCGAGCGACCCAACUCUAUAAGAGAAGGGGGCCGGUGGGUUUGGAACAUGCCAACGCACCAAACCCUACUCACACCCCCUACAUGCCUCCCGAUCACAGUGGCGUUGGAGUUGCUCGAAGGCCGUCGCCACACCACCAUUGCCGUCUGUGGACAGAAGAGGUGGAGACCUGAAGGGAGACGCAAUCUACUCCGAGCUAGUACACCUAUGGCACCCGUCAUCCCGGCCUCGUCCACGACCCUAAUGGCCGGAUCGUCACAAGCAGUGGCAGCUGGUUGUACUCUAACAUCUUCAUUGAGUGGUGUUCAUGUUCUAGAUGUGCAAAGAUCCUGUUUUAGUUAAGAUUAAGUAAUGUAGAUUCUUACAUUUGGUAUCAGUUAGUCAAUCCCAUCUAGACUUGGAUCCUAAGGCUGUGUAGAUUGAAUCUUAGUGUGCAAUUGAGUUGAAUUGUACUGGUUUUCUAUGUUCUUGAUCUACACAGUAGCUUUCUAGUACGAAUUGCUAUGCUAUUAGGCUUAAUCUUCUUCAGCUACAUGUCAAUGUUCAAGUUUUAGUUCACUGACUUGAUCUGUUAAGUCAGAUUAGACCAAAUUAGUUCUCAGUUAGCCUAAUUCCAUGCCUAAGCUACUAGAUCAGUUCUUAAUUAAGUCUAAAAUCAAGGUUAAUUAAGUCAAUUAAGUUAGUCUCUAUGUUUAAGUUCAGUUAUUUAGGUCGAGGUCUACUGUUUUCCCCAAACCCCACUGUCUAGCUCCAAUCUGUGCAAUUAAGUCCUCAAUCAGUAAAAUUGGACACGCAAAAGCAUGUAGAAGGAGAGGAAUUGGGCGAAUUUCAGGUCGAAUUAAGGAAAACCCAAAGAAAAUCCCCAUCAGAAAUCCUAACCCUAACUCAAGGAUAAGAACUUACCUCGAAUCACGACGGCCGCAUAGGGCAUGAUGGCCGCUGCGUGUGGAUGCCGGCGUGCACCUCCGCUGAGCCACACCGGCCAUAAGCACGCACAUGAACAAGUCAAGCCGCGGGCCCGGAUGCGCCUCGGUCUCCUUCCCGUGACCCAACCCGCGGCAUCAGAUCCUCCACGCACGAACCUGUCGACGCCGCGGCAAGCUUCAGGUUAGCUCGCCAUCACCGGUCUUGCGGCCGACCGCGCCUUCUGCUCAGUCACCCCCUACCAUGGAAAAGUGCUCCAGUGGAGCCCCCUGACGGCGCGCCGCGCGACUUGGUCGCAUGCACGCGCCGGUGGGAGGGCCCGCAGAGGCAUGGGCGCAGGGUGGCGGCGCAGCUCAUCGGCGGCUGCUGCUCGGGGUUGGGGCAGAAGCAGGCAGAGAAGAGGGGAGGGUUGCAGUGGAGACAGGCAAAAAUGGCCUAGGGUUCGGGAGAGGCGCAGCGCUCGCCGGUUUUGUCCCACCGAAACUCGCGCUCCGCCGUCGGAUGCAACGGAUGGCUUAGAAGAGCGCGGACAAGCGCAGCGCGCUGUUGGGCCAGAUUGGCGGCCCACCCAUUGGCUGCUGGGCUUAGAGUCUAGGCCGGCGCGAGGAACCCGGCAUGGGCUGUUAGCUGGGCUUACUCGGACCAUGAGAAGGCGCGGGCCCACUUAAACUCUGUGUGGCACGUGCUCUUUAGGGCCAUGAGGAAGGAACGCCGUGCGCCAUCGUUCUUGCACGAUUGGGCUGCCUGCGAGCAGGGCUUGCGAAGGUCGUUAGCUAGGCGCGGACUGGUUGUUUUGCGCUGGGCCGAUUUCGGCCACUAGCGGGCUGCUGCUUUUUUGGCUCGCACGGGCCGUCAGAUCGCUGGCAGGCCAGCGGGCCAUUUUGCGCUUGCAUCAGUUGGGCCGUCAGUUGAUAAGUGCGCACUUGGGCUAUUUCGGGCCAAUAAGGGGAGGUAGCUACGGGCCAAAAGUUGAGUUUGCGCUGGUUUUAAGAUUGAGCACGGUCCACUGUUUCUCCCAUUUGUUAUGCUAAUAAGUGUCUAAGUUGCACAUAGUUAAAUAAAAUAAUAUUCUGAUUAAAUUGAACCAACACGAAAUUUAUUUCACAAUUAUUUAUUAAGGCAUGCAAUUAAUUUCUGACCAAUGUUGAUAUUAAUUUGAUAUGCAUAAGUGUUUUAUUUAAGUUUUAAGUUAUUUUGCUUCCGCCCAACAGUGAUGCGAAAUUAAUUCAUGUUAUUUUAUUUAAGUUUUAAGUAUUUUGCUUCUUCCCAACGGUGAUGCAAAAUUAUUUCAUAUCAUUUUAAUUAUGUCUUUGCUUCUACCGAAUGGUGAUGCAAAGUUGUUUAUGUUUUUAAUCGAGCCAACGCAGAUUAAAUUUAUUACUUAUUAUUGUUAUCAUUACUAAUUGAAAUUCUCUCAUUUACUCAGACUUGACUCCAUCAAGCAUCAUAAGCUAUGUCAACAGUACAGAGAAGCUUGGAGGAGACAACUUCACUAAUUGGAAGAACCAGAUUGGAUUGGUCCUAUGCAUUAUGGAUCGGGACCACUUCAUGAGGGAGAAUCAUCCUGUUGCUCCGACUGCUCAAGGGGAUAAUGAUAGUACCCUUCCUGAGCGCACUGCUGCCUAUGAGAAGGAAAAAGAGCGGUAGGAGCGAUCAAACAGGGUGGCCCUAAUGAUCAUGGAGCGGACCAUAAACCUUGCAAUAAGGGAAGCUAUUGAGAAAAAUCCCAAAAGUGUCAAACAUUUUAUGGAGAAGGUUGAGGAGUACUUCAAAAGCUUCAGUAAGGCUAAUGCUAGCACCCUCCUGACUAAGUUAAUGAACACUAAGUAUGAUGGGCAAGGCAAUGAAAGGGAGCACAUCAUGAGCCCCGUUGACCUAAGGGAUAUGCUCAACGACUUGAAUUGCCCUCUUAAUGAUGAGACACUGCUUCACCACAUCAUGCUUUCGCUGCCCUCAGUGUUUGAACCCUUUAAGAUAAACUAUAAUGGCAGCAACAUGAAGUGGGAUAUUCCCACACUCAUCAUGAAGUGUUCUCGGGAGGAAGAAAGGCUCAGAUCAGAGAAAGGCAAUUUUGCCAACCUCAUCAGGCAUGAGGUAAAUAAGGGAAAAAAAUAAGCAAAUUGUCCCUUUUAAGAAAAUUAAGAAGCCUCAUCAACCUUCUCGUAAGAAUGAUGGGUCAUCCUCGUCUAAGGGUCCAAAAUGCCAUCAAUGCGUGGCCUAUGGGCACAUCAAGAAGCACUGUGAAAAGUUAAAGGAAUGGUGCAUAAAAAAUGGUAAUGAUGACUUUAUUUCUACAGUCGAUGAGUCCCUUUAUGUUGAUUUUUCAUUAAGUACAUGGUGGAUUGAUUCUAGGGCAACCAUUCAUAUUACUGAUUCCUCACGGGGAUUACAUGGCGCACAGACUAUAAGAAAGGGGACUCGCGCCGUUAAAGUUGCCAAUGGAGUUGAAGCUGAAGUUGAGGCUGUUGGAGAUCUCACUUUAGAACUUAGUAGUAUCUUUAGGCUUCAUUUAAGUAAUGUUCUUUAUGUACCAUCACUUAAGAGAAACUUGAUUUCUAUUUCAUCAUUAGAUUGUGAAGGUUAUUCCUGCAACUUUGGGAACAACAAGUAUGUAAUAAGUUUUGACAAUAAGAUUAUUGGUCAUGCCCCUUUACAUGAUAAGCUUUACUUGUUGCCUCUAAGUAUUAAUUCCUCUGUGACGAAUGUAAGCGAUGCCAACCAUAAGCGAAAGAGAAACAUUGAGACUUCGUCAAAAUUGUGGCACUUCCGCUUAGGCCACAUCACAUUUCGAAGGGGAGAAUGGAGCGUCUCAUUAGAGAAGAGAUACUUCCAAAAUUAGAUUUCUCUGACUUAGAUCAAUGCGUUGACUGUAUUAAGGGAAAAUUUGCAAAACAAAUUAAAAAGGAUGGAGCUAAGCAGAGUUCAGGAUUAUUAGAAAUAAUUCAUACUGAUAUAUGUGGUCCAUUUAAUGUAAGAUCAGUGGAUGGUUAUAAUUAUUUAAUUACCUUCACUGAUAAUUUCUCCCGCUAUGAAUACAUCUAUCCCAUACUCGAAAAGUCUGAAGCACUUGAUAAGUUUAAAAUCUUUAAAGCUGAAGUAGAAAAUCAGCAUGACUAAAAGAUCAAAGUGGUAAGAUCAGAUAGGGAAGGGGAGUAUUAUGGGAAACACUCCACAUAUGGACAAAUUUUGGGACCCUUUGUCAGAUUUCUCCGAGGUAAUGGUAUAGCAGCUCAGUAUUCCAUUCCUGGUGAGCCUCAGCAAAAUGGUGUUGCUGAGAGAAGAAAUCGCACCGUUAUGAACAUGGUGCAUAUUAUGCUAUGUAACUCUACGCUGCCAGUGAGUUUGUGCAUGCAAGCUUUAAAGACUGCCGCACACAUUAAUAAUUGUGUUCCUAGUAAGUCAGUCCCUAAGACUCCUUAUGAGCUUUGGACUAGUAGGAAGCCUAUAUGAAUUAUUUACAUGUAUGGGGCUGCGCAGCUGAAGUAAAGAUUUUUAAUCCACAACUUGGGAAAUUAGAUCCAAGACUGAAAGCUGUUAUUUUAUUAGAUAUCCAGAAAAGUCAAAGGGGUACCUCUUUUAUUGUCCUAAGCAUACCACUAAGUUUGUGGAGACAAGGCAUGUUGUUUUCUUAGAGGAAACUGGAUGCACUGAGGCUAGGAAAAUUGAUCUUGAGGAGAUUCGAACUUAUGAGCCGUUACCCAUAAGAUAGGAUUAUCAUACUCCUAUGCCAUAUACCACAGUUACAUCUCAGGUGGUGGAACUUCUAGUAGAAAAUGUGGGAGUAACAUCUACCUUAAGUGAUAAUGUAGAUGCACCUUUGAUAAGUGAGCAUCAAGGUGAGGAUGUGGUAGAACCUGCUGGUGGAUUGCAAGGGGAGGCAACUGAUGAGCCCGAGGUGAUUCAGCAGGAACCUGCUCAAGUAGAAGCACCACAGGAAGUAACACCACAACAUCUGAGAAGGUCAACAUGUGAGAGGAAGUACACCCGUUUCGAUGAGUAUGUGUACAUAAGUGAAGAAGGGCACAACAUGGGGAAGGUGGAUGGUCCAAACUCAUUUAAGGAGGCUAUAAUUAGUGAACACUUGCAUAAGUGGAGCGAGGACAUGGAAGAAGAGUUGAAGUCCAUGGAAGCAAAUAGAGUAUGGGACUUAGUAGAAAUUCCUGAAGGAGCCAAAACAAUAGGCUGUAAAUGGGUCUACAAAAUGAAAUAUGACUCUAAAGGGAAGAUCAAAAGGUUCAAAGCAAGACUCGUGGCUAAGGGCUUCACUCAAGUAGAAGGAGUCGAUUAUAAUAAAACCUUAUCGGCUAUCUCAAAGAAAGAUUCAUUUAGAAUCGUUAUGUCUUUAGUAGCUCAUUAUGAUCUUGAGCUACAUCAAAUCGAUGUUAAGAGUGCGUUCCCUAAUGGUGACUUGCAUGAGAAUGUAUACAUGAAGCAACCUGAAGGUUUUGUCGUGGAAGGCAAGGAAUAUUUGGGAUGCAAACUAUGAAAAUCCAUUUAUGGAUUGAAACAAGCAUGCAAAAAAUGGUACCUUAAGUUUGAUGAAGUAAUUAAGAGAAUUGGCUUCAUUGAAAAUAAGAAAGACAACUGCAUAUAUGUUAAGACUAAGGGGAGCUCUAUAAUCAUCCUAGUGCUUUAUGUGGAUGACAUCCUAUUAGCAAGCAGCGAUAAGAACUUGCUGCAUGAGACAAAGGGCUUUCUCUCAUUGAACUUUGAUAUGAAGCACCUUGGUGAUGCCGCUUAUGUCUUAGGCAUUGAGAUUCACUGAGAUAGGUCCAAGGGUGUAUUAGGACUCUCUCAAAGAGCUUACAUAGAGAAGGUCCUUGAAAGAUAUAAUAUGCACCAAUGUUUAGGCACAACUGCUCCAAUUGUCAAGGGCGAUAAGUUUGGGUCAUUCCGAAGUCCUAGGAAUCAAUUAGAAAUUGAUCAAACAAGAACGAUUCCUUAUGGUUCAGAUGUCGGAAAUAUAAUGUAUGCACAAGUGUGUACACGCCCUAACUUGGCCUUUAUAAGCAGGAUGCUUUGAAGCUAUCAGUCUAAUCCAGGAAUAGGCCAUUGGGAAGGAGUUAAGAAAGCUUUGCGUUACAUGCAAGCACUAAGAAUUACAUGCUAACGUAUAGGAGAACUGAGAAAUUAGAGAUAAUCAGCUAUUUCAGAUACUGAUUUUGAGGGUUGUGUUGGCACAAAGAGAUCCACAUCAGGUUAUGUCUUCACACUUGCAAAUGGCGUUAUAUCGUGGAAAAGCUCCAAACAAACAUUAACAGCUGCAUCGAUGAUGCAAGCUGAGUUUGUGGCAUGUUAUGAAGCUAUGGGACAAGCUGUAUGGCUUAAGAGUUUCAUCCUAGAAUUAAGAGUGGUAGACAGCAUAAGUAGGCCACUAAAAUUAUACUGCAAUAAUAAGUCAGUAGUUUUCUAUUCGAAUAACAACAAGUCAAGUGAUGCUGCAAAGCACAUUGAGAUUAAGUAUCUUGAUGUGAAAGAUAGAAUCCAAGAUCACACCAUUGAGUUAGAGCAUAUAAGUACUAAGAAGAUGCUUGUGGAUCCAUUAACAAAAGGCUUAUCUCCCAUUAUAUUCAGUGAACAUGUUGCCAGCAUGGGAUUAUCGGAUAGCUUGUGAUCUUGGAGGGUCAUAAGACAACUGCCUCCCAUCAUGAUAGGUAGUUUUAUACAUUGUGGACAACUGUGUCAUAGUGGGAUUUUAAUCAUCAUUGUCACACAUUAUCUCCCUGCAUAAUGCUGCUUUAAGAAUGGCAUAAAUUAUAGGCCUUUAGACCAAAGGGGAGAACGUUGGAAAAAUAACGUGGUGGUCAAAAGGCUGAGACGAAAACGGGAAGGAUAAGAUUGACGCCUCCCGAUCACGGUGGCAUUGGAGUUGGCCAAAGGCCGUCGCCGCACCACCAUCACUAUCCAUGGACAGACGAGGUGGAGACCUAAAGGGAGAUGCGAUCUACUCCGAGCUAGUACACCUACAACAUCUGUCAUCCCGGCCUCGUCCACAACCCUAAUGGCCGGAUCUUCACAAGCCGUGGCAGCUGGUUGUACUCUAACAUCUUCAUUGAGUGGUGUUCACAUUCUAGAUGUGCAAAGAUCCUGUUUUAGUUAAGAUUAAGUAAUGUAGAUUCCUACAGAGUUAACGAAGCCAACCUCUCGAUUCCAGUAGUAGGGAUGUUUUCUUAUGGCAUAUCUUGUGCCCCACUAACAUCACUCAUGCUAAGGUCAAGGCUAUUAGGCAAUGUAUAGCCGUAUAUAGCUGAUUUAUAGCUUUCCAUGUAUACUGAUUGUAUUCCUUGUAUACCAAACCAUAUUGGCUAUAUAAUAGAGGUCACCCCCCUCAUUAGGGUUCGUGGUGUUUUCCCAAACUCUAUCUAUCUACAUGGUAUCACAAGACCAGGAUCAAUCUGACAGGGACUUUCCUUCCGCUCCACCUCUCCCUGACGCGCCUAACCCUAGGUGCAGCUCCUGUGCGGUGGCGCUUCUCCCCUAGGCUGGCGCCCCUCCCCACCUCCCUUCCUCCCAUGGCCAAUGAUUCCUCUAUCGAGUCCUCCCUGUCCGGUGGUGGCCUUCUGUCCACUGGUGGCCCCAGGCCGGUGCCUGGCGAUGGCUCCCUGCCCAUCUCCGGUGACACCCCCCCCACUGGACUUGAACCACUGGGCGGCUAUGGCACCCUCCUUGGCACCGACGAUGGCCCUGCGUUGCCCCUUGGUGGCGGUCUUCUCCUCCACCAGGCGCCGUCGGCCAUCAUCCACCUGUGGCGGAACCGCCCAGAUUUACUUAGCUAAAGCACCAUUAAGUCACCUGACAUGCGAUCUUAUGCUUUAACCAAGAUAACUCGGCAGUCCGUUUAAUUUCGUCCGAUAAACCACUACACAGGACCGAGAAGCAGAGCUCACACGAAGGUGAGUGGUUCCAGAGAUUUCAAUAGAUCACCCAACUUAAACAAGUACCUUAAUUUUACAAACUCGGGUUCGAAAUUCCACAAAGUUUUACGGAGUUCUCAAGCAGCGGGAAAAUAUAAACCAACGGAAGCUAGCGUCAGGGGUCGGAUGUCACGAUGAGGCCGACCAUGACAUCAAUGGUCCCUAUCCUCACCGUCCGAGAAGGGAUCCCACUCGAUCGUCCACUCAGGAGGAAGCUGGGGAGGCCAAGUGCCAACAGCAGCAAACUCAGGAGCUUCAACAUCACCUGAAAAGAUUGUCACAACAAGGCUGAGCGACUACGCUCAACAAGACUUAACCGACCGUUGGGAACUACUCCACCAACUUCUAGACAUGCACGGCUCUUUGGCUGAGGGGUUGGUUUUGCCAACGCGACUAUAGUAGGUCCUUACUUUCAAGAUUUUAGACACAGGUUCUACUGUUGUUUAUCAUUCUAAGUUAGUAGCUAUACUAAUCAGGCAAAAGUUUCCAAGCAAUUUAUGACAAGCAUACAGGUUAACAUCACCAUCAAGUUCCAUUCUUACUUAGUGUAGCAUAGUGAUCAAGCAGUCCCAAACUGUGAGAGGCAGACGAAUUGAUUCGAAUAUCUUAACCAUGCAUGGUGAACCUAAUCUCACGAUAUCCGCACACCACAAAGGGUCGCUUCCUCUGUCGGUCGCACCCAUCAAUCCCUUGACCCGUGUCGAGCCCACUUCUCUUGGUACAAGGCUCCACAGACCCGGCCUCUGCCGUUCUGUGACCGCACUUGUCACCACAUGCGGCCGGAAGGGAAACUCUAUUCCAGAGACAGUGGAUCGAACCGCUCAUGUCCUGGUUCAAUCAGGUACUAGGCUUCCCCAUCCCAUACUAGAUAUGAGAUUAGUACUUUCAAACACUUGAUCGCGAACACCAUCACCUUUCGACCUUAAACCAAUUUCAUGUAGACAGACGGGGCAAUCCACCAACCACCAAAAUAGUUCACAGAGCCCUGCCCCCUCCAUCGUCCUUAUAGUUGUAACAAAAAGGAGAGCAAGCAACUCCUAUAACUCGCGAGUGACAGGGAAUCACUCGACUUUUACCGAGUCAUGUUAAGCAUUGCAACUACUCGGCCUAUCAUACUAGUGUUCAUAUCAAAGGGAACUAAGUCAUGCAUCUAUGGUUUCAAACAACUCCUGAAACGUAAAUGCACUUACAUACAACAGAAGGCAUGCGCAAGUUUAGAAAGACUGGGUGAUGCUCGGGGGCUUGCCUUCAAGUGGGGCGGAAGCAAACUAAUCUUCAACACUCUCGGGCUCAGCUCCUGCAGGCAGCUUAGCUACAACUUCAUCUUCGGGCACCGGGUGCAGCUCGUACGUGCCGUCGGCGAGGUUCAGCUCUACACGGAAUGCAAUGCAAGGGUGAGACACAGACGGUGAUUUCAACAACACUUGCAAAGAUUUAGCCCAAAAACUGUAGCAAAACUACAGGAAAAGUGUGAAACCCACGUCAUUGGAUUUUACUCAGAAAGAGGAUUCCAACCCAAGUGAUCUCACAUUUUUCUGAUUGUUCCCCGAUUUAAGAUGGAAUUUCCAAGCCUCUGCCGAUUUAGAACAAGAUAAAAGAGUCGGGUCAGGAAAAACUUGCAAUCUGACCCUUAGACCUAAGGAAUAACUGUACCGGGAUCCUUAGAUUUAACACAGAGAAGUCCUCAAAAUUUUACACAGAUGCCCUUGGUCAAAAGAAAAAGACAUAGCCGAGCCCUCGGGCGAGGCAGACAGGGGUCGGGCGAGACGGACAGGGGUUGGCAGCUCACCUUUGGUCCUACUGAUGAAGUCUUAGGGUUGGCAAGAAGCAAGCUCAGGCGGAACGACAAAAGGCGUUAAGUUUCGGGCGGCGGCGACGUCUGGCGGUGCUCCGGCAGUGGUGGUGCUUCUUGCGGACAACAAGCAAGUUUUAGCGCUGCACGAAGGAAAGCGAAGCGGUUGGCGGGGUCGGCAAGGCAGGGUGUUGGACGGAAGGGGGAGCUCCACAGAGAGCUCAGGCGGCGGUGCGUGAGCACGAAACAGAGGAGUGUGUGGUGGAGAGUGCGCUAGAGGAGAAACCAAGCAAGCAGUGCGGCAAGGGCAAUGGUGGCGAAGAGAACUCCCGUAAGAGGCUCUGGUACCCAUUUUAUAGCUGUGCGGAAGUGAACGAGAUCGAGCAGUGUGAGGAUAAGAUCGAGGGAGAAGAGGAGUGCUCUACCGUGGCGGCGAUUGGUCGGUGUCUCCAUUGGCCGGAGAAGCGGAGCUCCAGGGAUAGGAUCCUAUGGCAUUGGGCAAGGAAGACAGUGCUAGGCAAGCGCGGUUUUGCUGAGCAGAAGGAUUGGUGAGGUCGAGCGCGUGCUUGGUCGCGUGAAGCGCCGGAUUGGGUGCGGCGACUCGGUAUUGGCGGACAGGAGAGAGCGAGGUGCACUUCAGGCAAGGGCGCCGUAGGCGAGGUGACAGGGCGAGCGAUGCGAUGCGAGCAUGCGUGGAUUAGCGACUCUGCCGGGGCACACUACUGGCGAGGCGGGGGAAAGGAGUUGUCACUGCCUGCGCGGCGAUUGGCGAAGACGGCAGCGUCGCGGGGCGCACGUGGGCAGCGCGAUUGAGGUUGACGGGAGGGCCGGAAGGUGUUGGGGCGCGCGGCUGGGGGUCCAGGUGAGGCGAUGCGCACGGGAGGCGAGGCGGUACUGGCGCGGCAGCGGCCAAUCUUUGGUCACAGCGGCGGGUAGUGUGCCUGGCGCGACUGGCGAGGUCUCAGGCGAGACGAGACGGGGCGGAGAGGUCUGCAGGGUGCUUCUGCGCGCGAUUGGGAAGGAGGUGCUGAUCCAUCUUGUCGCGGCCGGCGACUGGGUGAGGCGGCGCUUGCCGGUGAGGUCACGCCAUGCGGCGGCAGUGCUCCGAAACAGGGCGCACGCGCGCUCUGGCGCUCUUUGUCCGAUGGAUCCGCGGGAUUCCUUGCCGGGCCCAUCUUCCAGCCUCUUGAUCUUCCGAUUUCCAAACUGCACCACAUUGACUCCCUUCACAAGGGUUGUAGAACACAGGCUAAGGUCCAACUUUUGUAAUUGGACUGAGUUAAAAAACGCGGUGGAUUUGGAGAUCCAAAGCUCCAAAGUUUGGAGGAACAUUGGUUUCAGGACUUAGAGAAAAGCGGCGGUUUGGCUGGUUUUCAAGGGUCAGGACUGAUUUGAGCUGCAGAUUUGGGAAUCUUCUGAGGCGAAUUGGACCAAUGUCCAAUUAACAAAGUUGUGGUAGGAACUUUGUUCUCCAACUUCUAUAAAGGGUUUUCUUGAUGUUCAGUUCAACUUUCCAAAGAUAAACCUUCCUUAAGGCGCUAGGUCAGGCUGAUUUUCCAGACUUAGCCAGAAUGGCUGAAGGAAGUCUGAGUUGACCAGACUAGGGGGCUUGUCUUAAGAUUAAACUCGGCUGAUUUAAAUCUAGGUCGUUACACCACCCCUACGCCACGAUCUCCGUCAAGGCUCACAUCCCCAUGAUGUUGACGAUGAAGACCUCCAGCUACUCCAAGUGGGUUUCCUUCUUCAAAUCCAUGUGUGGCAAGUUCGGCCUCAAGUCGCACAUCGACAGCACCGUGACGCCCCGUCCUGAUGACCCCGAUUGGGAUCAAGCGGAUUGCUGCGUCCUCUUCUGGAUCUUUGGCUCUAUCGUGGACCUCGCCAUGGAGGAUGAUGAGCAGACCGCCAGGGCCCUCUGGCUCACCAUUUAAGGCCUCUUCCAUGCCAACAAGCAAUCCCGGGCGAUCUUCCUCAGCUACGACUUCCACUCCAUGACCCAGGAGGACUCCUCCAUCUCGUAGUACUGCCAGCGCAUGAAGAACCUCGCUGACACCCUCCGUGACAUUGGGCAUCCCAUUCAAAACUCCCAGUUGGUCCUGAAUCUUCUCCACGGCCUCAACCCGCACUACUCCAACACCACCGACGACAUCGGCAACUCCCCCGCCGGCUUCCAGUCCUUUGCCCAGGCUCGUGACAUGCUCACCUUGAAGGAGCUUCGCCUCGUCAACUUGCUGCUCUACGUCGAUGACAUCAUCCUCACCGCCUCAUGUUCGACGCUCCUCCACCACAUCAUGGCUAGUUUUCAGUCCGAGUUCGCCAUGACGGAUCUUGGUGAUCUUCAUCACUUUCUUGGCAUCUCCGUGACGCGCUCCCCUGAUGGCUUGUUCCUGUCCUAAUGACAGUACACCCUGGACCUCCUCCAGCAUGCCAGCAUGGCUGAGUGUCACUCUACGACGAGUCCUGCUGACACUCAUGCCAAGCUCUCGGCGACCGACGGCAACAAGCUCAAGGAUGGCUCUAAGAAACCGCUGGAAGUUAAAUUCAACAAAAGUUCAAUUCGAGAAAAGUUCAAUUCAAGAAAAGUUAAAUUGUAUCACCUCCCCAGGACUUUGUUCUUUUGUUUUUGGUUCCCAAAGCACAAUUUCAUUAUCAGCACUCUGCAAAUCCAAGCUAGCAUAGAUCAGAUUCCUCAUUAUACAGGAACCAAAACUGGCACUGGGAAAAAAAAGGUUGAAAGACUGAACCCAUGCACAGUACAAGAAUACAGGAUCCAGAUACAGUGGUAUUUUGAAGCAUCAAAAGAAUGACGACUGUACUACUACUAUAGCAGCAAUUUGUAUCCAUUUAAGGGAAGGAAUUUCACCUCUGACAGGAUGAAGUCACCAAGCCAUCUUGUACAAUCAACAUAGUUAGAGUGUACUGCAGCAAUCAACACCUGCAAGGAAAGAAACAGGUUGGUUUGAUGGCAUGAGGAUUAAACACCAACAGUAGUUUGCAAAGGAAUAGAUCUAAGAUGAUUAUAGAUGCUAAACAUACCGGAAACUGGACAUAUUUUGUUGGAAACUUUGAUGGAAGGUCAGUCCAGGAAUAUGAUUUGUCAACAUAUUGCCAAAAUUCUGUGACAACAUUGGGAAACUCUAUCAAUGAUAUGCAGCAUGCAAAUGUAAACAUGAUGCUACUUUGAAGUAGUUUUCCAACCUUUCAUUGACCAGAUUUUCACAGUGUUGUCCAUGCCACAACUUGCAAAACGCUCAAUAUCACUAGGGUGGAAGUCCUUCAGCCAAAAUAAUGUAUUUUGGUCAGUACAUUUAUGCCUAACGUAAUGGAAGUACAAAAGCCGUAGUAGUCACCAGGACUAUAUUUAUCCCUGAUGUAAUGCUCAAUAACAAAUAGUAACAUCAGAAGCUGAAAGAGUGGUAGCUUCAGGGCACUUUGAGCAAGUAAUAUUCUGAAACAAUACCAUAAGAGGAGGCAGGAGCUACUUACAACACUCAACACUUCAUUGCGAUGACCUCAAGCUCCAGCAAAUACCAAGAUGCAGAUCCCUGUAUGGACAUUCCAUAGCCUAACAGAUUCAUCCUAUUCAAUAAUGAAUAAUGCCAUAUGAAACAGUGUCAGAACAAUUAUAACAAAGUACAUUCAGCCUAAGAACAGGUUAUCUGCUAACCUUGCUUGCAGAAAUGAUGAGCGAAGGCUUCAACGCUUGAGUCCUUAUCUCAUUUAUUGAGUCACCAUGGCCAGCAAAGCUCUGUAGAAUUCCAUAAACAGAAAUAACAAAUAAACACGUGCACAGUCUAAUUCAUAGGAUAGGAUAGUAUUUAUUGGCAUGCCCUGUCUCGUGACUAUAUGUAUAACGCCAAAAUAGAUACACUAGGUUGAACGUGUCUUGACUAUAACGGACAUGCUGAAGUAUCCAAAAACCAGAAUCUUCUGUGAGCAAAAGUUACAGUUUGCUAGUGGUAUUAAUGCAUAGCAAACAGACAAUUCCUUAAUCAAACCAAAUUCAAAUGACCUUCUGGAUCGGAUAUCAUAGAUGGUAUCUGUCAGGUAAGCAACUGAUGUACAGAUUUGUGCAAAUGAAGCUUCAUUCAAGUUUGACGUAGUAACAAAGACAAGGCUAGGGGUACUAUACCUUAGCUAACUUCUCCGUAGCACAGUUGAUGACCCGAAUGAUCCCAUUGCCUCCUGCUGCUCAAUGACUCCAUUCUUGGUGACCAGUGUGGCAUCCAAUGUAUCAAUCAGCUCUUCCUUCUUCUUGAGCAAGGCGUUCUUCUCCUCUAUCACCCUGUCCCUAGCCUUCAGUGCCUCCUCCAUCCGAACAACUCUCACCUCCAGCGUGACAAUCCUCAGCGAGUCCCUCUUGUCGUAGGUGUCCGGUGCAGUGUCCACCUCGUGCUACAGGCGACGGUUCAUCCGGUCCAGGUCAGUCAAAUAGUGCUCAAGUCCCAUUAUCUUGCCCUCAAGUAUGGCGUUGGUACCGAUGCAGUUGUCCCAACCAUUGUGAAGUACCUCCACCUCUCUGUCAUUCCAGAACAGCGCCAAGUCCUGAGCGUGAAUACAGCGGGAGGCCACGCAAAACUUCUCGUUGGGCUCUGCAUAUGCGUCCUCGUAGUACUGAUGGACUAAACUCUCGAAAUCCCUCAGCCCACGGCAAGCCCUGGUUAGGCAACGGUAGGGAGUCUGAGCCAACCUGUCACGGAGCUGCGCAUGCACCUCACACACAGCCCUUCUGGCGGCAGUCCGGUGAGCCGUUGACACUGACAGCUCAAACCCAAGUAGAAGAAUAAGCAAAGUCUAGUCAGAAAUAGCGGUAGUCAACAGAACUGUCCAUAACCAGUGGACACGGAUUAUAGCUACAGCUUUAUACACUCUGCAGAGGAUGUACAACUAUACCCACACGGAUGGAGUCUAAACGGUGGCGAUCCGUCGAAACCCCACCUAACAGCCGGAGCCCUAGUAGGUGGAUAGCUCUGUCAUAUUUCCUCGAGUCUGGAAUCAUCCUUAGCUGCAGGGCACGCCGUCACCAGUGAGCACCUCGAAGCUAUGAAACCUACCCAUGCCGGGGUGUAGUCUGGUCAAAGCAAGCCAACGCCUUGAACUCAUUACAUGAUCCUCCAAUCUGCCUAGAGGCUGAGCACUAUCCACCACUAGUCUCGAACCGAACUCUGCCCAUAACGUAAGCGAGCGGUAUCUACGUAAAAUAGUUGCUGUGACUAGUGGUAAACUGACUCAGUGCUUAAGCGGCUGAGAGCGAGCACUCUACUCCACAAGUAUGUGCCGAAACACAUGCAACAUAUAAGUACGCUACCUGCUCCUCAGUAACAAACAAGGUACCCACCACAGGUACGGGGUAUAGAGAGAGUCCAGAAUGCUCUCUCCUAGCAAGGCACUCCUUAGUACCAACCAUGGCGCUCCCGCCAAAACAUAUCAAGGAGUCACACUCACCCAAAACUCAAGCGAGAGUGUUCAAUGAAUCCUAUCACCGAAACUGUGGCAUAUGCCCAUCCAUAACUCAAAAGCAUGUAUAUGGAUAUAUGAGCGGUGGACUAGCUAGGGGUCUGUAGCUAGUCCACAAAAGUAGGUAACAAGGAAAACAGAAUACAAAAUUAUCAAGGCAUGGCUAAAAAUAUUGGCUAUGCAAUCCAACAUCAUCAAGCAUCAUAAAUAAAGCACCAGCAACUAAGCAUGCAUAUGAUCUAUGUGAUUGGGAGUGGCAUGACACCUUGUCCGUAGUUGUUUGGAUCUUCCUCGGCAUAGUCGGAGUCUUGAGGGUCUUCUGGGUCGUAGCUCGAGUCUGAACAGACCAAGAUAUGACAUAAAGUAAAUUAAAUGGCAUUACAACUAGGAAGAAACUCCAAGAAAGCCAAAUUUAGUAGAUCCAAAUAACACCAAACUAGUUACAAACAACACGGGCUCCAUUUUACGAAUUUAAUGCAACUGGUUCCAUAUUUUUCGCAGUUAAAAUGAAUUAGUUAUGAAUUUUUUAAGAUUAAAGGAUUCAUUUAAUUAUUUAAAUAAUUUUAGAAAAUAUUUAUUAUUACAGUGACAUGUGCCAGCGCUUGGUUGUGCCAUGUGGGAGCAUAAGAGUGCGCCACGUGUCUCCUAACGCCAAGCUAACGUCAGCGUUGACCGGUCAACAGGGCCCCACCAGUGGGCCCGAGCCUCGGACAUGUCAACGCCUCGUGGCUCCACGUGGCAGCCACGUGGCACUGCCACAUGGCGCACACGUGGUCGUCCCCAGCUGGCCGGGAUCCGCGCGCCACCCGCGUGUGGCCAUGGGUGUGGUGCAGGCCUGAUUGGCUGCGACACAGCGGUGACUGUGCCCACGACGUCAUGGUGUGGCGCGACGUCACGGCGCGGCUGCUGCACGUGUGCGCGGGCAGGAGGUAGUCCCGGCCGCGGCACGACCGCGGCGGCGUGCGGGGUCCCGGGCCCGCGGUGGCUGGCAGCGAGGCGAGCGGCGGCACUACAACCGUGGCUCGAAGGCUGGGCAUACGACAAGCAAACAAGAGGAAAGAGAGGGGCAACGAGGUUCACUGCAGGGAGACGGUGAAAUUGGGCGGCGUCGGGCGGUGGUCGACAGCUCAGGCUCCUCCCUCAGACGGCCCCUCUUCUUCUUCUUCUCUUCUACUUCCCCUCCUUCUCUUUCCUCCUCAUCUCCUACUCCUCCCUCCUCCUCUACUCCUUCCCCCUUCUCUCACUCGGGUGGUCGAUGGCGCAAGGGCGAAGCCCCGAGUGGAUGGCGAAGAGAGGCCCCGAGCGGCUCUACUUAUAGCGGAGAGGCGGCUGUGUUCCAGAGGGAGGUUGCGGCAGCACUUUAGGGUUUGGGGGCGUGGCGUCGGUGAUGUGGAUGGCUAGGAUGUGGUGUUGCAUGGUGCGGGUGACGUGGCGGCCAUCCGAGGCUCCCAGCACAAAAGCAAGGGUGCGGGCGAGGUCAUGGGUGCGCACGCGAGGCGCGCGUGAGCGGUACGGCCGGAGGAAGAAGGAAGAGGAACAGGGGCACCUCACAGGUGGGUCCGGUGCAGCAGCAAGAGAGAAAGAGAGGGAGAGCGGGGCGCGGGUGGCGACUGCGGGCUGGGCCAGCUGGCCGGUUAUGAGGCCUGCUGGGCUGGUCACUGAGCUGCGCGGGCGAGGCAGCUGAGCGGCGCGGGCGAGGUGGCUGAGCAGGCCAGGCCGGCUGUCUGGCUAGGCCGGGGUGAAGGUAGGUGAGGGUGAGGCGCGAGCGGGCCAGGCCGGUGGGCUGCGGCUAGCCUGGUUGGUUAGGAGGGUUAGAUAGGUUUUGUUUUUAUUUAGAUUUAGAUUUAGUUGGAGUGUUGAAUCAAAUUCAAAAUUCAAACACACACUCAAACAUGAGAUCCAAAUAAAAUCUAAAAAGAUCCAAAUCAUUCCACACAAGUUUUGAAAUGGAAUUUUGGGACGAGAAGAGAAUUUGACUACCAUUUUCAAACAAGCACACAAUUCAAACAAAAGUUUUAAAUUUUUGGAAAUUUUACUUAAAUAAAUAUUACAAAAUUCUGGAAUAUUACAAACAUAACCACUUCACCUCGUACCCCGAGAAAAGCGAUACGAAGCUUAACACUCCUCGACAUCUGGGAAAUUUGGUCAGAACGAAACUCUAGAUUUUUCGGACUGUGUGAGUCAUCCUUGAUUUCCUUGGUGGCAAAAAUUAAAAAGGAAGCUUAAGUUUUGUAGGUCUUUUGGAUUAAACCAACUUGGUAAGCUAUCACCCCAAAAGCCAUGGACAUUCAAUUCUCUCAUGAGGGCACAAGCCAUCGAUCACUUCAUUCUCACGUGGUGUCGGCUCGAAAACUCUGGGAUUAGUUCGCCAGUUCAGCUCUAUUUCCUUGAGGUAUUUCUUGUCAACGAGUCUAGCCUCAGCAGCCUGUUCCUUGCUCCUCACAGUAUGAAUAGAAUUAAUGCAUAGCAUUCCGCUAAGCUGAUUCAUGCCCUUCAGCUCACCAAUUGCCCCCCUCCGUGCUUCGACUGUGAAAUAUCUCAAGUUCCUUUAAUAAGUCAAUAGAGGCUUUUACUGGAAGUGCUAGUUGACGCAAGUUGAUUAGCUUUGUUACAUCCUGACGAAUUGUUCUCAGACAUGAACCAAAUGCAACAACAACUUGUAGGCUGUUAAGGCACCAGAAUUUCGAUGGCACUUCAUUUAUAUUGCUGUAGGAUAUAUCAAGAUAUCGGAGGCUAUUCAACCCACAUAUGCUUUGGGGUAGACUUUUCAGCUUGCAACCUUUUAGGCUCAAAAACAGGAUGUUAGAAAGCUGACUGAACCAGGUGAUCUCAACAUCCAAUUCGGUACCAAACCUAAGUGAACGCAGUUUGUUCAAAUUUUGAAUGUUUGUCAUUGUGCCCAAGGACUUACGUACCAUCCACCUCGAUUGACAUGUGGCGAGGUUUAUUUGUCAUUCCGCUCAAAUCUUUCAUCGAGAAACAUUCAUGGAUAGAAACAUACUGCGCAGUAUCAUGGAUCAGGUCAUGCAUUACGUAUUUAUCUUGAUUAGGGAACUUUGGAUCAGUUUGGAAAAGACACCUGCCUCUCAAAUCAUCCAAAUACUUCAUCCCGACAUCUUCAAGACGCUUGCUCACUUGUGGUGAAACAAAGCCCUCUGCCACCCAAAUGUCAACGAUCUCAUGUCUUUUGAAGCUAUAAUCUUUCGGAAAUAUGGAGCAAAAUGCAAAGCAUCUCCUAAGUUCAGUUGGGAGGUACAAGUAGCUCAGUCGAAGUGCUGGUAAUAUGUCGCUAUGUUUUUGUUCUUGCUCCCAUAAUUCACUGUCCUUGAUAGUCCUCCAAUGUUGCUCAGUCAGAUUACUAUUCAACAAGCGUCCGAGAGUUUUGGCAGCCAAAGGAGUACCAUGCAACUUAGAGGAAAUGCUCUGACCAAUCUCUUGUAAGCGAGGAUAUGACUCUGGGCACUCUUUACCAAACGCACAUUUCUUGAAAAAUUCCCAAAAUACACCAGCGGGCAAUCCUUCGAGCUGGAGAGGCUUACAACUGCAUUUGGACCAUGCGGUGACAUUCUGAGCAAUGUUUUUGUGUCUUGUAGUCACUAAGAUCAUGCUACCUUCAAGUCCAUUCUUCAACGGUGCAUAAAAAGACUCCCAUUGUGGUAAUUUCCCAAAUAUCAUCCAGCACCAAAAGGAACUUUUGGAUCUUCAGCAUGUGCCACAGAUCUGCUUCAAGAACACCCAAACCACAAGACAAGUCGAAGUUUGGCUGGAUGAUGAUCUCCUUUUUCAUCCUUUCAAUGUCAAACAGGUCCGAAACACAGACCCGUAUCCUUACAGUAAAGUGGCCUUCACUCUUUCAUCACUGUCGAUGAGCUGAGCCAGGGUGGUCUUCCCCAUCCCGCCAAUGCCAAAAAUUGGCAAGACAGAAACAUUGCCACAGUUAGCAGUCUCAGCAAGCCCUGCACUGCUGUUACUGUCAAAGUUAAGUCGCUUGGCUUUGGAUGUAGAUGCGAUGGCGUCAUGACUUGCUGCUUCUGUGCCUUUUCCUUUAGACCCUGCAGAUGUACUGCCCAUAGUGAGUGGCAUGCCCAUUUGUGAGAUCACCUGAUUAAUUUCGGCAGCACGAUCAAUCGUCAGAGUCACACCCAGCAUCUCCAUCACUUGAUCCCUUUCCGUGUCACGCGGUGAUGAGUUCAUUCGUUGUUGGCAUGCAUGACCUGCACUGGCUGAACACGAUCAAGACCAAUCAAGCAUAGCACUUCUUUAACUUCAGCCAUAACCUUGUGGAGCUGAUCUUUGGUGUCCCUUAUCCUUUUUACUGCUAGCAUGGACGAGAUGUUUGGCAAUAUUCAGAGAGGAUGAUGACACGAGUUGACCUGCCCUGCUCCGGCUGGCGUCCUCAAUCUUGUGCCGCAGCGCCUGGUCCUCGAACUCUCGGUGGAGGUCCUCGGCGUCGUAGGUGGUGUACUUGUGCUGCAAGAGAUGGGCCUCCACCAUGCCCCACUCGCUGCGACUGAUGAGCAGCUUGGUCUUGAGUUGGUCCAGCUCGUUUUCCAGCUGGGUCGGCGCUUGGCUCAUGCUCAUCCCGAAUGACAGGAUGCCUUGCACGGUGUCCAUGGUCGCGCGCGCUCCUAGAUCUUGGUGCGUUGGUGGAGCUGCUCGUGAAGUCGUGAUGAUGGUGCUCCUCCUCCUCUUCCUCCUGCUUGGCACAGGGGCAGAAGGGAGCGAUUACCUGAUGAUGGUGCCACCGAUUACUGGCCUUCGCCCUCCCAACACCGGACUGGUGAUUUUCACCGGAGGGAUCGUAAGAGAGAUCGGGCAGAGAGGUGUAGGAUCAAAUUGCGUGUGCACCCAACGUGGAAUGGCGCUGGAUAUAUCUAGCUACAUGGUUGCAUGCCCUGCCGAUCUGGGCAAUCGGUAUUGCAUUUGCAGAUUUGCUUCGGUUUCAUCGAUGAUCCCUCCGGCGUUGGUUUCUUCGAUCGGUCCUGUCUUGGGUUCCAUCGAACUUGAUCGAGCUGUCUUGAGGCCGGCGGAGUAACUAAGAGAUCCAUUAUUCAUCGGGAUAAGCUAGGAUCGCAGGGGCUCGUUGCGGCUGCGGGCGUGGACCACCAUCUCUUCCUGCCUGCCGCCGGCGGCCGGCGAGUGCAAGACUGGUAGGUUUAGGAGAGGAAAGGCCAAAAGGCGUGAGCUGUGAAGGAAUGGACCUGGCAACCGGGUGCGGCUUGUGUUGUAUCUUGGGCCGGUUGGGCCGAGUGCAAGUUCCGGGGCCUCCUCGGUGGUGGUUUUGUUGGCUGCAAACUGAUGAGGCCUCGUGCCUUGGCUGCGAAGAAGACGGCUACUCAAAAGCAUUUCUCCCCCAGCAGCUUGAAACGGUCGCCCGCGGACAGCAAGCAAGCGUUCGCGAGCCUGACCGUGCACUGUACAGCACAGGACAGGGAUCCAUGCUUUCCGGCAACACCCAUCGGCGCCAGGCUUACCCACCAGUACACCUGGCACCUGCUGGCUGUCCAGCUCCAAACCUCUCCAUCACAAGACAGAGGUCGUCAAUGGCUUCUUCGGUUUGCAACAGCACAGUGGACAAGAAAAGCAGGGGCAAAGCUACAUUGGGCUAGCCGAGUGAUUAGUAACUAAUUUUUACCACUUGUGCACUCCCUAACCUCCAAUUUCGUGCACCACUGUCUGGCCCACCAACAACCUGCAGCCCAGCAGUUAGCAUAGGCCAGCUUUCAGCAACCCAUCAAGCCCACGAUGCACUAUAGGUGCAUGCAGCUGCGGGCCUGCCGCAUCCGCCCGCGUGCGUUGCACGUGACAAGUCCUCACGGAGAACACGAAACAAUCGUCCGCGAAGCCCGCUCGCUCGCCCAAACGUGAGAACUCAUCGUAGAAAGGCGGCGGAAGAGAGGGAGGCGGCACUCGCGCGUCGCCGUGUCGCACCAUCUCCAGUCGCUGCGGUACGUCUCCUCGCCGGAAUCAGCACCCCCAACCUUAAGCGAUCAUCAUCAACUCCUAUUUUUUUGUUUCUCUCCAUUGUUGCACUGCACAUUCUUCUAGCCUCCCCUUUUGCUCAAGCCCACUCCACUCGAAUGGUACACAAUUAUUUUUCUCACAUGUGCUUUUGUGCCAAUCAGCUUCUUUGAAGUAAUCCGUUAGUGUUUCAAUUUCAUGGUUACUUAUUCUCCUAUAUUCAAUUGAAUUGUAGGGUUAGGGUUUGCAAUUGGGGUUUUACUUCUACAAAUUGCAAUGAAAGGGCAAAGGAGAAGGAACUUAGGAAGGAUUCAUUGAGAUUUGAGACUCAAGAAAUAAACAAAAAUCAUGUCAAGUAAGUUUAUGGGUGUUUGGUCAAUUAAUCAUUUAUUUUUCUUCCCUUGAUUCUUGAACAGAUGAACAUGAGAAGCAUUAAUGUAACUGACAUUUUAAAAAAAUGUGUUAUAUGUGUGUUUAUGGAAAGAUGGUUAAAAAGAAAAGCGCCAGAUGAUGCUAACAAUUUUUGGUAAUUCUCAUCAGCAAAACAACAAUAUUAAUGUUAAUCCAAUACCACCAGCUCCAGAAGAUAUCGAUUGGGAGGAGGAGAUCCAACUUCAUCCUGGUAAAAGAGAAGAAAUACGUUCUUGUCACCCUAAUCUUAGAGAAUCGGUAAGAAGAAUGUACUUGGCAAAUGAGCCUUGUCAGCUCGCACUCUUAAUUUUUCAUCUACUCGGAUUGGGGAUAAAAAUUGAAGGUUUAAUCUUGAAUGGUUUGAUGAAUUUGGAAACUGGCUUGAGUACAGUGAGUCUACCGAUAGAGCCUACUGUUUUACCUGUUUCUUGUUUAGAGACCCCACUAAGAAGGAGGCUGGGUACAAGUCAUUUAUUUUAGAUGGUUGGAAUAAUUGGUAUAAUAAAGAAAGAUUAAAGGAGCAUGUUGGCAGUGUUGACAGCUAUCACAAUGUAGCAACGAAAAAAAUGUGAUGAUAUGUUGAAAAGAGAAUAGCACAUUGAUGUUAAGUUACAUGAACAGCUUGAGAGUUCUAAGAAUGCAUAUUUUGUUCGACUUAAUGAUGCAAUUGAUACUAUCAGAUUGCUACUCAAGCAAGGACUACCUUUCCGGGGGCAUGAUGAAUCAAAGACAUCCUUAAACAAAGGGAACUACAGGGAAGUUUAUGAUUGCUUAGCUCAACAUGAUGCAGCUUUAGCCAAGGCAUUGACAAUUGAUGCUGCAUAUAAUAGUAUUUUGGUAUCUGCUGACAUACGGAAAGACAUCAUCAACUGUUUUGCAGAUGAUAUUUUACAUUCUAUCCUUGGAGACAUUGGGAAAGAUGUAUUUUGCUUGCUAGUUGAUGAGUCUAGAGAUGUCUCUUUCAAAGAGCAAUUGGCAGUGGUGUUAAGAUAUGUUGAUAAAUGUGGAUUUGUGAACGAGAGCUUUGUUGGUGCUAGCAAUACGCAAGGUGAGUUCAAUGGCUUAAAAUCUUUGAUCAUGAGAGAAAAUAGUAGUGCAUAUUAUCUCCGUUGCUUUGCCCAUUAACUUCAAUUAGUGGUUGUAGCUGUUGCUAGAAAGCAUACAGGCAUUGCUGAAUUUUUUAACAAUAUCUCUAUCUUAUUGAAUGUGGUUGGUGGAUCUUCAAAGAGAAGGGACAUGAUUUGAGAUAUCAAUCUCAAAGAAGUUAGUAAGGCCUUAGGCUGUGGGUUACUUAGUAUCGGGACAGGAUUGAAUCAAGAACAAUGUCUUCAAAGACCUAGAGUCUCACUAUAAAUCUCUUAGAAGUUUAGUUAAAUUCCAAAUAAUUAUCAAAGUGCUUGAAUUUGUGGAAAAGGAAGGCAGGGAGGGAAAGGCAAGGGUGUUCUUAGAAAAGUACACUCAUGAACGGGAUGAAUGAUACACGAGUUCAGCGUCACCUAGUCAAGCCGGAUUCCAGAUUCCAUCGUACUGACACUUGCUGCGCUGCUUUGCUAUCUAUUAAUUCUCCUCAAUCUAUAGUAACAGAUAACAACUCUGUCCGCAGCAUGAUAUGGAAAUUUUCUCACACUGGCGGGUACACGAUGGCUUCAGCCUAUAGAGUGCAAUUCAUUAACUUCACCAAAAAAACACAAAUCUGCGCAAUCUGGACUUCUUGCCCCUCUCCUAAAUGCAAAUUCUUCGUGUGAUUAAUCCUUCAUAACCAUGCUUGGACUUUGGAUCGGCUUGCUCAAAGAGGAUGGCCUCAUAGCCCAGCUUGCCCCCUCUAUAAACAGAUAAUGGAAUUCUCUCUUCACCUGCUGGCCAAGUGCAGAUUCACUAGGAAAAUUUGGAGUCCUCGUGGCUAUUUAGACAAAGCAGCCAGUACUACACCCACUGGAAUGGGAACAAAGCUACAAUACCUUGGAAUGGUGGACCAACAUUGAAAUGGACCUGAAUUUUCAUUUCUGAGAAUUCAAGCCUACGCACCUCCGUGAUAGUUCUAGGAGGCUAUCACGUGCGAAUCCAUGUCUCAGAUAGUACAAAUUCAUACCAACAUAGAAAUAUAAAGCAACAACAUAGUACCAUAUCAUAAAUAUCAUAAGUAACAAGUACAUCUCUUCGGUACAUGCCAGAACAUGUCCAUCAGGAUUGAAUCAGAAAGGUAAAAUAUCUAUGCAGCGAAAGCGUAAGCUACGGCGAACUCCAUCUCCAGAGGCGACUCGAGCGAAGGACCAUCCCUAGUCUUCCUAUCCAUCAUUGUCGAAGUCGUAGUCGGGCUCCGACCCUAAAAAGCCACCAUCUACUCGAGAAGCGGGUAGGCCAUGUCAACUCCCAAAAGGAGCAAGCUAAGGAAAUGGGGGAAUUAUACUAUAUGCAUGAGUAAAACCUAUAUAUGGUUGUAGAGGUGUAUGCAACAGCAGCAUCAAUCAAGGAAGCAGCAAAGCAUUACCAUCUUCGAGGUCAACACCUCAAAUAAGGAAGUUGGCACAAAUCACCAGAUCCUUCGCCCAUGGGUCCAGCAUCCAACACACUAGUCGAUGUGAGAGCUCCCUUCCCUCACAUCUCAAUGGCAAACUCCAGCCUAUCUCAAAAAGGGGAGGUAGAAGAAUAAGCAAAGUCUAGUCAGAGGUAGCGGUAGUCAAUAGCACUGUCCAUAACUAGUGGAUAUGGACUUUAGCUAUAGCUUUAUACACUCUGCAGAGGUUGUACAACUGUACCUGCAUGGAUGGAGCUUGAACGGUAGUGAUCCGUCCAAACCCCACCUAACAGCCGGAGCUCUAGUAGGUGGAUAGCUCUCUCUUGUUUCCUCAAGUCUGGAACCUUCCUCAGCUGCAGGGCAUGCCGUCACCAGUGAGGACCUCGAAGCUGUGAAAUCUACCCACGCCGGGGUGCAGUCUGGUCAGAGCAGGCCAACACCUCGAACUCCUUACACGAUCCUCCAAUCCGCCUACAGGCUAAGCACUAUCCACCAAUAGUCUCAGACCGAACCUCGCCCAUAACGUAAGUGAGCGGUAUGUACGUAAAAUAGCAGUUGUGGCUGGUGGUAAAUGACUCGAUCCUUAAGCGGCUGAGAGCGAGCACUCUACUCCACAAGUAUGUGCUGAAGCACCUGCAACGUACAAGUAUGCCACCUGCUCCUCAGUAACAAACAAGGUACCCGCCACAAGUAUGGGGUAGAGAGAGAGUCCAUAAUGCUCUCUCUCGGCAAGGCACUCCUCAGUACCAACCAUGGCUCGCUCCUACCAAAAUACAUCAAGGAGUCACACUUACCCAAAACUCACAUGAGAGUGUUUAAGAAAUCCUAUCACCAAAACCAUGGCACGCCCAUCCAUAACUCAAAAGCAUGUAUAUGGAUAUAUGAGCGGUGGACUAGCUAGGGGUCUGUAGCUAGUCCACAAAAGUAGGUAAGAAGGAAAACAUGAUAAAAAAUUAUCAAGGCAUGGCUAAAAACAUUAGCUAUACAAUCCAACAUCAUUAAGCAUCAUAAAUAAAGCGCUAACAACUAAGCAUGCACAGGAUCUAUAUGAUUGGAAGUGAUAUAAAGCACUAGCAACUAUACAUUGGCUUGCCCGUAGUCGUUUGGAUCUUCCUCAACGUAGUCGGAGUCUUGAGGGUCUUUCGGGUCGUAGCUCGGGUCUGAACAGAACGAGAUACGAUGUAAAGUAAAUUAAACGGCAUUACAUCUAGGCAAAAAUUCCAAGAAUGCUAAAUUUAGAAGAUCCAAAUAAUACCAAACUAGUUACAAACAACACGGGCUUGAUUUUAUGAAUUUAAUGCAAAUGGUUUCAUAUUUUUCAGAGUAAAAAUGAAUUAGUUAUGAAUUCUUAAAUAUUAAAGGAUUUAUUUAAUCGUUUAAAUAAUUUCAGAAAAAAAUUAUUAUUAUGGUGACACGUGUCAGUGCCUGGUUUUGCCACAUGGCAGCACGAGAGUGUGCCACAUGUCUGCUAAUGUCAGACCGGUAACGGUCAACGUUGACCCGGUCAGUCAACGAUGACCUGGUCAACGUUGACUGUCAACUGGGUCCCACCGAUCAGCAGUGGCCCCACAGGUCAGUGGGCCCUGCCAAUGGGCCACCAGUGGGCUUGGGCCUCGGACACGUCAUCGCCUCGUGACUCCACGUGGCAGCCACGUGGCCAUCUAGUCGACAUGGCACUGCCACGUGGCCGUCCCCAGCUGGUCAGGAUCCGGUGUGUCAACUGGAUCCUGUGUGCCACCCGCAUGUGGCCACGGGUGUGGCGUAGGCCUGAUUUGUGGCGACGUGGCGUGGCGGGGCGUGGCGGUGACUGCGCCUAUGACGUCGUGGUGCAGCGCGCCAGCUGUGCGUGCGCAUGGGCAUGGGGCAGUCCCCGACCACGGCACGACCGCGGUGACAUGCAGGGUCCCGGUGUCCUAGGCCCACAGUGGCUAGCGGCGAGGUGAGCAGUGGCGCUCCUAUGGCGGCUCGAAGGUCAUAUGACAAGGAAACAAGAGGAAAGAGAGGGGUAGCGAGGCUCACUGCGGGGAGAUGGCGAAGGCGGGCACUGUCGGGCGGCGGUCGACAGCUCUGGCUCCUCCCUCAGAUGGCCCCUCUUCUUCUUCUUCUCCUCUACUUCACCUCCUUCUUCCCUUUCCUCCUCUUCUCCUCCUCCUCCCUCCUCUUCUGCUCCUUCCCCCUUCUCUCACUCGGGUGGCUGGCGGCGCAAGGGUGAAGCCCUGGGUGGAUGGCAACAAGAGGCCCCGGGUGCCUCUACUUAUAGCGGAGAGGCGGCUAGGGUUCCGAAGGGAGGGUGCGGCGGCGCGCUUGGGUUUGGGGGCGUGGCGCUGGCGACGUGGACAGCCGGGAUGCGGCAGCGCACGGUACGGGUGGUGUGGCGGCCAUUCGAGGUCGCUAGCGCAAAAGCAAGGGCGCGGGCGAGGUCACGGGUGCGCGCUCCCAUGUGGGAGUGUGUGCCAGCACGGACGGGGAGGCGCGCGUGAGCGGUACGGCUGGAGGAAGAAGGAAGAGGAACAAGGGCACCUGAUGGGCGGGUCCAGCGCGGCGGCGAGAGAGAAAGAGAGGGAGAGCGGGGCGCGGGCAGCAAUGUGCGGGCUGGGCCAGCUGGCCGGUUAGGAGGCCUGCUGGGCUGAUCACCAGGCUGCGCAGGCGAGGCGGCGGAGCAGGCCAGGCUGGCUGGGUCGGGGCGAAGGCGGGUGAGGGUGAGGCGUGAGAGGAUCACGCCGGUUGGCUGCGGCCAGCCUGGUUGGGUAGAGGGUUAGACGAGAUCCAAAUAAAAUCUAAAAAGAUCCAAAUCAUUCCACACAAGUUUUGAAAUGGAAUUUUGGGAUGAGAAGAGAAUUUGACUACCAUUUUCAAACAAGCACAAAAUUCAAACAAAAGUUUUGAAUUUUUGGAAAUUUCACUUAAAUAAAUAUUACAAAAUUAUGGAAUAUUACAAACAUAACUGCUCCACCUCGUACCCCGAGAAAUGCGAUACGAAGCCUCAACGUCUGGGAAAUUUGGUUAAAACGAAACUCUACAUUUUUCUCGGACUGUGUGAGUCCUCCUUGAUUUCCUUGAUGGCAAAAAUUAAAAAGGAAGCGGCUGCUUGGGUGGGGGCAGGGAAUACUUGUGUCCCACCUUACAUUGAACAACAGAGCACAAUACUUGUGUCAGUAUAAAAAAAAACUUGUGUAAGGCCAGCUACACAAGUUAGCUCGCAUUUCAUAAUUAAGUUUCAGAUUUCGUGCAAGGCCAGAUACUUUAGCACUGCACUCUUGAUGUACCGAAAGGAAGAUUAACAUAUAAGUACAAUACCGAAGUAAUGACUAUGGAAAUAGGCUUAGAAAUACAACAGAAGCUAGGUACAGUGCAAUAAACCUUAGUGCCUCAUCAUAGCUCCCUUAGCUUCCAGGAAAGUAUAAUGCUGUAUUUGCAGAGAAAAAAAAUAUCACCUUCUAGUGGUGAUCAAGUACGCGAGACUCUUGCACUUGCAAUAGAAAGAUCUGCCAAACCGGUCCCAUUUGACCACAAUAGCAGCUGCAAAGCCAACGCCGAAGCCAAGCCCAACGAAGAGAAACAAAACCACAUCAAUAUGACGAGAUGACUUGUCCCCAUGUGCCACACCUGGAGAGUGAGGUGAACUACCACAAGGAAAUUUUGGCAAUUGCAGCCCACACAAUCCAGCAUUCCCUUCAAAUGAGCUGCUGUCAAAUGUAGAGAACUGACGUGACUGCGGUAUCUUCCCCACCAAGUGAUUGUAUGACAAGUUUAGGGAGCCAAGAAAGGUGAGAUCAGUUAGCUCUUGUGGAAUGUCCCCUGAGAGUUGGUUGCAGGACAGGUCUAGUGACUCCAAAUCAGUCAUGCUUCCAAGUUGGGCUGGAAUUUUUCCAGUGAAGGCAUUGUGUGACAGACUCAGUACGCGUAGUGAUACAAGGCUUCCAAAUGUUUCAGGAAUAGUACCCUCCAAACUAUUUUUUGAGAAGUCAAUUGCUGUUACGGUAGUCAGCAUCCUUCCAAAUGGCAUAUCUGCCCCCUUGUACAUGAUCUCAACAGAAUAUUGAUAUAAAUGUUCUCCGUUAUUGAUAGUUAUAGUGUCUAGAGUUCCGAGAGGUUUCCCAGAACUAUUAAACUCUGCCAUCAUUGACUUUAACUGCUCGAACCAUUGUGGCCUCAAAGUACCAGAGAAGUUGUUUGAGGCAAGAUCGAUAAUUUGCAAGCUAGGGAAACAUUCCUCACAUUUUGUGUCCCCAACAAUAUCACCUAUGGUGCCAUACAUUUGGUUUGAUCUCAGGACGAGUACAGAAAGAUUGGGAAGCCCCCUCAACCAAGAAGGAAAAGCAUCAGCUAUUUUGUUGCUUCCAAAGUCUAUAACCUCCAAGUCUGUACAGUUAGAAAGGCCCCUAGGAAGCCUCCCUUCGAUCUUAUUGCCAUGUAAAUCUAUCGUCUGUAAAUUACAUCUUGUUGUUAUAUUGGAAGGCAGCAUCCCUUUCAAGUGAUUCUCCCUCAAAUUUAAAAAACUUAAGGGGGUAUUUUCUAUAAAACAAGGUGGAAUCGGGCCAUUAAAGUAGUUAUAUGAUAGAUCAAGGACAUCCAGCUCUGUGGCAUUGCAAAUUGAGGGAGAUACAUGGCCGUGUAUAUUAUUUUUGGACAUGCUGAGAUAAAUGGUGUCCCGAAGAUAGGUGGUCCAGUUUGGCAGAAGGGAAGAGAACAUGUUGUUGGAAUAAUCCAAGACUUGUCCUGAUAAUUUUGGCAUAGGGAUCAUCCCUGAAAGUCUAUUGAAACUAAGAUCAAGCACUUCCAUUGGUGUAUUGAAGGGGACAGCAUCCGAAUUAAGUUGCAUGCCCGUGAACAUGUUAUGUGAAAGAUUCAAAUGAGAUCCCCUCGUCUCCCAGAUCCAAUUUGGUAUAUCCCCACUGAUUUUAUUACAUGAAAGAUCCAAAUACCAUAUACGGUCAACAUGCCUCAAAAAUCUUGGAAGUUGAGUUAUCUUGCAAGAUGCGAGCCCUAAUUCAUGUAGUCCAUCCAAAUAGCUGGUUUCCACUGGAUUAUUAUCUUCUGAGGCCAUGACAUGCAACUUAUUGUAGGAAAGAUGCAAAACAGUGAGGUAAUUUAAUCUCCGAAAAUGUGCAAGGUCCACGGAACCUAUCAAGUUGUUUGAGCUAACAUCUAUACAUACUAAACUUGUUAGUUGAAAGAUGGCUUUGGGAAUAAAACCUGACAAUUCAUUGUUCUUGAACCUCACGGUCUCCAACUGUGGACCUGCCUUGUCAAAGCCUUGUAUAGGGCCAGAAAGCUGGUUGAAAGAGAGAUCAAGGCGAUUUAAUAUAGGAAGACUGAAAAUAGAUGGUGGAAUCUCCCCUGGAAGGACAAUAGAAAACAUUAAGUUAGAAAGUGUUUCCCCUUCUACAAAUUGAAAUUAGAAGAUGCUACCUCCUAUUUUGUUCAGAACAUGAAUACUUGACCCUUUCUCGAGAAAAGUAAAAGAUGAUAUCGUACCAUAGAAAUAUAUAUCCCAAGUUUAUUUAUUUUAUUUUGAGAAAAUUGCAUUAGUAGUCUCAAAAUAAAUGGCCAAAACUUGUGUGGUAACCUCGCCGACCCUUGCACUUGUUGCAAAUUACUUUCCCCAGCCCCCUCGUCUUUGUUGUGCCACGUGUUAGGCAAUGGUUUCAUGCUGGUUCAACACAUUAAUUUGCUAAUAGUGGGAUGGGUGAGAUUAGUGUGUGCAAGUUUAAGGACUACCGGAAGAAUUUAGUGCACCUACGGGCCAUAGAAUUUCAUAAUCCUAGGACCCAUGAAGCUGAAAUGAUCCGGACCCAUCAUGGAUCAUAAUUUUAUGGUAUUAUGAUUUAUGAUACCCGGUGUAUAGUCCUGUACCAUCAAAAAGAAUUGGUAAGAUCACUUAUAUAGAAUCCCAAUCCUAACAUCAAAAUUUGUUAAUAUCUGAAAUUAAAUCCAUGAGUAAUUAUAUAUGUUUCUUCAGUUUAAUUCGACAUCUUUUACUCUUUGCAUGACAUCUGACCAUUAAAUUAUUUUAAAUUAUGAUUAGAUAAUGUUUGGAGUUAAGUUGAAAUGUCGAAUUGACAUUGACACGAAUAAGUAGACUCGAGUUUACAAGAAUUAAUAAAUUUAUAAAAAUAGCAUUGUAGAUUUCUUUUCAAGAACUUGUUUAACUUUUUAAUACAUGCAUAUUUUUACUCAUUACGCUGCAAAAUCCUCCCCCAAAGUUCUUGACACAGUGUCAAACUCAUUUGUUGUGUUUAAGCUCUUGCAAUGAUCUAUAUAAGCUGCCAGCUUUUGUAUAAGAGGGCCGGGUUAGAGAAGUAUAUCGUGUCAACUACGCCAAUGAAAUUCUUUUAGAGUAAACUAGAGCAAAUGAGAAGCUUUAUGAGCCCUAAUACCAUUUAAGAUUUCCAUUGUCCUUCCUACCCUGUCAAAUGAACACUCAAGCUCAUAUAGAAGUGACAUGUGUGGUUGUUGCAUCAAGAAGGAACCUUAAGGGAGGAUUUUGCAACAGGGUUAGGCUUGUGGGUUCGUUAGGCCCUUCACACAACGUGUGCUUGGAGUAUUGCUUGAAAUGGAGAGAGGAGGUUUGGGCAUCAAUCACUCCCCCAAGUGGCCAAGUUGAAACCAGGAGCAGCACUGUGACAGAAUAAAACAGAUACCAACUUUUCUCACAUGGGCCUCGACUUUUUUUCCUAGAGUCACUCGACAUAGUAGAGGCCUUAAUGCAACUAUAUUUCUUUUAGGGGAUAAUUGCAACUCAAGAUGACUACUAGGAGCAUGAGACGUGCACACAUGCGUCAGUGGCAAGCUUGCACCUACUCUGAGCAGAGGAGGGCGCAGUUGGAGCUUGCAAGGCCCACGGUGUGGAGCACUGACGCUUAGGGAUGCAAACAGGCUAACCCAGAUAUAGGGCUGAAUCAUGUUGGCAACUGUAGCAUAGACUAUAAGUGGGUUCGCAGGCUAGCCUGCUUGAUUUGCAGCAAUAUAUUAUGGUGGAGGGAUGCCCUUGACCUGUUACAUGCCUUUACAAAUUAAGAGCAUGUUAGGAGAUCCUUACUCCUCAAUCCAACUACCAUAUUGGGAGGGUUAACAAAAAAUAGUGUUCCAGCAGAUUUUUUUUACUUUUUUCCAUUUCACAAUAGUUAUUAGGAAAAACUAAUAAUCCACCCUAACUUAUCCUAAAAAAAGAGUAUCUCAAUAUGGUAGUUUGGAUUGUGAUUAUUGGGGAACUGCAAAAACAACUUUUCCAAUAACCAUAAAAGAAAUAUUGGGACAUUUCCAUUACCUUGUUAUUAGGAAAAAUUGAUUGGAAAACUGGUGAAGAUGCUCUAAGGGAUCCUCAAGUUGGCGUGCGACUGCGCACGCGGUGGGGGGAGCACAAGCAGCCCAAUAUGACUUAAUUUUAGCCCAAGUUAGGUUUAGUUGUGACCAAACUAACAUCCAUGUUCUAUUUUUUUCCCUUUCUUCAUUCUUUUGGGUUUUACAUUCUCUUGUCCUUUUCUUUAAUUAUUUCCUUUUAUAUUAUUCUGCAUAUUAUUUUAUUUCCUUUAUAUUUAUUAUUUGUUUCUAUUAUUUGUUUCGUUUUCUUUUCUGUUUUCCUUUUCUACUAGGAAAUUCUAACUUUUCAUUUAUUUUAUUGUUUCCGUUUUUAUUAUCUUUUAUGCUUCUUUUAUUUUUUAUUUUUAGUAACAAUUUUUUGUAUAUUUUGUUUGCUAGUAAGAAUAAUUUAUUCAAUUAGUUUUCUUUAUUGUUUCACUCUAGCACUACUUUAAAAAUCAUUUGUGCAUACGAUCAUUCUAUUUUUUUUUACAACGGUGCUUAAUAACAACCGUCUCUAGCAAGGGUUCCAAAAAUACAAGUAUUUAUAGAGGUGGGCCACAUAAUUAAGUAACUGUCUGAAAAUCAAUUUGGAAGGCACACCACCUAAGCUGCUACUACUAGAAAUUGACUUCUAGAGGCAGGCCUAAUAAGCAACUGCCUCUAAAAUUGUAAACAACCAAUUUUAAAGAAAAAUAAUAUUCUUUUUUAAAUGAAGAAGAAUGAAGACAAAUUUACUAGCAUAACUAUAGAGCUCGAUGACAUCUAAAAUUUCAUAGUUCAUAACCUUUUCAUGUAAGACUAUUUACAAGCCCAAAUAAAAUUCAUCACCAUUUCUUAUAUUUAUUUUUAAAAAUAAAUUAUGAUUUCCAAAAUGGCCUUGGAAGGAGAUGUGCUCUUCAAAAAAGUUGUAGUGCAUGACGAGAUCUAAAAAUUUGUAAUUGAUAUUUUUUUUCAAAUUUAUGAUCGUUAGAGUGUCAAAUGCAUAGUACAAUAUUCAGAGAAGUGAAAUCAAAAGAAUCCCUUAUAUAGUUAAUAUGUGUUUCGUAAAGAGAAAACUACGCGUGAAGAGACGUGUCGUACCAUGAAUUUUUUGGAUUUCAGGAUAUGACUAGAAAUAAUAAUUAAACAAUAAUUUUCAAUAAUUUUAAUUUUUUUCAACAUUUAUUUUCUUGAGAGGAAAUUUAGUAUAGGAAAAUGAUUGGUUAUUUUUUCUAAAUUAAAUAAAUUAGUUCUUUGUGUGUUGCAUUCAUGCCGAGGCAUCUUGGUGUUUCAUGAGUGCAGACAUUUUAAAAAUGUGUUUCUAUAACAUUUAGGUUCUUCUAAGAAUUUUCCAAAUUUUUCUAGGAUCUAUUGUCAUUUUCGUAGAGCUAAAUAUUUUUAUUAUAAGGCCCUAGAAUCCCUUUCUUGA